CUCUCAACUGAACAUGUCUCUAUGUACGGACCCUUCAUCGCGCCUCGUCAAUAACAUGCCGAUUGCCAUGAGAAGAAAGCUACUACUCCCCUCAAUCUUAACAUAACAGCUGAAUAACAAAACAAAUUGAGAUGUUUUUCAAUUCAGAAGAUUUCAAUGUGCGGCCACGGAUACCUUUUCAACCGUCGGACGAAGCCUUGAAACGAUGGAGAUCUGCCUGUGCUAUGGACAAGAACCGCCGUGGAAGGUUCCGUAUGGUCGCCCGUCUCGCCAACCAGGCCGAGGCCAGGGUUCACACUUUCGAGAUACGGGUCCUAUUUUACUCGCUACUCUCAUUCCUUAUAUUAUUUUUCGUUGUUGAGACAGUCUUGUUUUGAACAGAGGGUUAGUUCAACUCUCAUAUUUUAUUUAAGUGUACAAUGAGGCUUACAAAGAUCAGAUAAUUUUUUUUUUUUUUUAAUCCCGGAUGGUGUGACUUUUAUCUUAUAUGAUCAUUUGAUGAUUAGUUGUUAAGCCUUGUCACUUCUCACCCGAAUGUAGAGAGUUUCAGUACCUUGAAAAUUUAAAUGCUGUGUGAACUGGAUCUGGAUUGAUAAAUGGUACAUUUGGACAUUGAAUUUAUUAUUCCCAACUCAAGGCUCUCAGUUGUGUUACAGGAUAAAAAAAUUAUUUCACUUAGUGUUCGAAAAGCUGCGUCGCAGUUUAUUGAUGAUGUGCCAUCAAGUGAAUGCGCUGCGCCCCACGGUCCACAUUAUUUUCAAAAAGCUGCACUUGAUUUUACUAGAUCACUUGACGAUGCGCCGUUGAGUGAAUACCACGCCAAAGCUAGAAGAUUUCAAGAAUUUGUUGAUGACAUAGGAUACACCAUCAAAGGCCAUGAUUUAAAGAUACCGAAACGUACAAAUGCAGUGUUUUCCCUCAGGGUAGGGAAUUUAUUAACUUAUCCUGUUUUGAAGGCAACAUCCUUUAGGGUAUAUCUUCUCAAUCAUCCUGUGUUCAAAGCAUUUUCAUCCAUGCGGAAUAUAUUUAGUAAUCUUUUGUUGGGGGUCGCAUUUUUACGACAUAAAUUUCAAUAUUAUAUGUCAUUAUGUAAAGACAUUGUGACCCUUGCUGCCAAAGUUAGAAGAAUGCAAGAUUGUCUUAAUGAUGCAGAAUACGUUUCACAUGAUGAUGAUGAUGAUUCUAAAGAUCAUCCAAUUAGCAUAAUUAUGGAAACGGUUUAUAAUGUCUCUCCGAAUGGGAAAUUUAGAAGAAGAAUAACGUCAUGGCAAAAGGGUGAGCUUUUGGGAAGUGGGUCAUUUGGGUCAGUGUAUGAAGGCCUCACUGAGUAAGUGAAAUCUGUUCCUGUGUUAAUGUUCUUGGAACUUGUGAAAAGGAGUUUUAUUGUUCUGAUGGUAUUUCAAUAUCCAUUUGGUUACAUAGCCUCAUUGAUAUGUACCUGCUGAAGGUUUUUAAUAAGUUAAAAAGGAUGUACAAUGUUGGUUUAGAAGGAAGUUUCUAUGAACUUAUUGAAUACCUUGUCUGCUUUCUGAAUGAUAAUACAAGAAAAGUGAUAGACUUCAUGAUGAGACCUCAAUGGGAUUUUGGGUAUGCUACUUGUAAAUCUACUCAUCUUAUUUCUCAAGAUAGUCAUGCAAGAUGAAUUCAACUUCGUUUUUGAGGCAGAUAAAUUUGAUGAUGAGCUAGACUGGAUAUUCUUUUGCACAUUCCUACUUGAAACAAUUAACUUUUGCAACUAUUUUACCAUUUUCUUCUAAAUAUUUCUAAGGUUUUGAGGUGUAUUUUAUUUGUUUUGCAAUGAAAGUGGUUAGGAUUAUAUUUAUGUGGUCAGGCUUAAAAUGAUUAACUUGGCCUUGUUUACUAUCUUUGAUAUGCGUGUUUAUUUGCAAGCAUCCAUGAGCAUGUACUUAUUUUUUCAGCAACUUCUCUCAUGCUUUCUGGUUUGUUAGCAGUGAUGGAUUCUUUUUUGCUGUGAAGGAGGUUUCUUUGCGGGAUGAACGACCUCGGGGAAAGCAGAUGUGAAAAUAGGUAGAGAAAAAGUUUAUGGAACAAUUCUCUAUUUUAUCACUUCAUGAGACUGUACACGGUCUUAAUAUAGGGAUACAAGAGACUAAGAAAGGAAAGGAAAAAAUUAAAGCAGAAUAUUACACACUGAUUUCUAGGAAGCAAUAACUCUAUAUUUACACCAAAUAUACACCUAAAUAUAUAAGGAAAACCAAAUCACAAUUUGAUUUGGUCAACCUUUCAACACUCCCCCUCAAGCUGGUCUAAAAAUGUCUUUCAAGGCCAGCUUGCAGACCAAUUUCUCAAAAUAUUUCUUAGGUAGUCCCUUGGUGAGUAUAUCAGCAAUCUGCUCAUUUGUAGGAAUGUAGGGCAUGCAGACCAAACCAUUGUCCAGUUUUUCUUUUAUGAAGUGUUUGUCCACUUCAACAUGUUUAGUUCGGUCGUGGAGUACUGGAUUAUGUGCUAUUGCAAUGGCAGAUUUGUUGUCACAAUAUACUUUCAUAGGUAGAGAAUUACUUGCCUUAAGUUCUUCAAGAAUUUUUUUGAUCCAAAAAAUCUCACAAAUUCCUAGAGCUACUGCUCUAUAUUCUGCCUCUGCACUACUCCUUGCUACCACAGUUUGUUUCUUGCUGUGCCAAGUGACCAAAUUUCCUCCAACAAAGGUGCAGUAACCAGAAGUGGAUCUUCUAUCGGUUACACUACCAGCCCAGUCAACAUCAGUGUAGACUUCCACUUGUAGGUGCCCGUUUUUUCUGAACAAAAGACCUUGACCCGGAGAUCCUUUUAAGUAUCUGAGGAUUCUAUAUACAGUUUCAAAGUGUUCUGGUCCUGAAGCAUGCAUAAACUGACUGGCUAAGCUCACUGCAAAGGCUAUGUCCGGGCGUGUAUGUGAAAGGUAGAUUAAUCUACCUACAAGGCGUUGGUACCAAUCUAUGUUGGUCACAUCUUCAAUUUUAGCUGGCUGUAAUUUCAUAUUAGGAUCUAUGGGUGUCUCGACUGCUUUACAUCCGAGUAGACCUGUCUCUUCAAGCAAAUCAAGAACAUACUUGCGUUGAGACACAACAAUCCCAUCUUUUGAUCUAGCAAACUCCAUGCCCAAAAAAUACUUCAGGCUGCCUAAGUCUUUGAUUUCAAAGUCACGUGCAAGCACUUUCUUUAAUCUGCAAAUCUCAACUAAGUCAUCACCAGUCAAAAUUAUAUCAUCUACAUAUACAAUUAACACGGCUAAUUUCCCUUCAAUAGAAUGUUUGUAAAACAUUGUAUGAUCUGCCUGACUUUGGGAGUAGCCGUGUCCCUUCAUAACAUUACCAAAGCGUUCAAACCAUGCUCUAGGAGACUGUUUGAGCCCAUACAAAGACUUAUGUAGUUUACACACUUUACUGCUGCCAUGAUUUCCCUCAAAACCUGGUGGUAAAUCCAUAAAGACUUCUUCUUCUAGCUCCCCAUUCAGAAAAACAUUUUUAACAUCUAACUGGUAUAGAUUCCAAUCAGAAUGUACAGCCAAUGAGAUAAGGACCCGGAUGGAAUUUAUCUUUGCAACGGGGGCAAAGGUUUCUUGAUAAUCAAUUCCAUAAGUUUGAGUGAACCCCUUUGCUACAAGCCUUGCCUUAUAUCUCUCAACACUCCCAUCAGCAUUACAUUUAAGUGUAAACACCCACUUACAACCAACAGUUUUCUUUUCUUUUGGUAAAUCCACAAUCUCCCACGUACCAUUCUUCUUUAGAGCAUUCAUUUCCUCUAAAACUGCUAACUUCCAAUCUGGAUGGUCUAGGGCUUCUUUUAUGGUUCUAGGAAUUGGUAUCUGAGAGAUUUUUGUGGUAAAAGCUCUUUGUUUAUUGGACAACUUUUCAUAGGAAACAUAUCUAGCAAUGGGGUGCUUAGUACAGGUUCGGGUUCCUUUCCUAUGUUCUAUGGGUAAGUCAAGAUCAGGAAAAAAAAUGCUGGAAUGUUUAGGAGAAGAAAUGUUACCUGAAUUUUCUGAGGAAUCAGUGCUUGGAGGCGACGAUUGAGGCUGUACCGAGUUUAUGGGAGGGUCUUUACUACUGUGAUGAUACUUUCGAGUAUAAACACGAAGCUCUGGUGGUGGAAUUUUAUCUCGUAGUAUUUCUCCCCCUGUCUCUGGUACAUUAACACUUGGUUCCUAUAGUUCAAGGUUUCCUAGUUUUUCAUUAUUAGAAAUAUCAGUUUUUUGAGUUUGAGUUGAAGUGCCCAGAUCAGGUAAAAACAGAUUAGGCAUAGGUGCAGAAGUAUGCCAAAGAUUAGGCAUAGGUGUAGAAGUAUGCCAAAAAUGAUCUUCACUAUUUUCUUUCUCCCCCUGAAGAGAAUUUUGGCCAAAAAAAGGUUGAUUUUCGAGAAAUAUAACAUCCAUACUGACAUGAAAUUUCUUUGUUUGAGGAUUGAAACAUUUGUAACCUUUUUUAUUAGGAGCAUAGCCCAAGAAAACACAUUUUUCAGAUCUAGGAUCCAAUUUAGAUCUAAGAUGGUUAGGAACAUGAACAAACACAGUGCACCCAAAGACUCUUAACUGAAUAUUGGAGGUAAUCCUACUAGAAGGAUAUAUAAGUGUGAAGUAUUCUAAAGGUGAUUGAUACUUUAAAACACGAGUAGGCAUCAUAUUAAUCAAAUAACAUGCUGUUAAAACAGCAUCACCCCACAAAUAUUUAGGAACAUGCAUAGAGAGCAUGAUAGCCCGACUAACUUCAAGUCAAUGGCGGUUUUUCCGUUCCGCAAUUCCAUUUUGUUGUGGAGUAUCACGACAAGUGGAUGUGUGAAUUAUACCCUUUUCCUUACAAAACACCUCUAGAUAAUUAUUAAAAUAUUCAGUACCAUUAUCUGUAUGGAGUAGGCUUAUUUUUGUUUGAAAAUGAUUUUCAACCAUGUUAUAAAAAUCUUUGAAUAACCCCUCAACUUCAGAUUUUUCUCUUAUUAAAUAAACCCAACAAAGCCGAGUAUGAUCAUCUAUGAAUGUUACAAACCAUUUUUUUUCCAGUUACAGUGUUGAUUUUUGAGGGUCCCCAAACAUCACUAUGAAUUAAAUAAAAAGGUUUUGAGGCACGAUAAGUAAGUGCUUUAUAUGAAAUUCGAUGACUUUUAGAUAAAAAACAACUUUCACACUGAAAAGUAGUACAAUCAACAUUUUAAAAUAAAUCUGGAAACAAAUAUUUCAAAUAAGGAAAGUUAGGGUGUCCUAGUCUAAGGUGCCAAAGCAUUAUUUGAUCCCUAGCAGAGUUUGAACUAAUACUACUGUUCAAACCUUGAGCUUGUUUAUUCCUUGAUAAGUAGUCAUCAAAAUAGUAAAGACCUUCUCGCAAACUAGCACUGCCAAUCAUCGUCCCCAAGUCCCUGUCCUGAAAUUCACAAUGGGAGUCAAAAAAGACAGCACAACAAUUAGAAUCUUUGGUUAAUUUACUGACAGAUAACAGAUUGCAAGAAAAUUUAGGGACAUGUAGCACAUUUUUAAGCUCAAUGGUUCCAAAGAUUUUUAUUGAUCCUUUUCCAGCUAUGGAAGAUAAGCUUCCAUCAGCAACUCUUACCUUUUUGUUACCAGGGCAAGGAUAAUAGGAAUCAAAUAAACUAGAAAUACUAGUCAUAUGAUCAGAAGCACCGGAAUCAAUAAUCCAUGGUGCAGUAGUUGAGUGGCUAAAUAGAGCAUUAAUAAUACCACCUGUUUGGGCUAGUGAACCACUAGGAGUAGCAGUAGUUGAACCACUAGGAGUAGAGGAAAUUUGGUCAGACAUGGUAGGGAAGAGAUCAGAAAGAAAGGGAGCCUAGCUCUGAUACCAUGUGAAAAUAGGUAGAGAAAAAGUUUAUGGAACAAUUCUCUAUUUUAUCACUUCAUGAGACUGUACACAGUCUUAAUAUAGGGAUACAAGAGACUAAGAAAGGAAAGGAAAAAAUUAAAGCAAAAUAUUACACACUGAUUUCUAGGAAGCAAUAACUCUAUAUUUACACCAAAUAUACACCUAAAUAUAUAAGGAAAACCAAAUCACAAUUUGAUUUGGUCAACCUUUCAACAGCAGAGCAUUCUUCAACUUGACCAGGUGGGAUGAUUAGUCUUGUCCUGCUGGAAGUCCAUUACAUAUUAUUCUGUAGUCUUUUUCUCUGCUUUAAACUACAAAUCAUGCAGUUGCAUAUUUUUAUUCUGCCUCUAAAUAGCUACGUGACAAGAUCAUUUCUCUAAUAAUAUGUUUAUUGGCUCAGGAAAUUUCUCUUUCAGUCAGUUUGAACAUGACAACAUAGUUCAAUAUAUUGGCACAGAGAAGGUAUGCGUCUAACCUCAGUGCUUGCAUUUUCGCCUUUCAUUUUCUCAUAGUAAUAUUUGUGAAGUGAGAGUCAGAACUGUGUGCUUGUAAUGACAUUUAUAGACCCCUAACACCUAUGAUUUUGCUGGAAUUUGAAGCAUUGUGUAUUAAUGCAUGUUAUUGACUUUAGCACUAUUUGAGUUUUUUUUUUCUCCUCUUUUAAGUGAAAUUAUACUGUCGUUGUCCUUAUCAUUAACAUAAUCGAUUGGAUUAAGUAGGCAUACUUGACAGGAAAUACUUCAGAAUCAAAGUUUUAUGCUACAAUUAAAUCGCCAGUAUUCCCAACUAUCCAUAUACCUGCGAGGAACUCUAUUAUUGCCAUCUUUAAUUUCUUCCUGCUACAUUUAGUUGUGCAAUUCAUUAUUAUCUGGCAUUCCAGUAUACAUAAACCUAUCUUAUUUGUUAAAGUACAGAAAGAACAAGGAACUUCCCACUAGUCCUAAAUUUGAAGAAAAAUGCAGCCCUGUUGCACACUUUGUGUGGCAUAUUAACUAAUUUUUUAAAUUUCUAUGAAAUUUGUCUCUGUUAUAUUGAAUUGUCCUUUUAUAUCUGGUUGUUUAGGUGUGAUUAUUUCAUUUCUGGCUCUUUAAUUCUAAGUCACCAAAUGAUUCCAGGAUGAAAAUAGGCUUUAUAUAUUCCUUGAGCUUGUAAAGAAGGGUUCACUUGCAAAUCUUUAUCAAAAGUACCACUUGAGUGAUUCUCAAGUCUCUUCAUACACAAGGCAGAUCCUGAAUGGCUUAACAUAUCUUCAUGAGCGGAAUGUGGUUCACAGGUGAAAUAAUUGGUUUGGCUGCUAUAUUCCCAGUUCCUUCUCCUUAUCGUGAUGUGUCCUCUCAAUAUUCUACAUUUUAUGUCAAGAUGUCUAAGUGCAAAUAGAUGUAGCAUUGAUGAUUGUUUAUGCAGAUAGGAAGUCAGUUCUUUCUCUUGCUGUUUGUUUGCAAUAUGUGAUUAUUUAUACAUUCGUUUUCUUUCCAAAAAUGCAGCUUUUUGGAGCUCAAUCUUUAAAACUAGUCUAGAAAUAUGCAUAUUGUUAAGCGUUUCUAUUGCUGAUACUUCAUAUAAAAUUUCCUGAUGGUAUUAGAAAUAAGAUGUUGUAGAGGAAAGAUUGAGAAAAUCGAUAGAAACAAAGAGAAAAAAACGUAUAAGAGCAUAGAAAUAACAAAAUAGCGUUUAAGGUGGUAGGAUGUUUUGUAAACAGCUAACCAUGUUGAAUAUGCAUUUUGAAGAAAUAAUUGCAAUCAUAACCAUUUGCAGAUAGUUUUAAUCCCCCACAAGGAAAAUUACAUUCUCAGUUGCUGCAAAUCAUGGAUAUUGGUUUCAUUCAAGGUUAAACAGAAGAUAGCAAUAACGGAGGUUGUUAUUUGGAAUUGAGGGAAAGUUUGCAAGUGUUAAUCAUAACUUAGCAGCUGCAGAGUUUCAACAGAAUAAUAAUGUGGUAUCUUCUUAGUGCAUGUACUGGGGAUGAAUUUAUAGACAAGGCAAAUCUCAGCUGAUGAGAGUAAGAAAUUCUUCUCUCAGCAAAAUGUUAUAAAAAAUGCUCAUUCAGAUAGCUCACUGAUUGUUUACAGACUUAUGAAAAUUGUUAAAAAGCGUGUGGAGAUGAAUGAAUUUUUUUUUAAAGAGAAAAUUUGAAAUUCAUUUCCAGGCCAGGUACAUAGCUGGUCUAUCUUUUGGGCUAAUAUAAUUGUGGCAGGUGAACUUAGCAAUGACACUUGAAAGUUGCUUUUGUUAUACUAUUUUAAGUAUAUCUCUUUUAAACUUUGUCUCUUUUCAUUUUCAAGGGAGAUAAAAUGUGCAAAUAUAUUGGUAGAUGCUAGUGGAUUAGUAAAACUUGCGGAUUUUGGGUUGCAAAGGUAGUUAAUCUCUCCCCUUCUUUGUAAAACUCGUGAAUGCUACUGUACUUGAUGCAAUAUAUUUGAUCUUUUCAGGCAACUACAACGAAUGAUGUCAAAUCGUUCGAAGGAACACCAUUCUGGGUGGCCCCUGAGGUUUUCCUCUUCUCUUGUAGUCUGAUUUAUAUGGACAAAAUUUUAUCUAUUUUCUCAAUGUCCAUCAUUUAUAACCGAAUUUGCAUGGUCUCAAGGUUUAACUGAUCUACUUGUUUAUAACCAUUGAUCUUUUGAUCAUUUUUCAAAUUUGAUAGCUCUGAGACACAUAAAAUCUGAUUUUUCUUUUUACACAGCUCAAGUGCAACUUUUUAGCUUGACAUGUUUGGCAGAGUCUUUAGGAGGUUAAUUUUUGAAUUUGACACUACUAUGUUUCUGUUAUUUUUUUUUUUUCAUUUUUCCAUAGCUUGCGUUUUGUAUGGCUUUAAAGAUUGUAAAUCAGAUCCUCUACCUUCUUCCAUUCGAGUUUUGAAACAUUUUCUGCUCACUGUCAUUUGAAGUUGAUGAGAAAAAACCUCUCUUUAUUUUAGAUGUAGAUAAUUCUAGUUAUAUAGUUGGUAUUGGUACACAUUUAUCAAAAUAUCACCCAGUACUCACACCAAAAACCUGGAAACUGACUCUUAGUAACUGGUAAUCAUCUUUUCAUAUAUCAAAUUGACACGUACCAAAUAUGUUUCUAUUAGACAUUCCAGGUUAACAAAAUUAGUUUUGCAUUUUAGGUUGUGAAUUUAAAGAACAAUGGCUAUGGACUAUCUGCAGAUAUAUGGAGCCUUGGGUGUACUGUGUUGGAGAUGUUAACGCAUCAGCCUCCAUACUCUCACUUGGAAGAUGUAAGUAAAAAAAAUUUCAUGCAUUAAAAUUGGUUUGCUUUCCCUAAUUCUCCAUGUUUUAUUUUAUAUGCCUAUUUUUUCUUGUUAAACAUCUUGUGAUUUGAAAAAGGUUGCGUAAUUUUGUGUGUUGGCAGAUGCAAGCAUUAUUCAGAAUAGGCAGGGGUAAACUUCCUUCAGUUCCCAACUCAUUAUCGAGAGAUGCCCGGGAUUUUAUUCUUAAAUGCUUACAAGUUAACCCAAAUGAUCGGCCUACUGCAGCUCAACUAAUGGAGCAUCCGUUUGUAAAGAGGCCGCUGCAAACUUCUAGGUGACUUCCUUCUCCUCAUUAUAACAUCAUGCAGUCUUGAAAGUUUCUGAUCAUCCUUUGGGGUUUAUGUAUAUCUUAGAGGUAGUCUAGCGGUAUCAUCAAAUUUAAACUGCAACCUGUAUUUGUAGGUUUGACUUCCCGUUUGGGUUUAAUAUCAGGGACAUACUGAAAAUAAUUGUUAAAUGCAUUUAUAAAAUAUCCAUUUGGGCUCGCAACUUCACUUGCAAGCUUAUGGGGAACUGAGGAAUGGAGGAACAAAAUUGUGAUGCAUCCAACGGCUGCCUUGGUGAUCUAAAUUCACUGUAUGAAGGGAAUAUACAAGUGCCUCUAGAUGUUUUAAUUCAACUCUUUCCUGUUGAUAACAGGGCAAACCUUGAGAUAUUCACAUUAGAUCUGGCUGCUUUGCUCUUUAUACCAAUUUGCUUUGAGGUUAACGUGAUUGUCAACAUGGUUAUUGUGUCAUCUGAUUCUAUAUCCUUUAGGAAUAAUUUUUUUUUUUUUUUAUUGUUUGUGUUGCUCUUCUUUAUUUUGCAUGUGCUCUUUGUUCAAAGGCGUGGCCAAGCGAAUUGCUAAUACUUUUAAGAGCUUUGAGAUGAGGCACAUGCGGUGUUAAUACAAUGCCAAGCAUCUUUUUGCCGUUAAAUCUACCUGCCAGGCAACUCUUGGCACUGAAAACAGAGAUGGUGCAUUCUUGGUGAAUAUGCACAAGGCACAACUGCUCAUGAUGCAAAAUCUGAGAAACUGAGAUGGUGCACACAUUCUUUCAUCACUCAUCAACCUCCUAAAGACAGACCAGUGUUUGACAUCAAUUUGGUGUAAAUAACUCUUUUUCAAGAAGUAAAAAUCGGUACUUGUGAAAUUUAUAUGUUGCAUAUUAUGGACCGCUCAAAAGGUGAACUCUGCAAUGUAUGUUUAUGCAUGCGCUGAGAGUUUGUUCAUAUGAAGAAACAGAUGAAGUAUAAAUAUGUUGUUAGAUGCUGAUAUUUUGUGGUCUUUUUGGCUUUUGGGAAUCAUAAAAUGGGUUGUUUAUGCAUACACUACUUCCAGCUGUGCCAGGAAGAAAACUGAAAUGCUGUUACCUUGGAAAUUUCUUCCGGACGAAGCAUUGUAAAUUCAGUUUUAGGAGAAAGCAAUCCCUCUGCCUCUGCUAAGCCACUCAACCUAUUGUUUCAUUUUCUUUUUUAUUUAUUUUUUAAUUCUUUUUUUCUUUUUUUAUUUACCGAAACGAGUAAUACUAUUUUUGCGCGUAAAAUUACAUGUAAAUUCGUACAAGAUCACCCAAGACAAACACAUGAUAUAGAAGAUACUAGAAGAUAAAUUUACUAAGGUCAUUAAUUUUUGUUUUAAAAAAAUUAUUCAUGGCUGUAUGUCGCCGCCUCCCACUUUUCCUACACAUUCCUCAUUCUAUCUGUCACGUGUAACACAACAAACUUUACAGUUAUAAACCACUGUACAGUUAUAAAGCACGCAAGGACAAAGGAGAGUGUUGUUUUUUUUUUUAUUCCAAGCGAAAUGGAUAAAGAAAAGUCAGGAGUACGGGCACUUGUUUAUACUUAAAAAAAACAGAGAGAAGAAAAUUUAUUAACAGCGCAAUGAGAAAACAAUUGAGCGAGUUAUUGAAUUCGAAGGACUUCGAUGAUGGUCAGAAAAUUGGGUCGGAGAAGACCUUGAGAAGAUGGAGAUCUGCCUGCAAUGGCCGCAGAAGCUUCCAUAAGCUCGCCGGUCCCGACGAUCGUCUCAAAUUACAGGUGAAUUAUUCCUUUAAUUUCUUUAUUUUUUUUUCAAUUAUUAGUUAACUUAUGAGUCAAGUUCAUUUGGGUUACCUUUAUUGAUUGAUUGAUUUAUUUAUUUAUUUUAAUUAUAUAAGUAAUUUUUGUAUUUACUUUUUUAGUUGUUUGUCUAAUUUCGUUGGGGUUAAUGCCUAAUGGGAAACUUUUAAAAUCAACACUCAAGAAUUUAAAUGCAGAGUGAAGGGUAAAGGUGAAUAGUACUAAAUGAUUGAACUUACGAUACCAAACUAAAGGCUUUCUGUGUGUUAUAGGAACAAUCUAGAGUUUAAUAUGUUGCCCAAAAGCUGUACUUCACUUUACUGAAAAUGUGAGUCUGCAGUCAAAUGAAGAUGUGCCAUCAAGUGAAUACAUUGUGAUUGAGGCUGAUACCGAAGCUAGAAGAUUUCAAGAACCCAUUGAUGAUGAUGGAUCCACAAUCAGUGGCCUUCAUGUAAUGAUAAUUCACACUGAAACUUUUGUUCCUCACUCGAAAUUCAAUUUAGAAUACCGAACUAAAUGUCGUCUCUUUGUGUUACAGAAACAAGUUAGGGUUUCAGUUGUCGUUCUAAAAGCUGUACUUCACUUUACAGAAAGUCCGAGUCUGCGUUCAAAUGAAGAUGUUCCAUCAAGUGAAUACGUUGUGACCGAGGCUGCCACCGAAGCCAGAAUAUUUCAAGAACCCGUUGAGGACGUUGGAUCCACCGUCAAUGGCCAUGAGGUAAUGAUAAUUUAUACUGAAACUUUUAUUCCUCAAUUCAAUUUUCAAAUAUCAAAAUAUGCUCUUUUGAUAUUUGAAAAUCUGAAAAUCGCUCAAGUAUCCGUUUUCCUGUUUGGAUUUGGAUACAUCGAGAUAAGAACAUUAAAGUUUUGCAUACAAUUGGCCUCCAAUUUCUGAGAUUAAAAAUUUUAACUUAAUGAACAACAAUACAAUCUCAUUGAUUGAUUUAUAACUGCAUUCUUUGUAUAUUACAGAUUUUUGAGCUACUUGGUGAAUAUGAGAAACGUGCACUUGCUGUGUUUUAUCUUGUGUUGGAAGCGACAUCAUUUUUACUGGAUAUAUUUGGGAAAAGUAAGAAGAGCAUCCUUCUUGCUGCAUUUCUAUUGUCAGCAUUUGGUUUUGCUAUUACUAUGAGUACGCAUGUGAGAAGAAACAUAGCUGCAACCAGAAUGCAUUUACAGAAGCGACUACUUAUGGUGUUGGAAAUAUCUUUCUCUUUGGUCCAGUUGAUUGUUAUGCUUAUUUAUUUUAUUCUGGCGCAAUUGGGUGUAAAGAACAAUUUCAAUACAUCUGUUUUCCCGCUGGUCUUUGCUAUAAUUGCUGCUGUGUUUACUUUCAAGUAUGAUGGGGAAGUUACUGAUUCAUCAGGCCCCGACAGUGCGCUUGUGGCCCUAGCUGCUGGUAGUCAGGUAUGAUUCUGAACACAGUUGUAAUCAUCAAGCUGCACUUGGUGAAUUCGCAUAACUUAUCACCUCUAUGACUAUGAAUUCCUACAAAUAUAAAGAAAACUGCAUGAGACUCUAAGCUUCUGCAGUAUUGUGGAAAGAAGGAAAUAUAAAGAUUGUGAGAUUGCAUUGUGUAAGUCAAUAAUUUAGUCAUAUGAGGUCUAUAAAAGAUUGAUUUAACAAUUUGUAUGUAUAAUGCUACGGUGUCUGUAGAUUUAGAAAUCCUCUAUGCAAUUAACGAUUAUUAUAGCAGUAUGGCCAAAUCAGUACAGAUACCAAAUCUUUGAUAGUUUGCAUCUUUUUAGGUUCAUAUGCCAAAUAUCACUCGCAAUGAGGAUCCAGAAGCAAACGGCAGCAUGCCUAUGUUGGCAGACUUCCGAUGAUUAAUGAAGAUGCUUUUGAGAAACGAGGUCCAUAUGCUUGUUCUUCACUCUGCCUUCAGGCUUGCUCUUUCUCUCACACUAUUUACACAAACUCUCUUUUCAGUACCAAAAGCUUUAUAUAUGUUAAUAGAUGAGUUUGUGAGUAAUGUUUCAGUGGCUUAUUUUAGGAGUCUCACAAUUUGAUUUUUGUUCCAUGGUUAGGGCCUAGAGGAGGCAUUUGCCCCCAUUUGUUCAUUCAUUUGAUUCAGAUUCAAGUUUUGGUCUUAGGUGUUACAAUUUCAAUUACUUUGUAUUCGAGUUGGAUAAAUACCUGUAAUUUGGAUUAUACCUACUCAAUAUAUAUGCAUUAUCUUCUCUGAGUAACUUUUUGUUUAUGGAGCUUGUUGAGGGUAUUAAAUGAUGGUGUUAGUAUUUUGGUGUCCAAGUCAUUUGAUGAAAUUCAUGAAACUUGUAUUAUGUCAAUUAGAAUAAAUGAAGCUGUUUUGAUUGGGUCACAGAAGAAACUUUUGAUGUGCCAACUAAUUAUUGAUCGGCAUGGUCAAUUGUCUUGGGAAAAAAGUACACUAUAUGAUAUGAAUCUUUUUAAAAAGUGAUUUUAUCAUUAUCAUUGUUAUUAUUAUUAUUAUUAUUUAACAUAAGGAUUUUAUUAUUGUUAUUAACUUUAAAGCAUUAAUAGUAGGGUAAUAAUAGACCCUUAGAUUUGUAUGUUUUAAUCAUAAUCAUCCAGCCUCCGGUGACCAAAUUCACUGCAAAAGUAGCUUUUGUUCCUGCUGCAUGGCGGGUUUUUUUACCAGAAGUUUUGCAUUUCGCCGCCAGAAACUAGUUCAAAUAAUCAAUUAACGUCACCAUGCAAUCAAUAGGACAUCCCACUAGCUAUGUUCAUGUUGCUAGUAGAUGUACAUUGGAUUAUUAUUUUCUUGUGGUUGAAGAUUCAUCUGAACCAAAUGGACCCAUGUGUAAUAAAAAUAAAUAGAUAAAUAACAAAAACGCAGAAGCACAAACAGAAAAUUUAAUAUUUUUCUGACAAAAUAAAGAGAUACGUGGGGGCAGCGGAAGACUGACUUUUGAUGACUCUUUGUCCGCCAUUAGAGAAUAACUGCAACCAAACCAUGUUUUUCACUUCAAUUAUUAUUAGUAUUAUCAAUAAUUAGGGCUUCUUUAUCAACAUCGACCUUUCACUCAAAUUCAACAGCCAAAGUUGCCAGCGGGUUGUGCUCGGCUGAUCAAAAGCAAGUAGUAUAUGUAGGGGAAUGUAAUCAUAGAUGACGCCUUGCACAGCCACGUUCUCUGUCAUUUUCUCAUUUACUUUUUAGAAAGUAAUCCAAUUUGAGGAUAGAACUCAAAUUAAUAAGGAAUUAUUAUCAAAUCGAAUAGAAUAACAACAAUAAUUUAGAUUAGCAAAGAGGUGUUAUAGGAUAAACAAUGCUUGUGAAGAAUCCAAUUUUAAAUAAAAGAAUUUCACAUACUGUAUUUUAUCUUUUCUCUUUUUACUUUUUUUAAAAUUUAAAAUAACCCUUUUAAAUGUUUGUCAAUCAGUAAUAUAAUUUUUAAAAUAAUUAAAAUUUUUACUAAUAAAACUAACGUGCACCAUUGAUUAAAUCUAAUGGUAUAUAUUUAUUAUAUUAUUGAUUUUGUAAAAAAAAAUUAUAGCAUUAUACAAGGACCACAAAACUAUCGUUUUCUACUGAAAAAUUUAAAAUUUAGUCAAAUAUGGUCAAUCCUAUAUUUCUAUCAUAAAUUUCUUGAUAGAAAUAAUUUCUAUCACCAUCCUAUCAUACAUUUAUGAUAGAAAAUAAUUUUAUCAUAAGUCUAUCAUUAAUCCUUGAUGGACAGUAAUUCUAUCACGAAUUCGACAUUAAUCCUUGAUAGACCUAUAAUUGUAUCACAAGUCCAUCAUAGUUUUAUGACAUAAGCCAUUUUGUUUAGAAUCCAUCAUAAAAUGUUUGUUAUCUAUUGCUAGUUUUCUUAUAGUUACAUAAACUUAUUUUACAUAAUUAUGUUCAAAAAGAAAGUUUAUGUGAUAUUUUAAAAAGGAUUUCUUUAUAAUACUGUAUGUAUUUUUACAGCAUUGAUAGUGGGAUUAAUGUGGACCAUUAGUUUUAAGUAUCUUAAUCUCAAUCGUCAAUUUAAUAUAAUGGAUAAUUAAAUAACUAUUGAAAAUGUAGCAUGUAAUUUACAAGUUGCUGGAAAAUAUUUUUUUGAUUUUAAAUUAAUAUUAAUUUGAAAAAAAAAGCCACACAAACCCAAAGGUUUGCUCAAAUAGUCAUACAGAUCUACUUGGUUUCAUAAAUGGUAAUACAGACCCCUUAAUUUUCAUUAAUGACUAUUAUAUAUUUUGAUUUAAACAACCUGAGUAAAUAUAAAUAUAGUAAUAAGAUAAAAAUAAUAAUAAAUAUCAUAUGAUACAAAUAAAAUAUUACAAUAAGUAUAAUUAAUAAAAUAACUUGUAUAAUGAAUUUUUUUAAUAUUAAGUUACUAUUAAUCUAUCCCGAUGGGUUUAUUAAAAUCUACUAAUUCAAAAAUUAACUUUAAGAUAGAUAUUAAUACAAAUAUAAUUAGAAAAGAUAUUAUAAAUAAAACACUAUAAAUUUUUAUAAAUUGUUGUGAGUGUUAGGUAUAACUAUUUCAAUAUUCUAUAUCAUACAUCAUACUUAAGAUGUUGAUUUUGUUGAAGUGUUAUGUUAUUAAACAUUAAGCUUUGCAUUUAUAAUGUUCUACAACUUUAAUGUAAAAUGUAAUUGAAAAAAUAAAAACAUUUUUUAGUAGUCAAUUGUUUUGUAAUAUGAUCAAAUUAAGACAGAGUUAUCAUAUUUUCAUUGUUGAAUAUGCAUAUGAUUCUUAUUGAAUACAAAGGUGCAUCAUUAUGGAUAGCAUAGUUUCAUCAUCAUCAUCUUGCAUCCAUUUUUAAAAAAAUAGAAAUAUAGACCUAAAAUAAGCUAAUGGAGGAAGACCAACGGUCCUGAAAAGUUGUUCCAUAAAUUUAAGCCUACGGUGAUACUUAUUUCUAGACUGAUACUCUAAGUAACUUAGGGCAUGUUCAGUAUCAUUUUGUAGUCCCUAUUUUCAUUUUAAUUUUAAUAGUACAUGUGCAAUAUAUGUUCAGCGAGCCUAAACCUUAAAUCAAAUUAUAAAAUGUAUUAAACAGAAUUUAUUUGAUAGUAAUAAAAAUUAAAACAUGUUAAACACAUUUUCUGUAAAUUACAAAACGAAUUAUAAAAUAAUAUACUACACGUCCUCCAAAGCAUAGCGAAUAAAUUAUAUUUUACAAACACAUAUAAGACAUGUGUUAAGUUAGUAGAGUUGAUUUUUCUUGUAGUCAUUAAGACAUAUGAAUUGAUACCCCUCCCCCCCAAACACACACACACAUAUUGAGUAUUUCUAUCUACCCCUAUUUAUUAAUAGAAGGAAAAUUAAAAUCGUAAUUACCUCGAUAUCUUAUGAAUUGAUAUGUCACAUACAAAUAUCAGUGAAAAUUAAUUUUUAGAUUAAUGAAGUAAACCAUAUAUAGGCAUUUAAUUAAUCUAAGGUCAAAUGAAUAUAUCACAUGACAUUUCAUGAAGUAGUCCAGUUUUAAAACUUUGCAUAUAGUUUUGUAACUUANNNNNNNNNNNNNNNNNNNNNNNNNNNNNNNNNNNNNNNNNNNNNNNNNNNNNNNNNNNNNNNNNNNNNNNNNNNNNNNNNNNNNNNNNNNNNNNNNNNNCAAUUGUGAGUUUUACAUUAAAUCUUCAAAUUAAUUAUAUAUUGUCACUCUUUCCUAUUUUGCUUGAAAUUUCUAUUUAAUAAAAUUACGAAAAGUCGAUAAUGAAUGGUUUAAGAUACAUAGGUAAGAUAAACUUUAAAAGUCUAAUGAAACAUUCCUAUGAAUGUGGGUUUCGUAUGCAUGUUCAUAUAUUUUAUUGAAUUUUGUGUUAUUAAACGAAAUAUGUUAUUCAAGUGAAAAUGUGAGAAUAUUUAAAACUAUAAGGGUGGUCAUUGAAAUUUUUCAUACUUCUACCAACUCAACGGUCCAACAGUUUUUUAAAGAAUUCCCAACAGUUUAGCCACUUUAUGAACCGGUUAUGUUAUUUUAAAAAUAAUUAAAAUUUUUUAUUAAUAAAUAUAAUGUAAUAUUGCUUACAUUAUUAAUACUGUAAAAAAAUUACAGUAUCAUAAAGGGAUACUUUUAAAAAUAAUGAGGUCUCUGUCUAACCAUACCGUGAAACCAUGAAGAUGUCCACUCUCUAACUUUCCCUUGUUAUUUAUUUUGGAAUGAAAACUGACCGAAUGAAAGGGCAAAAGUAGUUAAUUUUCUGCAGGUAAAAGGGCAAAAAAGUACUUUUGUGCCAAUAUUAAUUAAAACAUUAAUUCAAGUGACGAAUAAAGUAAGGGAGGGAUUAUUAUUAUGUUGCGCGUGAACAAAGGGACAGCAGCGAGAAGCUGUAGGGGACUCUUCAGGCAAACAGCUCACUGGAAUUGGAUCUUACAUUUAUUUUUUAAAUUUAAUUAAAUGAAAAUGCGAGAAAGUGAAUGGCGUGCGCAUUACGCACCUACCCCAACUUUAUGGUCAUUUGAUGCUCCACCACCAAUUAUUAGAGCAGUGCUAGCGUCAGUCCCUUUGGGAGCGGCUGACGCAGUCGCUGCUUCUAGGGGGGACAAGUGUUCUUUUUCUUCUUUUGUGCUUCAUUAAAUGAUGGAUUAUAGGACCCACCUAUAUAUACCAAGUCAAUGAUGGAUUAUUGAAAUCUAUGUAUCAAAAGAAAGUUUUUUUUAUUUAUAUACUCUUUCUGUAAAUUAUAGUUUUUCUACCAAAUUAUAUAAUUCAUCAUUAAAAUGGAAGAGAUAAUAUCACAUUUAUAUAGAGUUUUUAUCUAAUGAGAAUAUUUUAUUUUAAUAAAAUAAAAAUAUCACUAUAUAUAUUCAUUAGAAUUGGAUUUUUUUUUAAAAUUUAAUUAAUUGAAAGAGUGAGAAAGUUGAAGAAGUAUGCGCAUUAAACGGAAGAAGAGAGAGAGAGAAAGAGCGUGUAACAGAAACAGAGACAGUAGUGGUCGGGUGACUCGUGUCGGCUUCGACCAAACAUUGACGAUAUAUUCGUUCACAUAUUUUUAUUGCAAUUCAUAUUUUAACAAAAAUAUUCAUUUACUUCCAUCUCAUUCGAUCUGCUCGAUCCACAGCCCUAAUUCAGCUCGCAGGUACCCUCUUGCUUUUCCUUUCCUAUGCUUCAGAUUUAGUUUCUUUUUAAAAUUUUCUAGUUCCUGCUUGGGUGCUGAGAAAAUGGAAGAAAAAAUUCAUUUACUUCCAUCUCAUUCGAUCUGCUCGAUCCACAGCUCUAAUUCAGCUCGCAGGUACCCUCUUGCUUUUCCUUUCCUAUGCUUCAGAUUUAGUUUCUUUUUAAAAUUUUCUAGUUCCUGCUUGGGUGCUGAGAAAAUGGAAGAAAAUGAUGGAUUUUUAGUGAAACCUUGUGCUGUUAUUAAUUUAUUCGCUUGCCCAUUACAUGUUUUUGCGUUUUGAGUGUAGAUAUGCUGUUAAUUAGUGAAGGUAAGUCCUGGUUUUCACCCAACCGAAAAGUUUUUCUUUCUUUUUUUUGGGUUUUUAUUAUUAGAUCCUAAAUCAUUUCUUGCUUUGUUCAUCUCAUGUUUUUGUGUUACUUUUAGUGAAUCGUUUUUGUAAAAUCACGAUCUGGGUUUUACCCUUUUUUUUGUUUUGCAUUGAAAGUUGUUUACUUCUUUUUUUUUUUUUUGAAGAGAGUUGUGUACUUCUUUUGUUUUGUAGUAUCCUAUAUUUUGAUUAUAUUUAUCAACUUUUUUCAUGAAAAUUUGCUGUUUUUAUGCUAGAAAGUGAUGAAAAGUUUCAUUUCUGUCACACUUUUUUUCUUCAGAGGUGCAUAAUUAUUUCCCUGACAAAUUGGCGUUAAAGGUUAAAAGCCAGCUUUUUUAUUUUGGCUCAUUAAAGGCUUAAAGCAGGGCUAGACUGACACAUUAAAGAGAGUUACUAGAGCCGUUGGUUAGAUAAAUCUGAACAACCUGUGACAAUAACAAGUCGUAGAAGUAAAUGCAGCAUUUUAAGGCAAUUUUAGUUGAUGGUUUUUGUUGCUGAGAAUCUUGUAGUGGGUUUGUUUUCAGUACAGCAUAGUCCCUUUUAACUUGGGGCUUUUGUUUGUAGGUUGAUCAAGUGACUCAUAAGGGUUUGUUGUGCUUCUGUUAUGUCAUUUGCGGCUGCGGCAGUGCCUUUGAAUCAUGCCUCUGGAGGUCCCCCUACAGGUUUGCUUCAAUAUUUGUGAUUUAUUGAUGAUUCAUUAGUGUCAAAUGAUGUACUGUUCAUUGGCGUCUUUUUGUAUUGGUUGUAUUAAUUUCAAAUUAGUGAUGGAAUCUGACUGAGGCAAACGGGUUACAGGGCUAAUGUUUGUUUGCACCUGAUGUAGUCUAUGACUUGCACCAUGGCUUAUGUAACUACAAUUCUUCAGCAGUUUCUUAAUUGUUGCAGUUAAUUGUGUUUGGUUGUUCUCAAGAACAGUUCUUUGAUUCUGAGAGCAUGCUUUUAUCAUAAUCGUUUCAAUAUAGAAGCUAGAAGAUUCUUUUGGGUACACAGCACACAGUAUCAGAUGAUUCACAUUUGUUUUUCUUAGAUAUGAAAGUUAUUAUUAUUCUUUUCAAACUUUUGAAUCCUAACCGGACCAAUAUUGUGUGACAGUGCGCUUUCUUAUGAAUUUACGGUUUUGAACUUUUGCUUUGAUUUUGAUCUGUACCCAAUUUCAUGAUGGCUGAUAAAUGAUAAUAAGGUAUAUUUUGUCGGGGACUGGGAUAGUAAUUUUGUCUUCAUGUCAUCGCAGUGUGUUGUAUUUUAUGAUCUCAUUGAUAUGUUUGGGCGGUUUGUGUUUUGCUCUCUUUCUUCCUGUCCCAGCUUCAUUUUCUGCUUACUUUGCCCUUUGUGUUCACUUUAUAGGGGGAUCCAAUGAUGCACUGUACAGGGAAUUAUGGCAUGCCUGUGCUGGACCUCUUGCAACCCUUCCUUGUGAAGGGCAGCGAGUUUAUUACUUUCCGCAAGGUCACAUGGAACAGGUUUGUUGACCUUUAACUGGAAUCUGUCUCUGUUUGAGUGUUCUUUUAGUUUAUAUGAGUUUACUAUUAUAGAAUGACAAAUAUGAAUACCCUAUUAAAAAUUGCCAAACACAAAAAAUGGAAAAAAAAAAAAAAGAAAAGAAAAUGACCAAAGUGUAGAAAACACUCAACUUGUUUAACAGAAGAAUAUAAUGUGAAAAUAUCUAUCUAUCACCAUUUGCAGGUUAAAAAUUUUUUUCUUUCAAUGUCGUAGGGACAAGAAAGUUUCAAUCAUGUUAUAACUAAUGCUAUUUUUCAAAUUUCCAGCUUGAAGCAUCGAUGCAUCAGGAGUUGGAGCAGCAAAUGCCCUCAUUUAAUCUGCCAUCUAAAAUUCUGUGUAAAGUGGUUAAUGUUCAGCGACGGGUGAGUUAUCUCAUGAUCAUUCUAUUAUUUUUUGGGGAGCAUGUCAUUGUUCUUGAGCUCUGUUAAAAAGUUGUUUCCAUUUCUAAGUCCUUACUUCAGUUGCUCUUUUUGCUUUGACUGUAGGCUGAACCUGAAACGGAUGAAGUUUAUGCACAAAUAACUCUGUUGCCUGAACCUGAUGUAAGCUUUCUUCCUUUUGCUCUAAUCUUUUAAUUAGCUGAUUUAGAAACUACUAAAUUUGUUAGCUUGUUAUAGUUGCUUGCAAUUCUUACAGUUUCUUUCUUUCAUGUCUGUCUGUGUUAAUUUCACCAGCAAAGCGAGGUUACCAGCCCAGAUCCCCCCAUCCCAGAGCCUGAAAAGUGCACCGUUCAUUCAUUCUGUAAGACAUUAACUGCAUCUGAUACGAGCACCCAUGGUGGGUUCUCCGUUCUUCAUAGGCAUGCAGAUGAUUGUCUCCCCCCAUUGGUUAGCUUCAACUGUGAAUCCAUCAUUUUUGUGUCAGAUACUACAGGAUGAUAUGUUGUAUUUACAGCUUGCUUGACCUGCCUGUCUCCCUUGAUCAUUUCAGGAUAUGUCCCGGCAGCCACCUUGGCAGGAACUAGUUGCAACUGAUCUGCACGGGAAUGAAUGGAAUUUUCGGCACAUUUUCCGAGGUUUGGCUCCAACUUCUCUGACUUGAUAUAACACUUUGUUGCUUAAGUUGAAGCAGAAACAUUGCUGCAACAUGCUUAUUUUUAAAGUUUGCCAGGUUCAUGUAUUUUGUUAAAUAUUUUAUCCAAUGUAUUAUAAAUUACACAUGGUUUCUGGAAAUUUGAGGAUUUUGAUACAAAGUCAAGGUUUCCUAUCACAGAUCAACCAAGGCGUCACUUGCUCACCAUUGGGUGGAGUGUGUUUGUUAGUUCCAAGAAAUUGGUAGCAGGCGAUGCAUUCAUAUUUCUGAGGCAAGUACUGGUAUAUCAAAUAGGAAACGAAGUAUGUUCUGUUUCGUUGCUUUGUUUCCUAUAUUUAUCGUGUUCGCUAUUGAUAACUGUUUCAGAGGGGAAAAUGAGGAGCUGCGUGUUGGGGUAAGGAGGCACAUGAGACAGCAGACAAAUAUGCCAUCUUCAGUUAUAUCUAGUCAUAGUAUGCAUCUUGGCGUACUUGCAAUUGCUUCUCAUGCCAUUGCAACUGGAACUCUCUUUUCAAUCUUCUACAAACCAAGGUAUUUUCCUUUGUGCAAUUUGAAGUUUGACGAGUGAAACAUUUCCAAUUUCUGAAUUGAAAGAGAGUAAAACUUAGGACUAAAUGCCCAAAACUCAAUGUAAAGGCAUGAAAUUUUUUUUUAAAGAUGUUGUCUUACAAACAUCGAAAUUUGCCAGCACUUCUAUAGUUUGGGCUUCUUUUUUAAAAAAUCCCUCUAUGUUCUAUCAUGCUAUGUAUUUUUCGAAUUAUCAUUAUUAAUAUUUUUCAAUAAAAUAUUUUUGACAUAAAAUAUAAUUAUGUGCCAGAACUAGCCGGUCUGAGUUCAUUGUAAGUGUUAACAAGUAUCUUGAAGCUAAAAAACACAAGCUUUCUGUUGGGAUGGGGUUCAAGAUGACAUUUGAGGGUGAGGAAGUUCCUGAACAAAGGUAACCUUCCUUUCUAAUUUAUUUUUGUAGAAGAGGAAGUUAAAUAACAUUUAUUAACCAAUUUUAUCAUCGUUCCACAGGUUCAGUGGUACUAUAGUCGGAGUUGGGGAUUGUAAAAGUUCAGUCUGGCCAGAUUCAGAGUGGAGAUCCUUAAAGGUUAGCAAGUUCUUUUCCCAUACACCAACUUAGUUUUGAAUUCAUUCAAAGAAUUUACUAAGGUGGCCAUUCCAAUAUUCCACUCAGUUUUAUCCACACUUUUAUACUAAUCAAAUUAAAUAGUGGCUUUUAAAAUUACUAAUUUUUUAGAAGAUUAGGUGUUUGUUUCCUUUGUAACCGGUCAAAUAUUUCUGUGUUUUGAAUUUUGGCGGGGGGAACUCUGUGUGGCCUGGUUGACUUUAUCAUGUUUCAAUUUUAUGUUAGGUUCAAUGGGAUGAACCUUCAUCAAUCUUGCGACCAGAUAGAGUAUCAUCGUGGGAAUUGGAGCCACUUGUUGCAACUACAACUACUACAAAUGCUCAACCAGCACAAAGGAACAAACGGUCACGACCACCUGUUUUACCAUCACCAGCUGCAUGGGAUGAACCUUCAUCAAUCUUGCGACCAGAUAGAGUAUCAUCGUGGGAAUUGGAGCCACUUGUUGCAACUACAACUACUACAAAUGCUCAAACAGCACAAAGGAACAAACGGUCACGACCACCUGUUUCACCAUCGCCAGCUGCAGAUAUCUCUGUCCUGGGUAUUAUAGCUUUAGAUAUGAUGCAUCUUGUUCUUAUUCUUCUUUACUUCAGUUGCUAAUCUUGUCUUUCUGUAUUUAUGUGGAAAACCGUGCAGAAAAUUUAACAGAAUCAUUUGCUCCAGUUGUGAACAAAGAAUCCAGUGAAAAGAGACAGGGCAAUGGGAACACCUGCAGGCAAUUUGGCAUUCCACACAUUGACAACUCGAAUGUAGAAGAAGCUUCGCCUGCUUUUACCAUGUCUGGAGCAAUGGGGGAUGAUCGAGCAAUUCCAUGUUUAGAUGCAGACUCUGACCAGCAUUCUGAACCAUCAAAUAUUAAUCGAUCUGACGUUCCUUCUGUAAGUUGUGAUGCAGAGAAAUCGUGCCCGAGAUCUCCUCAGGAGUCUCAAAGCAGGCAGAUUCGAAGUUGCACAAAGGUAAUAUGGUUGCUUUCUGUUUUAACUUUCCUUUCUUAACAAGCUAGCAUGCAUUAGAUAAGAUCUCAGAAAGGGCUUUAUUUUCCUUUUGAAAUUUUAGUUUUUGUCUGCCCGACAGGCAUCCUCUCUGUCUAUGGAACCGGUUUAUAAUGUCUCUUCGAAUGGGAAAUUUAGAAGAAGAAUAAUGUCAUGGCAAAAGGGUGAGCUUUUGGGAAGUGGGUCAUUUGGGUCUGUGUAUGAAGGCCUCACUGAGUAAGUGAAUUCUGUUCCUGUAUUAAUGUUCUUGGAACUUGUGAAAAGGAGUUUAAUUGUUCUGAUUGUAUUUCAAUACCCAUUUGGUUACAUAGCCUUAUUGAUAUGUACCUGCUGAAGGUUUUUAAUGAGUUAAAGGAUGUACAAUGUUGGAUUAGAAGGAAGUUUCUAGGAACUUAUUGAAUACUUUUUCUGCUUUCUGAAAGAUACUACAGGAAAAGUGAUAGACUUCAUGAUGAGAACUCAAUGGGGUUUUGGGUAUGCUACUUGUAAAUCUACUCGUCUUAUUUGUCAAGAUAAUCAUGCAAGAUGAAUUCAAUUUUGUUUUUGAGGCAGGGUAAUUUGAUGACGAGCUAGACUGAAUGUUCUUUUGCAUAUUCUUACUUGAAACAAUGAAGUUUUGCAACUAUUUUACGUUUUACUUCUAAAUAUUUCUAAGAUUUUGAGGUGUAUUUUAUUUGUUUUUGCAAUGAGUCCAUAUUCUGAAAGUGGUUAGGAUUAUGUCUGUGUGGUCAGACUUACAAUGAUUAACUUGGCCUUGUUUACUAUCUUUGAUGUGCAUGUUUAUGUGCAAACGUCCAUGAGCAUAUACUUUUUUUUUUUUUUUUGGGGGGGGGGGGGGGGGGGCAACUUCUCUAAUGCUUUCUGGUUUGUUUGCAGUGAUGGAUUCUUUUUUGCUGUGAAGGAGGUUUCUUUGCAGGAUCAAGGAGCUCAGGGAAAGCAGAGCAUUCUUCAACUUGAGCAGGUGGGAUGAUUAGUCUUGUCCUGCUGGAACUCCAUUACAUAUUAUUCUGUAGUCUUUUUCUCUGCUUUAAAUUACAAAUCAUGCAGUUGCAUAUUUUUAUCCCGCCUCUAAAUAGCUACAUGGAAGGAUCAUUUCUCUAAUAAUAUGUUUAUUGGCUCAGGAAAUUUCUCUUUUGAGUCAGUUUGAACAAGACAACAUAGUUCAAUAUCUUGGCACAGACAAGGUAUGCGUCUAUCCUCCGUGCUUGCUUUUUUUUUGCCUUUCAUUUCCUCAUAGUAAUAUUUGUGAAGUGAGGGUCAGAACUUUGUGCUUGUAAUGACAUUUAUAGACUCCUAACACCUAUGAUUUUUCUGGAAUUUGAAGCACUGUGAAUUAAUGCAUGUUAUUGACUUUAGCACUAUUUGAAUUUUUUUUUUCUCUUUUAAGUGAAAUUAUACUGUCAUUGUCCUUAUCAUUAACACAAUCAAUUGGAUUAAGUAGUCAUACUUGACAGGAAAUACUUCAGAAUCAAAGUUUUAUGCUACAAUGAAAUCGCCAGUAUUCCCAAACUAUCCAUAUACCCGUGGGGAACUCUAUUAUUGCCAGCUUUAAUUUCUUCCUGCUACAUUUAGUUGUGCAAUUCAUUAUUAUCUGGCAUUUCAGUAUAUAUAAACCUAUCUUAUUUGUUAAAGUACACAAAGAACAAGGAACUUCCCACUAGUCCUAAAUUUGAAGAAAAAUGCAGUCCUGCUGCACACUUUGUGUGGCAUAUUAACUAAUUUUUUGAAUUUCUAUGGAAUUUGUCUCUGUUGUAUUAAAUUGUCCUUUUAUAUCUGGUUGUUUAGGUGUGCUUAUUUCAUUUCUGACUCUUUAAUUCUAAGUCACCAAAUGAUCUCAGGAUGAAAAUAGGCUUUAUAUCUUCCUUGAGCUUGUAACGAAGGGUUCACUUGCAAAUCUUUAUCAAAAGUACCACUUGAGUGAUUCUCAAGUCUCUUCAUACACAAGGCAGAUCCUGAAUGGCUUAGUAUAUCUUCAUGAGCGGAAUGUGGUUCACAGGUGAUAUAAUUGAUUUGGCUGCUAUUUUCUCAGUUCAUUUUCCUUAUCAUGCUGUGUCCUCUCAAUAUUCCACAUUUUAUGUCAAGAUGUCUCGGUGCAAAUAGAUGUAGCAUUCAUGAUUGUUUAUGCAGAUAGGAAAUCAGUUCUUUCUCUUGCUGUUUGUUUGCAAUAUGUUAUUAUUUAUACCAUUCGUUUUCUUUCCAAAAAUGCAGAUUUUUGGAGCUCAAUCUUUAAAACUAGUCUGGAAACCUGCAUAUUGUUAAGCAUUUCUAUUGCUGAUACUUUGUAUAUAAUUUCGUGAUGGUAUUAGAAAUAAGAUGUUGCAGAGGAAAGGUUGAGAAAAUUGGUAGAAACAAAGAGAAAAAGGUAAAAGCGUACAGAAAUAACAAAAGAGCAUUUAAAGUUGUAGGAUGUUUUGUAAACAGCUAACCAUGUUGAAUAUGCAUUUUGAAGAAAUAGUUGCAAUCAUAACCAUUUACAGAUAGUUUUAAUCCCUCACAAGGAAAAUUACAUUCUCAGUUGCUGCAAAUCAUGGAUAUUGGUUUCAUUCAAGGUUAAACAGAAGAUAGCAAUAACAGAGGUUGUUAUUUGGAAUUGAGGGAAAGUUUGCUUAACUGUUAUCAUCUUGCAAGUGUUAAUCAUAACUUAGCAGCUGCAGAGUUUCAACAGAAUAAUAAUCUAGUAUCUUCUUAGUGCAUGUACUGGGGAUGAAUUUAUAGACAAGGUAAAUCUCAGUUGAUGAGAGUAAGAAAUUCUUCUCUCAGCAAAAUGUUAUCAAAAUGCUCAUUCAGAUAGCUCACUGAUUGUUUACAGACUUACGAAAAUUGUUAAAAAGCGUGUGGUGAAUAAAUAGCUUGUGUGAAUUAUUUUUUAAAGAGAAAAAUUGAAAUGCAUUUCCAGGCUGGGUACAUAGCUGGUCUAUUUUUUGGGCUACUAUAAUUGUGGCAGGUGAACUUAGCAAUGACACUUGAAAGUUGCUUUUGUUAUACUAUUUUAAGUAUGUCUCUUUUAAAAUUUGCCUCUUUUCAUUUUCAAGGGAUAUCAAAUGUGCAAAUAUAUUGGUAGAUGCUAGUGGAUCAGUAAAACUUGCGGAUUUUGGGUUGGCAAAGGUAGUUAAUCUCUCCCCUUCUUUGUAAAACUCAUGAAUGCUACUGAAUUUAAUGCAAUAUAUUUGAUCUUUUCAGGCAACUACAAUGAAUGAUCUCAAAUCCUGUAAAGGAACACCAUUCUGGAUGGCCCCUGAGGUUUUCCUCUUCUGUUGUAGUCUGAUUUAUAUAGACAAAAUCUGAUCUAUUUGCUGAAUGUCCCUCAUUCACAAUCGAAUUUGCAUGGUCUAAAGGUUUAACUGAUCUACUUGUUUAUAACCAUUGAUAUCUUGGUCAUUGUCAAAUUUGAGAGCUCUGGGACACAUAAAAUCUAAUUUUUUUCAACCUUUUAGCUUGACAUGUUUGCAGCAGUUUUUAGGAGGUUAAUUUUUGAAUUUGACACUACUGUGUUUCUAUAGCUUGCUUUUGUAUAGCUUUAAAGAUUGCAAAUCAGAUCCUCUACCUUCUUUCAUUUGAAUUUUGAAACAUUAUCUGCUCCCGUUCAUUUGAAGUUGAUGAGAAAAGGCCUCUCUUUAAUUUAGAUGUAGUUAAUACUAGUCCUAUAGUUGAUAUUGGUACACAUUCAUCAAAAAUUAUUGCCCAGACAUAGGACCAAAAACCUGGAAACUGACUCAUGGUAAAGAGUAAACAUCUUUUCAUAUAUCAUAUUGACACAUACCGAAAAUGUUUCUAUUAGACAUUUCAGGUUAACAAGAUUAGUUUUGCUUCUUAGGUUGUAAAUUCAAAGAAUGACGGCUAUGGACUAACUGCUGAUAUAUGGAGCCUUGGGUGUACUGUGUUGGAGAUGUUAACCCGUCGGCCUCCAUACUCUCACUUGGAAGGCGUACGUAAAAAAUUUUCAUAUAUUAAAAUUGAUUUGCUUUCCCUACUUUUCCAUGUUUUGUUUUAUAUGCCUGUUUUUUCUUGUUAAACAUCUUGUGAUUUGUAAAAGGUUGCAUCAGUUUUGAUAUGGUGCUUAGUUGUUGCAUAAUUUUGUGUGUUGGCAGGUGCAAGCAUUAUUCAGGAUAGGCAAGGGUGAACUUCCUUCAGUUCCCAGCUCAUUAUCGAGAGAUGCCCGGGAUUUUAUUCUUAAAUGCUUACAAGUUAACCCAAAUGAUCGGCCUACUGUAACUGAACUAAUGGAGCAUCCAUUUGUAAAGAGGCCACUGCAAACUCCUAGGUGACUUCUCCUCAUUAUAACAUUAUGCAGUCUUGAAAGUUUGUGAUUAUGCUUUGGGGUUUACGUAUAUUCUAGAGGUAGUCUAGCGGCAUCAUCAAAUUUAAAUUGCAACCUUUAGUUGUAGCUUUGACUUCUUGUUUGGACUUAAUAUCAUGGACAUACUGAAAAUAAUUGUUAAAUACAUUUAUAAACUAUCCAUUUGGGCUUGCAACUUCACUUUUCAAGCUUAUAGGGAACUAAGAAAUGGAGCUAGAUUGUGAUGCGUCCAACUGCCUUGGUGAUCCAAAUUCAGUGUGAAGGGAGUGAACAAGUUCCUCUAGAUGUUUUAAUGCAACCCCUUCCUGUUGAUAACUGGACAAACCUUGAGAGAUUAUUGCUUUUUAUACUGAUUUGCUUUGAGGUUAACCUACAAGUCAACAUUGUUAUUGUGUCGUUUGGUUCUAUAUAUUUUAGAUUUGUGUUACUUUUCUUUAUUUUGCAUGCGUCCUUUGUUCGCAGGUGUGGCCAAGCCAAUUGCUAGUUCUUUUAAUAGCUUUGAGCUGAGGCACAUGUGGUGUUAAUACAAUGCUAAGAUCUCUUAAUCUAUGCUUAUGCAUAGGCUGAGAAUCUGUUCAUAUGAAGAAGCAGAUGAUGUGUAAAUAUGUAAUUAGAUGUCGAUAUUUUGUGGUCUUGAUAAUCUGGAAUCUUAAAAUGGUGUUAUAAGAAAGCAAAUUGUUAUCAAUUGUUAGAGUAUUUUUCAUACACUACUUGAUGCUGUGACACGGAGAAAACUGAAAUGCCGUUACCUUGGAAAUUUCUUCCGGACAAAGCAUUGUAAAUUUCAGUUUUAGCAGAAAAGCAAUCCCUCUGCCUCUGCUUAGCCGCUCAACCUAUUGUUUCAUUUUCUUUUUUUCUUUUUUUAUUUACCGAAAAGAGUAAUACUAUUUUUACGCAUAAAAUUGCAUGUAAAUUUGUACAACAGUACAAGAUCACCCAAGACAAACACAAGAUACUGAAAGAUAAAUUUACUGAGGUCAUUAGUUUUUGCUUUAAAAAAUUAUUCAUGGCUGCACGCAAGGACAAAGGAGAGGUUAUUUUUUUUUUUCUUAAUGGAUAAAGAAAAGUCAGCAGUACUACGGAGUACAGGCACUUGUCGACAAUCAACACCUCAAUCCAUUUGUCCAGAUGAAAAAGGACAAAUUAAAUGACACGGAAAUAUCCAUUGGUGGAGCUGAAAAAGAUCAAAUAAAAGAGACACCUGUUUGUUGUCUUAUUGUCUGCAAAACAGUAAACACAAACAGAAACAGGAGAAGAAAAUUUUUUAACAGCGCAAUGAGAAAACAAAUGGGCAAGUUAUUGAAUUCGAAGGACUUCGAUGAUGGUCAGAAAAUUGGGUCGGGGAAGACCUUGAGAAGAUGGGGAUCUCCCUGCAAUGGCCGCAGAAGCUUCCAUAAGCUCGCCGAUCUCGACGAUCGACUCAAAUUACAGGUGAAUUAUCCCUUUAAUUUCUUUAUUUUUUUUCAGUUAUUAGUUAACUUAUGAUUCAAGUUAAUUUGGGUUAGCUUUAUUGAUUUAUUUAUUUAUUUUAAUUAUAUAAGUAAUUUUUGUAUUUACUUUUUUAGUUGUGUGCCUAAUUUCUUUGGGGUUAAUGCCUAAUGGGAAACUUUUAAAAUCAACACUCAAGAAUUUAAAUGCAGACUGACGGGUAAAGGUGAAUAGUACUAAAUGAUUGAAUUUAGGAUACCGAACUAAAUGUCAUCUCCGUGUGUUACAGGAACAAGUUACAGUUUCACCUGUCGUUCUAAAAGCGGUACUUCACUUUACAGAGAGUCCGAGUCUGCGUUCAAAUGAAGAUGUGCCAUCAAGUGAAUACAUUGUGACCGUGGCUGCCACCGAUGCCAGAAUAUUUCAAGAACCCGUUGAUGACGUUGGAUCCACCGUCAAUGGCCUUGAGGUAAUGAUAAUUUAUACUGAAACUUUUAUUCCUCAAUUCAAUUUUCAAAUAUCAAAGUAUGCUCUUUUGAUAUUUGAAAAUCCGAAAAUCGCUCAAGUAUCCAUUUUCCUGUGUUUGUGUUUACUGUUUUAAGUUUUAGUACCAAGAGCUUUAUAUAUGUUAAUAGAUGAGUUUGUGAGUAAUGUUUCAGUGGCUUAUGUUAGGAGUCUCACAAUUUGAUUUUUGUUUCAUGGUUAGGGCCUAGAGGAGGCAUUUGCCCCAAUUUGCUCAUUUGAUUCAGAUUCAAGUUUUGGUCUUAGGUGUUACAAUUUCAAUUACUUUGUAUUCGAGUUGGAUAAAUACCUGUAAUUUGGAUUAUAACUGCUCAGUAUAUAUGUAUUAUCUUCGCUGAGUAGCUUUUUAUUUAUGGGGCUCGUUGAGGGGAUUAAAUGAUGAUGUUAGUCUUUUGGUGUCAAGUCAUUUGAUAUUCUUGAAAUUCAUGAAACUUUUAUUAUGCCAAUUAGAAUAAAUGAAGCUGUUUUGAUUGGGUCACACGAGAAGCUUUUGAUGUGCCAAUUAAUUAUUAUCAUCUGGCAUAAAGGUACACCAUAUGCUAUGAAUCUUUUCAAAAAGUGAUUUUCAUUAUUAUCAUUAUCAUUAUUAUUAUUUAACAUAAAGAUUUUAUUAUUAUUAUUAAUUUUAAAGCAUUAAUAAUGGGGUAAUUAUAGACCCUUAGAUUUGUAUGUUUACCCUUUAAUCAUAAUCAUCCAACUUCCUGUUGAUCAAAUUCACUGCAAAAGUCGCUUUUGUUCCUGCUACAUAGCGGGCUUUUUUUAUCAGAAGUUUUGCAUGUAGCCGCCAGAAACUAGUUCAAAUGGUCAAUUAACAACAGCCGCUGUAAUAUAAGCGGACCCCAAUUAACAUCACCACGCAAUCAACAGAACAUCCCGCUAGCAGAUGUACGGUGGACAAUUAUUUCCUCGUGGCUGAGGAUUCAUCUGAACCAAAUGGACCCAUAUGUAAUAAAAAUAAAUAAAUAGAUAACAAAAAAGCAGGAGAACAAACGGAAAAUUUUAUAUUUUUCUGACAAAAUAAAGAGAUAGGUGGGGGCAGUGGAAAAUUGACUUUUUGAUGACUCUAUGGUCCGCCAUUAGAGAAUAACUGCAACCAAAUUAUGUUUUUCACUUCAAUUAUUAUUAUUAGUGUUAUUAAUAAUUAGGACUUCUUUAUCAACACCAAUCUCUCACUCAAAUUCAACGGCCAAAUUGUCGGGGGGUUGUGCUCGGCUGAUCAAAAGCAAGUAGUAUAGUUAGGGUUUAGUCUUGGAUAUAAGUUUAAGUAUCUGGAAUGGAAUAAUAGAUAACGUCUUGCACACCCAUGUUCUCUGUAAUUUUCUUAUUCACUUUUUAAAAAGUAAUCCAGUUUGAUGAUAGAACUCAAAUUUAUAAGGAAUUAUUAUCAAAUCGAUUAGAAUAACAACAACAAUUCAAAUUAGCAAAGUGUUAUAGAAUAAACGAUUCUUGUGAAGAAUCCAAUUUCGAAUAAAACAAUUUCACAUAUUGUAUUUUAUCUUUUCUCUUUUUACUUUCUUUUUUAAAUUUAAAAUAACCCUUUUAACCGUUUGUCAAUUAGUUAUAUAAUUUUAAAAAUAAUUAAAAUUUUUAUUAAUAAAAAUAAUGUGCACCAUUGAUUAAAUCUAAUGGUAUAUAUUUAUGAUAUUAUUAAUAGUGUAAAAAAAAUUGUAGCAUUAUACUGGGACCACAAAACUAUCGUUUUCUCCUGAAAAAUCUUGCCAACAAAAUUAGCAGCCCCCACAAUGGAGAGAUUUAUGUACCUUACAUAUUUAUUUAGUUAUCAGUUAUCAAAUUCAUGAUUAUAUUAUUUUCUUGAAAAUUAUCUUCAAAGUUAUUGUGUUCCACAACAUAUUUCCCAGAUAGCCUUAUAAAGUAAUUCAAUCUGGAUGCUACAAAAAGAUCACAAACCAAAUAUUUAUAUGUAAUUAAGAUUAUCUUAUGUGUGACUAAGUAUAUAAUUACUCCUAUUGAGAAUCUAUAAAUGGUCCGAUUGGUCUUGCGUGCACUUAAUUUCGAGGGAAUUAAUAUUUUAUAUGCAAUCAUAAUCCUGAUAAACUCACUAUGGGUUUAAUUGAAUAGUGAUGUGUUGAUCCACAUCUACGUUGUGAUUGGUGCAACCGACCCAAUCGAUCAAGGCACUCCAGGACCAAUAUUUGACUCUAGGUUAAUGGAUCAACUAUGAAUUGGACUUAUCAAUCAAGACACCGAAUGCAUACUUUUUACUGUUAUUUGUUAUCUUUUGAGUUGACUUUUUAAAAAUUAAAUAAAUUAUUUUAUCUCUAUUAGUAAAAGAUUAAAUUUUAGUCUUUUGAGAGCAGAGGUUGAGAAGCUUUUUUAAAAUGUUAAAAUAUCUAAAAUACCCUUAACUAAUUUAAUAGUCUUAUUUUAUUCAUUUUAUAACAUGACGUCAAAUAAUUUACACAUUACAGUAAUUUUACAAUUAUUAAUAAAAGUUCUCAUUGAUAACUAAACAACUAAUUUUUUUUAGGUUAAAAUCUCCACUUGUAAAAGUUCUACUAACAAAAGUUCUACUUAAAAAAAUUUUAUUUGAAAAGUUAUACCAAACAGAACCUUUAAGGCAUAUAACCAAAUCCACAAUGACAACUCAAUCCAUACCGGCAUUAAGAUAUAGUUAUGUGAAAUAAUUUGUUAUUUAUGGAGUAAUCACAAUUUUUUGUGUGAUGAUAUCAAAAAAUUUAGCCGACUCCUCUAGUAACUAAAAGUCUUGCAAGGGUUGGGACUUUCAGCACCAUCUUAGUUAUCACCAGUGAUCGAGCCUAACCCAACACUUGAAACAUUAAGAUCUUAAAUUCAAUGAGUAGAAGACAAGCAUUACAAUUUUUCAAGAUACAUUCUAUGGUAUACAUCUGGUUCAUACGAAAAUAUGAAAAAUAGUUAAUUUAUAAAAUAUAUUAUCAUAACAAGAUUUAUUUUCUUAUUAAAUUAAUCACAUAGAUUCAUUUGAUUUUAAAAAUGGUUACAUGGAUACUUAAAAAAAAUAAAAAUGGUUACGUACUUACAUAGACAUUAGACACCAUUCAAUGAACCAAAAGGGAUUUUAUGGCAAAAUAGAUAUGCAAAGAAUAUCUUGUACUGUGGAACCAAAUUUUUAUUAUAUAUGAUUGAUAUACAUAGAAAAAUUAGUUUCACAACUUUAAUCGCCUUAAACCGGGUCUAUACAUUUCUUCUGAAUUAGUCCCACAAAAAAUCAUCAACCUGUCGAGGUUAUCUUAUCUAGAUCUCUCUGAUUCUUCAUUUUCUAGUCAAAUACUAUCAGAAAUAUUAGAGCUCUCGCCAACUAGGUGUCCUUGAAUUAUCAGAAAAUUUAGAUCUUCAACUGUCCAGAAGCCAAGUCUCGGAAAUCUAGUUGAAAAUUGUUAACCAUCCUAAAAGCACUUGAUUUUUUGUGUUGGCAGAUGCAAGCAUUAUUCAGGAUAGGCAGGGGUGAACUUCCUCCGGUUCCUAACUCAUUAUCGAGAGAUGCCUGGGAUUUUAUUCUUAAAUGCUUACAUGUUAACCCAAACGAUCGGCCUACUGCAGCUCAACUAAUGGAGCAUCCAUUUGUAAAGAGGCCACUGCAAACUAGGUAACUUCCUUCUCCUCAUUAUAACAUCAUACAGCCUUGAAAGUUUCUGAUCAUCCUUUGGGGUUUAUGUAUACCUUAGAGGUAGUCUGGCAGCAUCACGAAAUUAAACAAUUAACUGCAACCUGUAGUUCUAGGUUUGAUUUCUUGUCUGGAUUUAAUAUCAUGGACAUACUGAACGUAAUUGUUAAAUACAAUUAUAAAAUAUCCAUUUGGGUUUGCAACUUCACCGUAAAGCUUAUGGGGAAAGGAGCAAGAUUCCGAAGCAUCCAAUGGCUGCCUUGGCGAUCCCAAUUCAUAGUAUGAAGGGAAUGAACAAGUGCCUCUAGAUGUUUUAAUCCAACUCCUUCCUGUUGAUAACUGGACAAACCUUGAGAGAUUCACAUUAGAUCUGGCCACUUUGCUUUUUAUACUGGUUUGCUUUGAGGUUAACCUGCAUGAUGACAAGGUUGUUGUGUCGUUUGGUUCUAUAUCCAUUAGGAAUAAUUCUUUAGGGAUACUGGGUUCAUGAUUAUGAUUUAAUUUUAUCUUAUGAAAGAUUUCUUAUUGAUUUUAGGCCGAUGAUAUAGAUACGUAUUUGUUACUUAGGAUGUUAGGAGGUAAGUAAACUAGAUUUCUAAAUGAAUAACAAUAAAUAAUAUGUAUAUGUUUGACAUGUUUAAAAAGCCUAUUUUGGUAUAUAUGGAUAUGGAUUUAUAUGCUCUGCCCAUGUAUUUAUAUGAUGUGUUGUUAUGUGAUUUGUGUGUUUAUGGACAUGGGCAUAUGUAUGUGUGAAUCUUUCAUUAGCAUUAGCAUGGAAAUGAAUUAUGUUUUCUGUUAAAUGAGAAAGUGGAUUUUAGGCAAAACGGAAUUUGAAGAAAGAAAGUGAGUUUUACAGUUUUAGCUUGGAUGCUUGAAUUUGUUACUCAUUUAGUGAAAGCCACUCCGGAUGUUAUAUUAUGGUUAAGAGAUAAGUGGGUGAGGGACGUAUUGACGUGAAGCUCAAAGUGUAUGAAAGUCAUGAAAGUUAAGUGAGUGUUCUACUAAGCAGUAAUUGAAUGAAUGUAACUCAAGCAAGUGAUUUGAAAGAAAAUGUGAAAGCUUGAAAAUGACAAAAUGAGAUUUUGAUGAUUUGUUUUACAAUGUUUUCGAAUACCAUGGCAUGUCAUCCAUUUGCAUUAUAGAUACGUAUGUAUGUAUUUUGGUAUAUGAAAAACUUAUUUGCCUACUGAGUUUUGUACACAUUAUAUUUUAUUGUGAUUCAUCCCAAAAUUAGGAUUGAUUCACGAUGAGUCACAAGAAGAACUUGAAUUGAGGGCGGCAGAUGAUUUGACAUAAAUUUUAAAUUCUUCCGCUACAGUUUGUGUAAUAUCUUUGUAUUUGAAGCUCAAAUUUUUAUGGAUUGUAAAAUGUUUAUUUUUUUUAUUUUUUUAGUAUAUAUUUUUGAGUUGCAAUUAGAUUCACCCUGUGGAGUUUGGGGCGGGUUGUUUCAAUCAGUACUUUGUAAAUUUUAUAUGUUUAUGAGAAUCUGUUCAUAUGAAGCAAAUUGAGUAUAAAUGUGCUGUUAGAUGCUGACGUUUUGCGAUCUUGACAAUCUUAAACAGCUUUGGCUGUCGGGGAACUUAAAAAUGAGCAAAAGGAAAUUCAUUGUAUUAUGAUUGUUGAUAACAUACUUGUAGGAAAUAAACAGAUAACAUAAAGACAAGGUGUUGUUUGAUAUUAACCAAGUGAAUUCUUGUAAUUGAAUUUUAAUUCUGUAAAUUGAAAAGGGUAGUACAAACGGAGGUUACCCCUCCAUUUGUAGCCGAAUCAAGUGGUGUGUGAUGUGCGGGCAGGACGCGGGAAGCUCAUGCAAGUGAUCGAUGUGUGAUGUGGCUUGUUAUUUGGAAUUCAGGAAAAGUUUGCUUAACUGUUAUCAUCUUGCAAGUGUUAAUCAUAACUUAGCAGCCACAAAGUUUCAACAGGAUAAUAAUCUGAUAUCUUCUUAGUGCAUGUACUGGGGAUGAAUUUAUAGACAAGGCGAAUCUGAGUUGAAGAGAGUAGGAAAUUCUUCUCUCAGCAAAAUGUUAUAAAAAUGCUCAUUCAGAUCGCUCACUGAUUGUUAUAAAAAUCCUUUGGGGUUUAUGUAUAUCCUAGAGGUAGUCUAUCGGCAUCAUCAAAUUUAAACUGCAACCUGUAUUUGUAGAUUUGACUUCUUGUUUGGGUUUAGUACCAGGGACAUACUGAAAAUAAUUGUUAAAUACAUUUAUAAAAUAUCCAUUUGGGCUCGCAACUUCACAUGCAAGCUUACGGGGAACUGAGAAAUGGAGGAGCAAGAUUGUGAUGCAUCCAACGGCGGCCUUGGUGAUCCCAAUUCACUGCAUGAAGGGAAUAUACAAGUGCCUCUAGAUGUUUUAAUUCGACUCUUUCCUGUUGAUAACAGGGCGAACCUUGAGAGAUUCACAUUAGAUCUGGCUGCUUUGCUCUUUAUACUAAUUUGCUUUGAGGUUAACGUGCUUGUCGACAUGGUUAUUGUGUCAUUAGAUUCUAUAUCCAUUAGGAAUAAUAUUUUUUAUAGCUUGUGUUGCUCUUCUUUAUUUUGCAUGUGCCAUUUGUUCACAGGCGUGGCCAAGCGAAUUGCUAGUACUUUUAAGAGCUUUGAGAUGAGGCACAUGCGGUGUUAGUACAAUGCUAAGCAUCUUUUUGCCGUUGAAUCUACCUGCCAGGCAAUUCUUGGCACUGAAAACAGAGAUGGUGCAUUCUAGAUGAAUAUGCACAAGGCACAACUGCUCAUGAUGCAAAAUCUGAGAAACUGAGAUGGUGCACCCAUUCUUUCAUCGCUCAUCGACCUCCUGCGGACAGACCAGUGGCAUUUAAAUUGCUAGGUUUCCUUCCCUUCUUGUGGGCUAGGUUUUUUCUGUUACGAUUUUCUUUUCUUUGGCGGAGUGUGUGACAUCAAUUUGGUGUAAAUAACACUUUUUCAAAAAGUAAAAAUCGGCACAUGUGAAAUUUAUUUGUUGCAUUUUAUGGAGUCCUCAAAGGUAAAUUCUGUCAAUAUAUGCUUAUGCAUAGGCUGAGAAUCUGCUCAUACGAAGAAGCAGAUGAUGUGUAAAUAUGUAGAUAGAUGCCGAUAUUUUGUGGUGUUGAUAAUCGUAAACAUCUUUGGCUUUUGCGAAUCUUAAAAUGGUGUUAUAAGAAAGCAAAUUGUUGUCUAUUUUUUGAAUAUUUUUCAUACACUACUUCCAGCUGUGCCAGGGAGAAAACUGAAAUGCUGUUACCUUGGAAAUUUCUACCGGAGGAAGCAUUGUAAAUUUCAGUUUUACCAGAAAAGCAAUCCCUCUGCCUCAACCUAUUCAUUUUCUUUUUUAUUUAUUUUUAAUCCUUUUUUUUUUAAUUGAGCGAAAAGUGCAAUACCAUUUUUGCGCAUAAAAUUACCUGUAAAUUCGCACAAGAUUACCCAAGACAAACACAAGAUACUAAAAGAUAAAUUUAAUUUACUCAGGUCAUUAAUUUUUGCUUUAAAAAAUUAUUCAUGGCUGUAUGUCACCGCCUCCACCUAUCCUCCACAUUCCCCAUUCCAUCUGUCACGUGUAACACAACAAACCCUUUUCUUUUUUUUUUCCUAUUAUUUACAGUUAUAAAGCACUUUCCAGUUAUAAAGCACGAAAGGACAAAGGAGGGGGGUUUUUUUUUUUUUUUCCUCCAAGCGAAAAGGAUAAAGCAAAGUCAGCAGUACUACGGAGUACGGAGUACGGAGUACGGACACUUGUUGACAAUUAACAGCUCAACACUGUCUUACUCGGAAAUAUCCGUUUUCCAGCUGAAAAAGAUAAAUUGAAGUACACGGAAAUAUCCAUUUGUCGAGCUGAAAAAGAUAAAUAAAAGAGAAACCUGUUUGUUGUAUUAUUGUCUGCAAAACGCACAUNNNNNNNNNNNNNNNNNNNNNNNNNNNNNNNNNNNNNNNNNNNNNNNNNNNNNNNNNNNNNNNNNNNNNNNNNNNNNNNNNNNNNNNNNNNNNNNNNNNNACAGAGAGAGAAGAAAAAUUUUUAACAGCGCAAUGAGAAAACAAUUGAGCGAGUUAUUGAAUUCGAAGGACUUCGAUGAUGGUCAGAAAAUUGGGUCGGAGAAGACCUUGAGACGAUGGAGAUCUGCCUGCAAUGGCCGUAGAAGCUUCCAUAAGCUCGCUGGUCUCGACGAGCAUCUCAAAUUACAGGUGAAUUAUCCCUUUUAUUUAUUUUUUUUAAUUAUUAGUUAACUUAUGAUUCAAGUUAAUUUGGGUUAGCUUUAUUGAUUUAUUUAAAUUAUAUAAGUAAUUUUUGUAUUCACUUAUUUAGUUCUUUGCCUAAUUGCGUUGGGGUUAAUGCCUAAUGGGAAACUUUAAAAUCAACACUCAAGAAUUUAAAUGCAGAGUCAAGAGUAAAGGUGAAUAGUACUAAAUGAUUGAAUUUACGAUACCAAACUAAAGGCUUUCUGUGUGUUAUAUAGGAACAAGUUAGAGUUUUCUAUAUAUGUUGUUCAAAAGCUGUACUUUCACUUUACUGAAAAUCUGAGCCUGCAGUCAAAUGAAGAUGUGCCAUCAAGUGAAUGCAUUGUGACUGGGGCUGGCACUGAAGCUAGAAGAUUUCAAGAACCCAUUGAUGAUGUUGGAUCCACAAUCGGUGGCCUUGAUGUAAUGAUAAUUGAUACUGAAACUUUUGUAACCUCACUUAAAAUUGAAUUUAGGACACCGAACUAAAUGCCGUCUGUGUGUUACAGGAACAAGUUAGACUUUCACCUGUCGUUCUGAAAGUGGUACUUCACUGUACAGAAAAUCUGAGUCUGCGUUCAAAUGAAGAUGUGCCAUCAAGUGAAUACGUUGUGACCGAGGCUGCCACCGAAGCCGGAAUACUUCAAGAACCCCCCGUUGAUGACGUUGGAUCCACCGUCAAUGGCCUUGAGGUAAUGAUAAUUUAUACUGAAACUUUUAUUCCUCAUUUCAAUUUUCAAAUAUCAAAAUAUGCUCUUUUGUUAUUUGAAAAUCGCUCGAGUAUCCAGUUUUCUGUUUGUAUUUGGAUACAUCGAGGUAAGAAUAUUAAAGUUUUGCAUACAAUUGGCCUCCAAUUUCUGAGUUUAAAAUUUGUAACUUAAUGAAUGACAAUACAAUUCCAUUGAUUGAGAUGUAUAACUGCAUUCUUUGUAUAUUACAGAUUUGUGAGCUACUUGGUAAAUAUAAGAAACGUGCACUUGCUGUGUUUUAUCUUGUGUUGGAAGCAGCAUCCUUUUUACUGGAUAUAUUUGGGAAAAGUAAGAGGAGGAUCCUUCUUGCUGCAUUUCUAUUGUCAGCAUUUGGUUUUGCUAUUACUAUGAGUACGCAUUCUUGGACCGUGAGAAGAAACAUAGCUGCAACCAGAAUGCAUUUACAGAAGCGACUACUUAUGUUGUUGGAAAUGUCUUUCUCUUUGGUCCAGUUGAUUGUUACGCUUAUUUAUUUUAUUCUGGCGGAAUUGGGUGUCAAGAACAAUUUCAAUACAUCUGUUUUCCCACUGGUCUUUGCUAUAAUUGCUGCUGUGUUUACUUUCAAAUAUGAUGGGGAAGUUUCUGAAUCGGGCCUCGACAGUGCGCUUGUGGCCCUAGCUGCUGGUAAUCAGGUAUGAUUGUGAGCACAAUUGUAAUCAUCAAGCUGCACUUGGUGAAUUCGCAUAACUUAUCACCUCUAUGACUAUGAAUUCCUACAAAUAUAGAGAAAACUGCAUGAGACUGUAUGCUUUUGCAAUAUUGUGGAAAGAAGGAAAUAUAAAGAUUGUGAGAUUGCAUUGUGUAAGUCAAUAUAAAGAUUGUGAGGUCUAUAAAAGAUUGCUUUAAUAAUUUGUAUGCAUAAUGCUGGGGUGCCUCUGUAGAUUUGGAAAUCCUCUAUGUAAUUAACGAUUGUUGUGGCAGUAUGGCCAAAUCAGUACAGAUAUCAAAUCUUUGAUAGUUUGCACCUUUUUAGGUUCAUAUGCCAAAUAUUACUGGCAAUGAGGAUCCAGAAGCAAACGGCUGCAUGCCUAUGCUGGCAGACUUCCGAUGAUUAAUGAAGAUGAUUCUGAGAAACGAGGUCCAUAUGCUUGUUCUUCACUCUGCCUUCAGGCUUACUCUUUCUCUCACACUAUUUACACAAACUCUCUUUUCAGUACCGAAAGCUUUAUAUAUGUUAAUAGAUGAGUUUGUGAGUAAUGUUUCACUGGUUUAUUUUAGAAGUCUCACAAUUUGAUUUUUGUUUCAUGGUUAGGACCUAGAGGAGGCAUUUGCCCCCAUUUGCUCAUUUGAUUCAGAUUCAAGUUUUGGUCUUAGGUGUUACAAUUUCAAUUACUUUGUAUUCGAGUUGGAUAAAUACAUGUAAUUUGGAUUAUACCUACUCAAUAUAUAUGCAUUAUCUUCUCUGAGUAACUUUUUGUUUAUGGAGCUUGUUGAGGGUAUUAAAUGAUGGUGUUAGUAUUUUGGUGUCCAAGUCAUUUGAUGAAAUUCAUGAAACUUUUAUUAUGCCAAUUAGAAUAAAUGAAGCUGUUUUGAUUGGGUCACAGAAGAAACUUUUGAUGUGCCAAUUAACUAUUGAUCGGUAUGGUCAAUUAUCUUGGGUAAAAGGUACACUAUAUGAUAUGAAUCUUUUUGAAAAGUGAUUUUAUCAUUAUCAUUGUUAUUAUUAUUAUUAUUUAACAUAAGGAUUUUAUUAUUAUUAUUAACUUUAAAGCAUUAAUAGUAGGGUAAUAAUAGACCCUUAGAUUUGUAUGUUUUAAUCAUAAUCAUCCAACCUCCGGUGACCAAAUUCACUGCAAAUGUAGCUUUUGUUCCUGCAAAUGCAGCUUUUACCAGAAGUUUUGCAUUUCGCCUCCAGAAACUAGUUCAAAUAAUCAAUUAACGUCACCAUGCAAUCAAUAGGACAUCCCACUAGCUAUGUUCAUGUGCUAGUAGAUGUACAUUGGAUUAUUAUUUUCUUGUGGUUGAAGAUUCAUCUGAACCAAAUGGGCCCAUGUGUAAUAAAAAUAAAUAAAUAAAUAACAAAAAAGCAGAAGCACAAACAGAAAAUUUAAUAUUUUUCUGACAAAAUACAGAGAUAGGUGGGGGCAGUGGAAGACUGACUUUUGAUGACUCUUUGUCCGCCAUUAGAGAAUAACAGCAACCAAAUUAUGUUUUUCACUUCAAUUAUUAUUAGUAUUAUUAAUAAUUAGGACUUCUUUAUCAACAUAAAUCUUUCACCCAAAUUCAACAACCAAAGUUGCCGGUGGGUUGUGCUCGGCUAAUCAAAUGCAAGUAUUAUAUUUAGGGUUUAGUCUUAGAUAGAAGUUAAGUACCUGAAAUAUAAUCAUAGAUAACGCAUUGUACACCCACGUUCUCUGCCACUUUCUCAUUCACUUUUUAAAAAGUAAUCCAAUUUGACAAUAGAAGUAUAGAACUCAAAUUUACAAAGAAUUAUUAUUAAAUCGAUUAGAAUAACAACAUCAAUUUAGAUUAGUAAAAAAAUGUUAUAGAAUAAACAACGGUUGUGAAGAAUCCAAUUUCAAAUAAAAGAAUUUCACAUAUUGUAUUUUAACUUAUCUUUUUUUCCUUUUUUUUUAAUAAAUUUAAAAUAACUCUUUAACCAUUUGUCAAUUAAUUAUAUAGUUUUAGAAAUAAUUAAAAUUUUUUAUUAAUAAAAAUAAUGUUCAUCGUUGAUUAAAUUUAAUGGUAUAUAUUUAUGACAUUAUUGAUACUGAAAAAAAAAAGUUAUAGCAUCACAGAGGGACUAUAGAAUUAUCGUUUUCUACUGAAAAAGUUUAGCAACAAAAUUAGCAGCCCCCACAAUGGAGAGAUUUAUGUGCUUUACAUAUUUCUUUAGUUACCAGUUAUCAAAUUCGUGAUUAAGUUAUUUUCUUGAAAAUUAUCUUUCAAAAUUAUUGUGUUCCACAACAUAUUUCCCAGAUAGACUUAUGGAGUAAUUUAAUUUGAAUGCUACAAAAAGAUCACAAGCCAUAUAUUUAUGUGCAAUCAAGAUUAUCUUAUGUGUUAUUAUGUAAAUAAUUACUCCUAUUGAGAAUCUAUAAAUGGUCCAAUUAGUCUUGCAUGCACUUAAUUUGGAGGGCAUUAAUAUUUUAUAUGCAAUCAUAAUCCUGAUAAACUCACUAUGGGUUUAAUUGAAUAGUGAUAUGUUAAUCCACAUCUGGAUCAACCGACCCAAAUUGAUCAAGCAACUCUAGGAUUAAUAUUUGACUCUAGGUUAAUGGAUCAACUGUGAACCGACAUUAUCAAUCAAGGCACCGACUUCCUACUAGCCCAAACCAAUAAUGCCACCUAUAUUCAAAUAAUAGUAAGUGUCUAUUUGAUAUAUUUUAUCUAAUAGUUAUAAAUGUUUAUUCAAUCUCAUAAUCUCUUUUCAAAAUUUUUACUGUUGCUUUUUUUUUUUUGAGUAGAGCUUUUGAAAACUAAAUAAGUUAUUUUAUUUCUACUAGCAAAAACUUAAAUUUUAGUCCUUUUGGUGUAUAGGUUGAGAAGUUUUCUUAAAAUGUUAAAAUAUCUAAAAUAUCCUUACUAAUUUAAUAAUCUUAUUUGAUUCCUUUCAUAACAUGACGUUAAAUAAUUUACAUAUUAAUUAAUUUUAUAAUUAUUAAUAAAAGCUCUCAUUGACAAUUAAACAACCAAUUUUUUAUUUUUGUUAAAACCUCCACUUGCAAAAACUCUACUAACAAAAGCUCUACUUAAAAAAAUUUUGUAUGAAAAGUUAUACCAAACGAAGCCUUAAACUCCGUUUAAGGUGCAUAGCCAAAUCCACAAUGACAACUCAAUACAUACUGGCAUUAAGAUAUAGUUAUGUGAGAUAAUUGGUUGUUUAUGGAGUAAUCACAAUUAUUUGUCAGAUGAUAUCAAAAAAUUUAGCAGACUCAUUUAGUAACUAAAGGCCUUGUAAGGGUUGGGACUUCCAGCACCAUCUUAGUUAUCACCAGUGAUCAAGUCUAACCCAAUACUUAAAACAUUAAGAUCUUAGAUUCAAUGAGUAGAAGACAUGCAUUAUAAUUUUUCAAGAUACAUUCUAUGGUACAUGUGGUUCAUAUGAAAUGAAAAAUAGUUAAUUUAUAAAAUAUAUUAUCAUCAGAAGAUUUAUUUUCUUAUUAAAUUAAUCACAUAGAUUCAUUUGAUUUUGAAAAUGGUUACAUGGAUACUUAAAAGAAAAAUGGUUACAUACUUAACAAAGACAUUAGACACCAUUCAAUGAACCAGAAGGUAUUCUAUGGGAAAACAGAUACGCAAGGAACAUCUUACACGUUAACCCAAAUGAUUGGCCUACUGCAGCUCAACUAAUGGAGCAUCCAUUUGUAAAGAGGCCACUGCAAACUUCUAGGUAACUUCCUUCUCCUCAUUAUAACAUCAUACAGUCUUGAAAGCUUCUGAUCAUCCUUUUGGGUUUAUUUAUAUCCUAGAGGUAGUCUAGCAGCGUCGCCAAAUUAAACAAUUAACUGCAACCUGUAGUUCUAGGUUUGAUUUCUUGUUUGGAUUUAAUAUCAUGGACAUACUGAAAAGAAUUGUUAAAUACAUUUAUAAAAUAUCCAUUUGGGUUUGCAACUUCACUGUAAAGCUUAUGGGGAGAGGAGCAAGAUUCUGAUGCAUCCAGUGGCUGCCUUGGCGAUCGCAAUUCACAAUAUGAAGGGAAUAUGUAGUGAAUUGAAUGCUUUAUAGUUCACUAGCAAGAUGCUUAAGAACCAAUUUCAACAGCCUUGAUAAUUCAAUGAUUAACAACAAUUAUAAAUGAGAUUUAACAAAGAUCAAGACACAAGACUAAUCCAGCAACAAGAAGCAAUCACACAAUCAAAACAAAGACAGAUUUACGUGGUUCAAUUGUGCAAGAGAGCACAAUCUACAUCCACGGGAGAAGUCACCAGAAUGAGAUUUAUUGAUGAUUCCUGUGAAUGUUACAGAGCUACAAAAAAGUUGAUUAAAAAGAACAAGAUGACAAUUUCUCUCUCUUAUAACUCUCUCUAGAAUGCUCUUCGAUUGAUUAUGAAGCUGCUCUGUUGAUCAGCUUAUAUAUUAGCUUGUAUGAAACCCAGACUGCACAGAUUGAUGCCACCUGGAUAACAGCUUCUUAACUAACUUGAUUCCAUCCUCACGUGCUUGCUCACACGCUUCACUUAAACCACAGCCAAAACGCCUGUCUCUUGCCGAUUUGAUCUUCAGUAAGUCACAUGUUUAGCUCGUGGAAGUCUGGGCUUAUUAGCAUGCUGAAACGCUGCCGUUUAGCUAACCCAGGUUUUGAAUUCAUCAUUUUAGUCCACAGAAUAAACAAGUGCCUCUAGAUGUUUUAAAGCAACUCCUUGCUGUUGAUAACUGGACAAACCUUGAGAGAUUCGCAUUAGAUCUGGCCACUUUGCUUUUUAUACUGGUUUGCUUUGAGGUUAACCUACAUGUUUACAUGGUUGCUCUGUCGUUUGGUUCUAUAUCCAUUAGGAAUAAUUCUUUUAGAGCUUGUGUUAUCUGUUCUUUAUUUUGUAUGUGUCGUUUGUUUGCAGCUGUUGGUACAACGCUAAGCAUCUUUUUGCUGUUGAAUCUACCUGCAAGGCAAUUCUUGGCACUGAAAACAGAGAUGGAGGGUUCUUGGUGAGUAUGCACUGGACACAACUGCUUAUGGUGCAAAAUCUGAGAAGCUGAGAUGGUGCACACAUUCUAUCAUUGCUUAUGGACCCCCUGCAGACAGAUCGGUGGCAUUUAAAUUGCUAGGUUUCCUUCCCUUCAUGUGGGCUAGGUUUUUUCUGUUACGAUUUUCCUUUCUGGGCAGAGUGCUUGGCAUCAAUUUAGUGUAAAGAACUCUUUUUCAGAAGUAAAAAAAAGCAGUAUUUGUAAAAUUUAAAUGUUGCAUUUUAUGGCUCAAAGGUAAAUUCUGUCAGCAUAUGUUUUAUGCAUACGCUGAGAAUCUGUUCAUAUGACGAAGCAAAUGAAAUGUCAGCAUCUUUGGCUUUUGUGAAAAUGAAAAUUGAGUAAUAAAAAAUGGUGCUUUUUUGAAAAUAAUAAUUAAGAAUGAAAAUAGUGUUUUUAAAACAGUAAUUUUAAAAAUGGAAAGGAAAAUGCGUUGGUAGCAUUUUUUAAAAUAAAUUUUCUAAAACAGAAAAAUGGAAAAUGUAGAAAUAGUAGUGAAUUUCUACUAUUUGGGAUUGGUAGAUGAAGAAAGGUGGAGAGAUUUGGCCGCAACUGGGAACAAAAGAUUGUUUUGUAAAAUGCAUCGUAAAAUUAAAUAAAUUUAAAUUUUUAUAAUAUUUUUUAUAACAUGAUAAAUUAAGUGGAUUAUUAAUAAUUUUCUUAAAAAUGAAAUAGAAACCAAAAGGAAUUUAAAUUACAUGAUAAAAGGCUAUUUUAUAAGGGAAAGGUAAAGGGAAUUUAUUAAAAUGUAGUUUCUCUAAACAACUCCUUGUUAGUCGCUAAUAAGUUAAUAUUAUUUUAAUUAAAUAAAUAUUUUUUUUUUAAAAAAAUAAGUGAUAAUUAAAAUGUUUCUCUUUCUUUUUUUAAAUAUAAAAUAUAAAUUAAAAGGGAAGAAAAUAACUCUAUAAAAUUAGAAAGAGAGAAUCAUUUCUUAUUUAAAUAAUUUUAAUUAAAAUAAUUUUUAAAAAAAUUUAAAUAUUAAUAUAAUUUAUUAAAUAAAUAAUAAAAUUUUAUUUAAAAAGCGAGUAACGACACAUGGCAACAUAUACAAUUUUCUACAUGAGUGAGUGGGUCGCCCAAACGGCCACCAGGAUAAGGAGAGUGAUGUCCUCUUCAGUGUGUACGGACGCUUACUUGUCUUGGCUGGCCAGAAGGAUAAAUCAGUUUUUUAGGGAGAAAGGUCAAAAAAUCCAUACAGCUGAAUGGGGGUAAAAAUGGAGGAGUUAUUGAAUUUGAAAGCCUCGAGAAAAUGGAGAUCUGCCGGCAAUGCAAUUCGCUUCCUCACGAAACGCCGUAGAAGCUUCCGUAGGACCGCGGACCUCGACGCUGAGGCUAACAAUCCCAAAUUACCGGUCCAUGUUCCCUUUUUGUUAGUUACUCAUGAUUCAAGUUAAUUUAGGUUAGCUUGUUCAUGUUAUUUUCUCUAAUUACUAAUUAGUAGCAAUCUAGUAUUACUUAUUUAGUUCUUUGCCCUAAUAAGAACCAUUCAUAUGAAGAAGCAAAUGAAAUAUCAGCAUCUUUUGCGUUUGAGAAAACGAAAAUGGAGUGAUAAAAAAAUAUUUUUUUUAAAUAAUAAUUGAGAAUGAAUAUAAUGUUUUCAAAAUCAGUAAUUUUAAAAAUGGAAAAUGCGUUGGUGGCAUUUUUAAAUUAAAAUGGAAAAUGGAGAAAUUGUAGUAAAAUUUCUUACUACUAUUUGGGAUUGGUAGAUGAAGAAAAGUGGAGAGAUUUGGCCGCAAUUGAAGUGUACAGAUCCACUUGAUUUGUGCGGGAAUUUUUAUAGGUGAAAAAUUUCACUGUUGAGAUAGAUGCAGAGAAUCUCUAUUAUUGAGAUUGUGAGAAAAUUUAGUAUUGGUUUCUUUUUAAAGAAUCUCCCGUGAAGGAUCUUGUUGAGUUAUGAUAGAAAAGGUAAAAGAGGAUUAGUGAAUAAAAAUUUAAAAAAAAUGAUUGAAAAAGAAGAAGGAAUUUGCAGUCAAUAAAACAAAAGAAAAAAGAAUUUUUUUUUGUUAUUUUUAUUUUAGCGGUUUAUGUCGGGUGUUUUAUAAAAUAGAAGAAAACAAUAAAUUAGUGUUCUCUGAUUUUAUCUGAUAAGUGUUGGAAAACCUGAUUUUUUUAUUUUAAAAAUUUCUUUUAAAAACUGGUGCACCAAACACGUUUUUUAGCCUUUUUUUGUGUUUUUGAAAGCAGAAAAUUGUUUUGUAAAAUACAUCCAAAUGCACCCUUAAUUGUUAUUAUAUUAUCUGAAUAUUUUCCGUACACUUCCACCUCUGCCAGUUACAAACAUAUAGCGUAUUCAUGUUAUUUUCCCUAAUUACUAAUUAGUAGCAAUUUAGUAUUACUUAUUUAGUUCUUUGCCUAAUUUCAUUGAGGCUAAUGGGGAUCUUUAAAAUCAACACUCAAGAAUUUUAAAUGCAGUGUGGACAGUAAAGAUUAAUAGUACAAACUGAUUAAGAAAUUGAAUUUUCGGUACCGGACUAAAGGCUGUCUGUGUGUUACAGGAACAAGGUAGAGCUUCAUCUGUUGUUGUGGAAGCCGUACUUCACUUUACUGAAAGUCUGGGUGAAGAUGUGCCAUCAAGUGAGUACAUUGGGCCUGAGGCUGGCAUCGAAGCUAGAAGAUUUCACGAACCCGUUGAUGAUGUUGAAUCCACCGUCAAUGGCCAUGAUGUAAAUUUAACUGUUCCUGCUUCUUUGAUAUUAGAAAAUUGCUCAUGUAUCAAGGUAAGAAGUUUCUAAGUUUUGCAUACAAUUGGCCUCCAAUUUCUAAGCUUAAUAUUUUUCACUUAAUGAAUGCCAAUACAAUUUCAUUGAUGGGAAUGUAUAAUUGCAUUCUUUGUAUAUUACAGAUUUGUGAGUUACUUGGUAGAUAUGAGAAACGUGCACUUGCGAUGUUUUAUCUUGUGUUGGAAGCAGCAUCAUUUUUACUGGAUAUAUUUGGGAAAAGUAAGAGGAGCAUCCUUCUCGCUGCAUUUCUAUUGUCAGCAUUUGGUUUCGCUAUUACUAUGAGUAUGCCUACUUGUAUCAUGAGAAGAAUCAGAGCUGCUGCAGCCAGAAUGCAUAUUCAGAAGCUGCUACGUGUGGUGUUGGAAAUUUCUUUCUCUGUGGUCCAGUUGAUUGUUACGCUCAUUUAUUUUAUUCUGGCGGAAUUAGGUGUCAAGAACAGUUUUAAUGCAUCUGUUUUCCCACUAGUCUUUGCUAUAGUUGCUGCUGUGUUUACUUUCAAAUAUGAUGGGGAAGUUACUGAUUUGCCAGGCCUCGACAAUCCAGCUGCUGAUAAUCAGGUAUGAUUGUGGACAUAAUUGUAAUCAUCAAGCUGCACUUGGUGAAUUCGCAUAACUUAUUACCUCUAUGACUAUGAAUUCCUACAAAUAUAAAGAAACUACAUUAGACGGUAAGCUUUUGCAAUAUUGUGGAAAGAAGGAAAUACAAAGAUUGUGAGAUUGCAUUGUGUCAGUCAAUCAUUUAGUCAUAUGAGGUCUCUAAAGGAUUGCUCUAAUAAUUUGAAUGUAUAAUGCUCGGGUGCCUCUGUAGAUUUAGAAAUCCUUUAUGUAUGGCCAAAUGAGUACAGAUAUCAAAUCUUUGUUAGUUUGCAUCUUUUUAGGUGCCAAAUACCAAUCGCAAUGAGGAUCCGGAAGCAAACGGCAGCAUGCCUAUGUUGGCGGUAGUGACCAAUGAUGAUUCUAAGAGACAAGGUCCAUAUGCUCGUAGGACUGAUGGUCCAUAUGCUCGUAGGAGUCUGACAAUUUGAUUAUUGUUUCAUGGUUAGAGCCUAGAGGAGGCAUUUGCUCCCAUUUGUGCAUUUGAUUCAGAUUCGAGUUGACUAUAAUUAUAGAUAUCAAUUUUGACCAUAAAAGCACAUUAAUUGGGUCCAUGUUUUAGCCAUAGCUGUUACAAUUAAUUUCAAUUACUUUGUAGUCCAGUUGGAUAAAUAUCCGUAAUUUGGAUUAUAACUAAAUACAUAUGUAUUAUUUAGCUGAAUAGCUUUUUAUUUAUAGAACUCGUUGAGGGGGUUAAACGAUGGAGUUAAGUUAUCUGAGAUUCUUGAAAUUCAUGAAACUUGUAUUAUGCCAAUUAGAAACUUUUAAUGUGCUAAUUAAUUAUUGAUCGGCAUGGUUAAUCGUCUUGGGUAAAUGUACACUACGUGAAUCUUUUUUAAAAAGUGAGUUUAUUAUUAUCAUUAUCAUUAUUAUUAUUAUUAUUAUUUAACCUAAUUGCAAUAAAUUUUCCUAGUAUUUUAUGUGCGGGUUUCAACUACAGAACCAUCGCUUUCUACUUACAAAUUUUACCAACAAAAUUAGCGGCCCCCAGCCCCCCACAAUGGAGAGAUUUAUAUGUACCUCACAUAUUUCUCUAGUUAUUAGUUAUCAAUUUCAUGAUUGUGUUAUUUUCUUGAAAAUUAUCCUCAAAAUAAUUGUGUUCCACAGCAUAUCUCCUAAAGAAAAAUAAGGGCGUCUUCUAUUUUACCCAUAAUAUACGGGAGAUGUCGACGUAGUUUUAUAGACUCAUUUGAUCUGAAUAGUACAUAAAGAUCAUAAGCCAGAUAUUUAUAUGUUAUCAAGAUAAUAUUAAUGGCAUGUAUACAUUCCGGAUUGGGGAAUCAAAAUCAUUGACAGCGCGUACAUUGCAAAACAGAGGCGGGAAUCGGAAUCGUGGGAUUCACCCAAUUUGAGAAUGAGGAAUGAAAGAUUGAUUCUCGGGGGUUGAGAAUCAAUCUCUCAUUUCCUAGUCAAUCUCCCAUUCCUAAACUAUCCAUUUUACCCCAAUGAAUUUUCAUAAUUCCCAAAAUGCCCUUAAUCAAGUUUUGUCAUUUUUUCAUUUCAGUCCCUAUAAAAUUAUGAAAUUACCCAAAACUUUUGUAUUAUUUGUAAAUAAGUCCUCUAAUAAUAAUAGUAGUAGUAGUAAUAAUAUUAUUAUUAAUUUUAAUUUUAAAUAUUAUUAUUUAUUAUUAUUACUAUCAUUAAUGUCAUUAUUAUUAUUAUUGACUUUAUUAUUUUAAUUAUUAUUAUUUUUAUUAAAAUCAUCAUUAUUAAAAUCUAUUAAUAAUAGUAAUAUUAUCAUAAAUAAGAAAUUUAUUAUUAUUGUUAUUAUUAAUGAUAAAAGUAUUAUAAUCAAUUCUUAACGUUAAUAAUAAUUAUGACAAAAGUUAAUUAAGGACUUUUUAGUAAUUUGUAAUAAUCUAAUUCAUUCCGAUUAUGAUUUCAGGACAUAGUAAACAUUUUAAUGGUAAUAAAGUUUGUUUCGAUUUUGAUUCCUACAACUCAAGUAAAUAACUAAUUAUAAUUCCAAUUCCUCAUUCUGAUUCCAGCGCAUUUCGAUUCCAACCCAUUCCAAUUCUCGUGUAGUAAAUGCAUCAUAAGGGUGAUUAUGUAUAUAAUUACUCAUAUUGAGAAUCCAUAAAUGGUCUUGCAUGCACUUAAUUUCAAGGGCAUUAAUAUUUUAUAUGUUAUCAUAAUUAGGGGUGAGUAAGCCCAAUCCAAACUAAUGGACCCGAUCUAGCCCAAUCUAAUUUUCUUAAUUUUAAUAUAAUUAGUUUUUUAUCUUUCUUUAUCAAACACUAGCCAAUGAAUGAAAUUUUCAUGUUAUAAUAUAUUUAUAUUUAAUUUUAAUAAGUUUUAUAUCUUUUUUAUUUAAUUUUUAAUUUUAAUUUAACAUUCAAACUAACCUGAUGAUUUAAGGGUUAGAUUGAACAUGCUUAUUUAAUUGGGAUAGAUUGAUUUUAUCUCAAUCUAUUGAAUAAUGAGUUAGAUUGAAUAUUCACAAAUCUUAUUCACCGUAACCCAUGCCCAUCCCUAAUAAUACUCCUAAUAAGCACCCUAUGGGUUUUCAUUGAAUAAUGAUCUAUUAAUCCACAUCUACUUUGUGACUGGAUUAGCGAGCCAAGCGAUCUAGCCACUCCAGGACCAAUACUUGACUCUAGGUUAAUGGAUCAACAAUGGACUGAAAGAGUGAGACUAUUGGCACCCCUCUAAAUAUCUCUCAACACCUCUUUUCUUUAUUAACCCCAUUAAAAUAUUUAACAAUAUUAUAAAAUUCUUUUAACACCCUUUUAAUGACAAAAAUACCCUUAGUUUAAAUUUAUUAAUAUAAACCCCGUUUUAAUUUUUGACUGCUGAUUGUGAUUUUUUUUUUGAAAGCACCUUAUUAUGAAUUUUGAAACAAUUAAUCAUCUAUUGAAAAAGAAAGAAAGAAAAGGAAAAAAAAAAGGAAAAGGGAUCUUGCUCCAGAAACUUCUACUUUAAUGUGGCAAAUCAUUGAAACACCACAUGGCCAAAACUUUACUCUAAUGCAUGACAACUCAUUGUAAUUGAUAAUGACACCUCGCAAACACUUGGCUACCAUGCGUGUAAUUCUAAGGCCAAGUGCUAAUUUGGUUUACUGAUGAAGAUGAUGAGCACAAGCUUCUGAAAAUGCAGAAUCACGGAUUCUUCGAAAGACUGCGAGCCUUUGUGGAGAAAGACAACUGGGGCACUGGAAAACAUGUCGGUGGGAAAAUAAUUCUGAUGUUCGUUCAGCUCGUCCUUUGCUUCAUAAUUACUUUCUUCUUUCUUAAUUUCCCUCAUGGGCCUCAGUUUCUUCCUGAAGCUUGUUGAUGAUGAGUUGCAUAUGCCGAUAAUUCCUCACCAGAAAAUAAGAUUAAAAAGUAACUUUCUUAAUUUUUAAAAUGCUGAAUUUCAAUUUCAGGUACUAUUCAUUUUAUCUCUUAAUCAAGUUAUUUUUCAUUUUUCUGCUGAUAUUUUAAUAUUUACAGUCAAUUGUAGCAUUACUUAAAUCUAUAGUAUGUAGAUCAUAAUUCAUAAAUUAGUUUGUAGUUGGAGUAAACUCGGAAAUGUUAAAAAAAUAAUAAUAAAAACAAAAAGAGUACAGACAAGUUGUCAUCUUGAGUAACAAUAAAAUAAAAAAUUCCAGCUUAUACAAAGUCUUUCUUUAAAAAUAUGAAACGAAUAAAAUGACUAUUAAAAUGGUUCAAAAUUUUCUAAUACUGUCAUUGACUAGCUAGAUCAAUUGUUUCUUGUGUGGUAACUUCAAACACCAAAUCCUUAAAAGCAAUUAUAUUAGUUUUGUAUGGUGUUGCCCAGCCUUCUGCACAUGGUUCAUGAUAUUUGAUCCAACUAUUCGCAAUAGGAGGAAUAGGUGAAGCUGGAAGCAUGAACACGUGGAAAAAAAAAAGCCAUAAAAAAAUUAGUCCAAUAAUUAAGAUAUUGCAGCAUAAUUUGAAUUUCUAAACUUUUACAUACCUCUAUGAAAUGAUUUCUAUUAACAAAUCCAAUAGCAAUGAUUUUACGCGAGGAGCGUGAUAAUGGAAUAGAUCUAAGUGGAAGGAAUGUUAGAUUCAGCACAUCUGAUAUAUGUAGUAAUACCACAUUAUAUUUAGAAGCAAUAAUAUGACCAAUUUCAGGCAUGGUCAUCCAAUACUCUCUCCCUGGGUUAUUCUCAAAGUAUAAAAGUGAAUGAAGUACCUCCUCUGCUCUACCAGCAUAUUCAAAGACUCUUUUAUAAUCAUUAAAGUGACUUUGCAACUCAAAAACUAAGUCUUUCCUGACUUGUGCCCAGCUAUCUUCACCAAUACCUAUUAGGUCAGCCACUGCCCGAAAACCACAAUUACCAUCUGCAACAACAUCUCUAACACCACAAAUAUAAGGCCUCAAACCAAAUGGAAAUGAAUCAAUAUAAGAAGCAUGCUUUGGUGCUUUUGUUUGAGAAACACUCAUUUUUCGUUGCCCUUUUGGUUUUUUUGUAGUUGUACUUGAAGACAUAAUGUUUGGAGAAUGAUUAUCCUGUGCGGAUACUACAUACUCAAAUCUUGAUGGAUCUCGGCGGGUAGAUUUAUCAAGCUUUUGGGAGGGUCGUCCUCGAGUCUUAUCUUUAAUAGUUGGCUCAAUUAAAAAAGUUGAGGAUGGAUCAGUUAACUCUUUCAGUUUUCUUUUUAUUUGCAUUUUUCCGAAACCAUCUGAAUCUUCAAAACGCUUGAUAAUCAUUUCCAUUUUAGGGGUACAACUCAACUCUGCUGAUUUUUCAUAGCUGGUGCAGACAAGGUCUAAUUUCCUUCAAUGCGAAUGUACAGAAUCUAAAGGUAUUGGUCGACCUUCACGCUUAUACUCUCCAAUUUCAUGUGCACACGGUAGCCCAUGAGUGUGUCGAACUACACAACCACAUGCUGAAAUAUCUAUACCAAUUAAAUCAGCUCUUUUUGACUCACUUAGUAUCAUAUCUAAUGCAUUUCUAGCAACUAAUCCCCUUAAUUCUUUAAAAACUGAAGGUGUGAAACUAUGUUGCACAGUAGUCAAACUCUUCUCAAAUGAUGCCUUAAUUUCUGUAUGUUGCAACUCUACCAAAGAAUAAAGUUUUGUCCAUAACGUUACAAAGUUUCCUUGGGAUGAACAUAGUUGCCUUUUUAAUUUUGAAUGUGCAGUCUCAGCCCUGAAAAUAAACCAACAAAAAUUAAAAAAAUAAAAAGAUAUAUAAAAAAAUGGUGUUGAGUUUAGUUAUAAAAUCAUUGAAAACUAAAUAUUGUUUACCUGUUGGUUGUCAUAUUUCCGAAAUGCAUAAUAAAGUCUGUCCAUGCUGCAAUAAAUUUUUCUUUAUACUUAUCAAGCCAUGUUUGCUUUACAUAGACAAGUGCUUUUGGAUAUCUAGCAUAAUCACUCUAAAACAUACUCAAGUGUUGUAUGUACUCUUGCUCAGUGGCUGAGAACACCAGUACAUUCCAGCUGCUGUUGAAGGCUUCCCAUCUUUCAUUAGUCUCAAAUAGCUUCUUACAAUUAGCUAACACAUUUCUUGAAAUAUGCCAUCUACAAAGUAAAUUAGUUGCACUUGGAAAUAUCUUUUCAAUGGCAUUCAUCAGAGCUAAUUCUCUGUCUGUCACAAUCAUAGUUGGUAAUAUAUCAUCUUGCAUAAUGGUUUUCAAUCUUUCUAAUGCCCAAAUAUAGUUAUCUUCUCGCUCGGACUCAAGAUAUGCAAAACCAACAUUAAAUGUCAUUGCAGUCGAUGUGACACCAACUAUUUCCAACAACGAAAACUUAUACUUAUUGACUUUAUAAGUGCAGUCCAUUAUCAGAACACUUGGAAAAGCUUUUAACAAAUCAAAAGUAAGAGGAUGUGCCCAAAAUAUGUCUUUCACACAAUUUGUAUCAUCAUCACUCCGAUGCCACUCAAUGUAAUUAUGAUCAUGCAAUUUACUCAUAAGCUGUUGCAUUUGUGACCGUCCGCCCAAUUCGCGAACCUUAUAUUUAUACCGAGCAUUAUAAAUUGUCUUCAUUGUUGUAACAUUAAAUGUAUCCCUAGUCUUUAAAGUAUGUAAUAUCUCUUUUGGCCGAACAUUAUUUUUAGACAAAUCAACCAAUAUACUAACCUCUUCAUUAGUAAGUCUACCUGCAAAUGAGUGGCCCUCAAGAUAUUGUGCAGAAUGAUGGUUAUGCAAUCCACAGAUUACUUUUAACAUCCAAUCUUGAUUAUUCGCCAACAUUUGACCCUUUAAUAAAAAUGGACAGCCACACUUUUUUGUUCCAAUUGCAUUCGGUCUUUUCUUCUUUUCCAAGUCGUUGUUCUGCUUACACAUGCUGGUACUUCUUUUCGGAUAUGCACCACUUCUUUCACAAGCAAAAAUUAUCCUUGGUCUCCUUCCAAUCACAUUCACGUCAGAUCUUUUAAUAACAAUCACAAGUCCAUUUUUUUUCCCAACAUCAUGCGUCCAUCGAAUCAACUCUUCUCUACUGGUGAAAACCUAUGAAUAAGACAAUAAUAUAUUAGUUAAUGAUACAAAGAAAAGAGAAUAUAUGUAUGAAAAUUUAUUUAGUGUUUUACCUCUUCAGUAGUGAAUGCAGCAGUGUAAUCCAUAACAUCUACUUUAUUAUCAAGAAUGGCAACUAUGGUAGAACUUUCCUCCUUCACAAUCAUUGUAAGAUAUUACAUAAGUUAAUACAAGACACAAAACUCGAAUAAUAGCAAUUUAUUCAGCAAUAAUCAACCAAACAAUUAACAUUUGUUAAGGGGAUAUUUGUUGAACAUUGUUCAACGCUCUCCUUGUCAUUAUAAUUCUAAAACAAUAAAUUAAUAGCAAACUUACUUUUUUAUUAUCAUCCUCAUCUGUUUGCAUGAAUACUUUGCCCUAAAUUUGAAACUCUUAGAUUAGGGUUUAAGAAAGAAAAGAGAGUUUAUACCGUAUGCCGUAUAAAGAAUUUAAAACUCUUAAACAAAAAUAUGCCGUAUAAGAAAUUUUUAAGGGAAAAAAUUAUUUGAUUUUGAGUAGGGGUUUAAUUAGAAAUUGUCUUAUUAUGUAAUUUUAAUAAAGGUUGUAAUUGUAAAAUAACUAAAGGGGUGUUAAGAGGUAUUUAGGGGGGUGCCAAUAAUCCCACUCGGACUGAAAUUAUCAAUCAAUCGGACUGAAAUUAUCAAUCAAGACACAGAACUUCCAUCUAGCCCAAACCAAUACUUAUGUGAAACAAUUGGUCAUUGAUGGAGUAAUCGACUUUGUGACAUCAUGCCAAAAAGAAAAAUUAGUUGACCCUUUUACUGUGUAAGGGAUGCGACCUCUAGCAUCAUCUUUUCACCAGUGACCGAGAAUCAACACAAUGAACAUCAAGGUCUUGGAUUCAGUGAGUAGAAGGCAAACAUUAUAAUUAAUUAUUUUAGAUAUGUUCUAUGGUAUGUAUGUGCUUCACAAAAAAAAAAAAAAUAGUUAAGUUAUGAAAUAUAUUCUCACUUAAAGAUAUGUGACAAAUUUCUUAAAAAUUCAUAGGAGUUUAGAUCAUAAGAAGAUUUUAUUUUCUAAAUUCAUUUGAUUUUUGAAACGGUUACAUGGAUAAUUAAAAAAAAGUGUCACAUUUAAAUGGACACCAUUUAAUGAACUAAAAGAGUUUGUAUGACAAAAUAGGUAAGUAAGGAACAUCUUAUACUGUGGAACCAAAUUUUAAUUAUAUAGGAUUGAUAUACAUAGAAAAAUUCGUUUCACAACUUUAAUUGCCUUAAACUGGGUCCAUACAUUUAUCUAAUUUCAGCUUUCACAUUAUAAUUAAAGCUAAAUAAAUUUUUCUAACGUGUAGGAUAUUAACAAAGUGAAGACUUAAAGAAAGCCUCAACAUUGACACUUACACUUCUUAUGAUUGGUAUGAUCCAUGUCGUCCUAAAACAGAAUCAUGGAGGACAGAAGGAGGAGGAAAUAUUGAUUACUGCUUAUGGGACGGCGUUCAACGUAAUGAGAACACUGGUCAUGUCAUCAAGCUUGACCGUUCAAAUAGCUGCCUCCAAGGUUCUAUCAACUCUAGCAGCGGUCUUUUUGACCUUGUAAUUCUUGAGUGGCUUUAUCUUUCUUUUAAUAAUUAACUUCAAUUCUUCUAAAUUAAUCCUACAAAAAAUCAUCAACCUAUCGAGCUUAUCAUAUCUAGACCUCUUUGAUUCUUCAUUUUCUGGUCAAAUAACGUCAAAAAUAUUAAAGCUCUCAUAUUAAAGCUCUCGCCAAUUUGUUGUCCCUUGAAUUAUAAGGAAAUUUAUAUCUUGCACUCUCGAGAAGCCAUGUAUGGAAAUCUAUUUGAGAAUUGUUAACCAUCCUAAAAGAACUUGAUCUUAGUGCUGUGAAUGUGACAAUUGAUUCUUCAAUACUCAUAACUUGGCAAAUCUAUCUUAUUUGACAUUUUUAUCUCUUUCAAACUGCAUGCCAGUUGCAGAUCAUCAAUUGAAGGUGUGGCCAAGCCAGUUACUAGUAUUCUUAACAAGAGCUUCGAGAUAAGGCACAUGUGGUGUUGUUAGUACAGAGCCAAGGCAUCUCCUUGUCGUCGAAUCUACCAUGCAACGAGGCAAUUCUUUCAUCGAAAACAGUGUUGAUUCCUAGCUUCUAGGUGAAUAUUUACUAUGCACUACUGCUCGUGGUACAAAAUCUAAGAAAUUUAGAUGGUGCACAUAUUCUUUCGUCACUUAUCGAACCCCUGCAAACAGAUUAUUGACAUUUAAAUUGUUGGGUUUCCUUGCCAUCUUGUGGGGUAAGUUUUUUCAGUUAAAAUUUAAUUUCCAUUUUUUUCUUUUCUUGAGCAAAGUGGUUGGCGUUAAAAAUUUUUUUUUUUUCCUUGAAAAGUAUAAAUCGAUCCGUAGUUGUGAAGUUUAAGUGUUUAUGAGAAUUUGUUCAUAUGAAGCAAAUAAAGUAUAAAUUUGUCAUUAAAUGCUAAUGCUUUGCGGUCUUGACAUUCUUAAACAGCUUUGGCUUUUGGUAAACUUAAAAAUGAGCCAAAAAAAGUUCAUUAUAUUAAUUAGGUCACUCCAUAAUGCCGUAAUUAAAAUUACGGUAAAUAUAUUCAAUGUUAAACAUAAAUAAUGUAAUUUAAACGUAAGAUAUAUAAAUUUAACAUAAAAUUUAUAAAUCAACAUUAAGUGUAAAACAAAACAUUACCUAUAUAAAUAGAAUAUAAGACUUAUAAAUAAAAUGUAAAAUAAGUAAAUUAACAAGUAAACUUCUAAUUUAAUUUAAUUCUAAAAAUUAAUUCAUUUCAAUCCGACUUUUUUAAAAUAGCCCUCAUUCUUUUAAUUUAAAUUAGGACACUCUUUUAGACUUUUGAGGACAAUUUUAAAAAAAGAAAAACUACUAUGAUGGAACAUGUGUCCUAAAUCAAUUGGCCAACACCAUCACAUUAGCAUAUGAUAUGGAUGUGUUGGCAUCUGGAGGAGUAUAUUUUAUGAAAAUUCGUGUGGGACAGAAGAUGAAGAAAACUAAUAAUCCUCUCUCAUUCAUUCUUAACAGCUGAAUAAAAAAACACAUUGAAAUAUUUUUCAACUCGGAAGGAUUUCAAUGUGGUGCAUCCAUGGAGAUCUGUGCAAUCAUCGGAGGAAGCCUGAAAUGAUGGAGAUCUGACUAUGCUAUCGUAGAAGGUUCCGUAUGGUCGCCAAUCUCGCGAACCAUGCCCAGCCCAGUGAUAACAAGUUCAAAAUUACAAGUCCUAUUUUACUCGCUACUUUCAUGUCUUUGUUAUUUUUUCUUUGUUGAAAUAGUUUUUGUUUUGAAUAGAGUGUUAGUUCUACUCUCAUAUUUUCGUGGACUAUAAAAUGGUAGGCUUGCAAAAUUUAGAUAAAAUGUUCUCAUCCAGAUGGUGUGACUUAUACGGUCAUGUGAUGAUUAGCUAUUAAGCCUUGUCAAUUCUCAUAUGAAUGAUGAUUUUAUAUUGUUUGUGUAAUAGUAUCACUAUCCUUUUGUUAAAUUGUUGUAAUGGAGAGAGUUUCAGUACCUUAAGAAUUUAAAUGUAGUGUGAACUGGAUCUGGAUUUAUAAAUGGUACGUUUUGACAUUGAAUUUAUUAUUCUCAACUCAAGGUUGUCCAUUGUGUUAUAGGAAAAAAGUAAGAUUGCACUUUUUGUUUUUCCCAACUCAAGGCACUUAAAGAAAUGAAGAUAAAGCUGUUUUGUUUGCAGAAAAUAUUAGAGAAUAUUCCAGAUCUUUUUUUUUAAUUGCUUAACAACAAUUUUACAAUUAAAUUAAAUUCAUGUAUGAUGCUUAAGCAUCAUUAUUAUAACUAAUUCAUAACUAACUAAAAUGAUUAAUGCAUGCUAAACUUCAUCAUAUGUACGUAACAAAUUGUAACAGACUUUAACAACUUAUGUUGAGCUAGCAGCUGAGCUGUCACUUUGAUUUCAACCAUUUGAUGUCAUUGUUAGCCUAUAUGGCUAUAAAUAUUGAUUUUGAUGAUAACAAACCACAUGUGUUAGUUAAACAAAGAUUUAUGAAUUAUGUUUUUAUAAUAAAAAAAAUGAUUUUAUGGAAUUAAAGUUGUGGACUAAAAUGAAAGAAUUUUAUAAUCCUUGAUUUUAAUAAAUGUUGUUUUCAAUUUCGGAUUUGGACCUAUUUAAAAUUAUUUAAAUAUUUUGGGUCAUUCUAUAAUUUUAAAAAUUUUUGAGAUUGACAAAAUAUUAUUUAGAAAUUCUGAAAUUGGACUUAUUUGAAAAUUUUCAUAACAUUUUAGGCCAUAAUAUAAUUUUAUAAAGUUUUGAGGCUAAACUGUAAUUUUAGAAAAUAUUUCACUGUAGUAGUUGCUGUCGCAAGCGGUUAACCGGAUAUGAUAAGCAGCUAUCCGAAUUCUGGGUGAUAAGCUUCUGGAGUAUAAAUGACUAUCCGGAUUUCGUAAGCGGCAUACCGGAUGUUUUGAAAUUCAAAUUUUUACUGUAAUGGUAACAAAAAGCGACUAACCAGAUUCUGAAAUCAGCAAGCUGGUUAUCAUCAGAAAAUACAUAACGGCUAGUUUUUGGGCUCAAACUAUAUAAACUCAAAUUCAAUUCAUUUUCAAGCACUCUAGCAAGAAAAAAUAAAAAGCACACGAGAUAUCUUAAGCUCUCAAUUCGUAAAUCAUAAAACAUUGAAUCAUCUCUUGUUUUUCAUUUUGAAUAUCUACUCUUUGAGAGAAUUUUGUUGUAAUUUUUAUUUCCUCAUAAAUUUGUGAGUGUGUGAGACACUUGAGUGAAGAGAUUAGGAGAUAAUCUCUUUGUUGUAAAGGUUCAUUGACACCUUGAAGUCAAUUGUAAACAUUUGAAGCCUUGGAAGGCUUGGAUAGUGAAAUCCUCAAGCUUGGAUUGCUUGGAGGCGUGGACGUAGGCGGGGAUUGUCGAACCACGUAAAAAUUCGUGUGUUUGUUUCUCUUCUCUCUUACUCAUUUGUUAUUGUGCUUUUAUUGAAUUUAUUACUUUCAAAUUUAUUAAGGCGUUAGAUUGGAUUGUUGUGUGGUUUUGUUAGGAUAAUUUUUAAAAUACCAAUUCACCCACCCCCCCUCUUGGAUUGCACACUUGUAUUUCAAACAUCAGCUCCUCCUCCUCCUCCUCCUCCUUCUUCUCUAUACAGCGAGCUUACUUAUAGUCCUCCUCAAACUCAAGGGACAGGGAUGAACAUUAAGUUUGGCUCUUAAGUAGUUAACUAUAUGAAUGAAAGAGAAUAUUCCAAAUCUUUUUUUUAUUGCUUAACAACAAAUAUCUGCAACUUGUUAUGCACUUGGUACAUAAUGAAUGCUAAGCUCUCCUACAAGAACUUUAUUGCGGAUAAAAUGGAUAUCAAUUUCAAUAUGCUUUAUCCUUGAAUGAUAAACAUGGUUCCUAGCUAGCUUAGUUGUACUAAUAUUGUCACACCAAAUUGUAGGUCUUUCUAUGCAACACAUUCCAAUCUCAGUGAAUAAGAACAGUAGCUAAAUCAAUUCUGCACUAGAUGAUGCCAAGGCUCUAUAUUCACUUUUUGUACUUGAUCGAUCUAUGACAGACUGCUUCUUAGAAGACCAUGAUAUCAUAUUGUUGCCUAGAUAGAUGCAAUAUGCACUCUUUGAUUUCUUGUCAUCCAAAUCACAUGUCCAAUCAGUAUCUGUAAGCUAGUAAACUUCAAAUUGUCUUCUUUGAUGAACUUCAAGCCAAAGUCUUGAGUGGCCUUCAAAUAUAUUAAAACCCUUUUAGAAGCCAUGAGAUGUUAUAAUGUAGGUGACUAAGCUUAUUAACCGCAAAUGCAAUUUCAACCCUUGUUAAAAUCAGAUAUUGCAUUCCCUAACAAUGCUUUUGUAGUUUGUUGGAUCUUUAAGAAAAUAAGUAAGUUUUCCUUGAACAACUUUCUGCAAUUUCAAGUCUACCCUUAUAGUCAAUCAUAUCAACCCUGGCCAAUAAAUCCUUAAUAUACUUUCUCUGUGAUAAGUACAUGUAACCUAUAUCAUACAAUACUUCAAUCCCAAGAAAAUAAGAUAGGAUUCUAAGAUCUUUUAAAGAAAAGCUUUACUAAAUGUAGCUGCAAAGCUUUCUAAUUCUACACUGCUAGUUCUUAUAAUCAAGAUAUCAUCAAUAUAGAGAAGAACAAGGAUUAUAAAGGUUUGACUCCUUCUUAAAAACAUAGAUGUAUUAGAACUAGUGUAGAUAAAUGCUCAGUGCAGCAAGCAACUUUUAAGUUUAUUAUACCAAGCUCUAGGAGCUAAGUUGAUUCCAUAUAGAGUUUUAUGCAAUUUAUACAUAAAAUCGGGCUUUGUACUGUCAAUGAAGCCUUUUGGUUCUGACAUAUAGAACUCCUCUGUCAAUUAUCUAUUGAUAAAUGUAUUGUUGACAUCAACUUGCCUUAUUUUCCACUUAUUUAUUACUACUAAACUUAAAACUACUCUAACAGUGUUUGGUUUCACCUGUGGACUAAAAAUUUCAAAGUAAUUCACCCCUGCAACUUGUUAAAAAUCUUUAGCAACUAGCCAAACUUUAUAUUUAGCCACACUUAUAUCAAUGUUGUGUUUAACUUUAUACAUCCAUUUAUUGCCAACAACCUUAAGCCUGUCGAUAGGCUAAAGACCAUAUGCCAUUAUAAAUCAAAGCAUCAUACUCAUCUUGCAUAGCUUUGAUCUAUUUGGAAUCAAUUAAAGCUUCCUAAACUAAAUUUGGUUCUUUGUGAGCAAGGACAACUGUAUAGACUUUAGCUUUAAAGAUACUUGAUUUUCUUCUAGUGGUCAUAGGAUGGAUGUUGGAGUUUAUAUGAGGUGGAGAGUGUGGCGAUGAUGAAUCAUUAUCAGAAGCAGAUAAUGGCUGAUGUGAGGUUUGAAUAGGAGCAGAAUUUGGCUAAUAUGUGUUUCGAGAUGAAGAAGUAGAGAAGGUAAUUUGCUGUGAAUGUUGAUCAGCUGCUUGUUGUGCAAGAAUAUCUAAGUGAGUUGAAAUGCUACUGUCAGAACUUGCAGAGUUAGGAUGAAUGGUGCUGUUAUUGGUAAAGUGGAGAGUGACAUAUUUUUUAAGGAGAAAAUGAAUAUUAUAAAGAAGAAGUAGAUUUAGUUGAACUACGGAAAAUAAAUUGCAGUGGAAUAAGGAAUUGUAAAUUUAUAAAAAAUGAAAUGUCUUGCUAUAUAAAGUUGACUUGAAGGAUGUAAACACUUAUACCCUUAUGUGAUGGAUUGUAACCAAGAAAAGUACACUUGGUAGAGUGAUAAUUAAAUUUUGUUUAUUAUUGUCUCUCAAAUAAGGAUAAUAAGUACAACUAAAACACUUGAGUAUGUCAUAGUUAGUUUUUGUUGGAAUAUUUUCUCACAUAGAGAUAAAAGGUUGAGAACAACAGAGGGCAAUCUAUUGAUAAGAUAGACAACUAUAUGGAAAUCAUCCCACUAAAACUUGAAGGGUAAUUGAGAUUGAGCCAAUAAAGUGAGUCCCAUUUCAACAAUGUAUCUAUGUUUCCUUUAAACCAAUCUAUUUUGAUGAUGUGUGUGUGGACAUGAGUGUCCGAAUAUGAUAUCAGAUUGAUUCAAAAAUCAGUAAAAGAUCUUAAUGAUUGUUUGAAACUAAUUUUAAAAGAUCUUAAUGAUUGUUUGAAACUAAUUUAAACUUGCAUUUUAAAAAGUUUAAAGACAUCUAGAGCUUCUAACUUGAGCUUUAAAGGAUAAAUCUAGGUGUAUCUAGUGAAAUCUUCAACAAGACUAAUAUAAUAGUGAUAACCAUCUUUAGAAAAGGUAGGUAAGGGAACUUAAAAGUCUGUGUGAAUCAGCUCUAGAACUUUAGAAGUUUUAGUUGCAGUUGAUGGAAAAUGAAGUUUAUGAACCCUGUCCGUUUGACAAACUUCACAAGUAUAUUGUAGUGCUUGUUGUAUUUGAUUUCCAGAAAAUAAGCAAACUUAACAUUUUUUUAGAAUAUGCUUCAAAAUAUAUUAAUUUGGAUAGCCAAGUCUAGUAUGAAAUAAAGUAAUUUUAUUCACUAACGUUUUAUAAGGAGAAGUAGUAGAUUGAUAACAAGACUUCAAAUCUGCAUUAUUAACAUCAGUAACAAAAUUGAAAUGACAACAAGACCACACUGGCAAUGGCUUAUUUGAAAUGAUAUGAGAAAGAAAGGAUGAUGGUGAUGACUUAAAUGAUGAAGACAGUUUGAGUAACAACCUGAGUAAACUUUUCUCUGCAAUGCCUUUUAAAAGCACUUCCCCUUUUAGAGAAUCCUUCAUAUCACAGAUGUUUCCAAGAAAUUCAACAGACAAAUUAUUAUCAUAUGUAAGUUUGGAAAUGCUUAAUAAAUUUUUGGUAAUGGGAGGAACAAGUAGAAUAUCGUUCAGUGCUAUAUGUGGAUGUAUUUGUUUAAUAGUUGAGCUUUUAAAAGUAAAAAGAUGCAUCACCAGUAUGAGUUAUAGCAAACCCUGUCCAUUUCUAAUGAUAAGGUGAUAUAGCCCACUAAACUACUCUCUGAUAUGCAUAUUGGCCAUGUUAUUUGUUAAGGAUGAGUUGCUCCACUGUGAAGAUACCACUCAUCAUCAGCAAGCUUUCAAAGUUAGCAAGAUAAGCAGCUCCAGUUGCAGAGAAUGUUUCAGGUGACUAGAAAGGCAAGGAAUUCAUAUUAGAUAACUAGUAGCUGGAACCACUCGUAGCAUAAAAGUCAUGAAAAUAUGGUGCGAUUUAAGCAUAUGGCUCAAAGCUAGCCCUAUAGGCAGACUUAGAUCUUCUUCCUCUACCAAAGUGUCUUGAUUGAGGUAUAUAAUUUUCAAUGUACUUAUGCCAACAAGCAUUAGUUUUAUGACUAGAUUUAUGACAAAUCUGACAUCCAAGAAUGCUUUCAUCAAAUCCAUCUCUAUUAGGUAUGAAACUUUGACCAUGAGAUAUAUUGAAAGUAGGUCUGGAAUGUGAUGCUGACUUGUGAAAUUGCAUCUUUAGUGAGUGUCCUCUGCCAAAGUUAUUACCAUCAAAGGGAAAGCCUUUGGGAUAUGUAUGAUAAAACAAUCCUCUUCCAGAAUUAUGAUUAAUUCUUGUUUCCAUUAUGAAAAUGUCCCUAGUAUCUCCUAUAACCAAAGCCUCCUCUUUUACCAUUACCUCUAAUUGGAGGAUAGUUAGAGUUCACCAUUCUAUAAUCGGCAUUAAAUAUUGAUUUAGCAUUUUGAUUUUAUUGUAAUAUAGCCUUAUGCAUAAAAAACAAUGCAUAUGCAUCAUAUUAUGUCACUUUAUUAGCAAUAAUAAUAAAGCAAGAUCCAAAUAUCCAGGCCUCAGUCCAUUCAAAACUCGCAUUAAUAGAUCUCUGUCUGAUACAGGACUACUAGCACAUGCAAGUUUAUCGACAAGUAUUGUGAAUUUCAAGCAAUAUUCUUCAAUAGAUAUGGAAUUUUUUCUAAGAACAUUCAUCUCAUAACAAAAUUGCAUUAUCUUAGCUUCGAAUUGAGCUCCAAAUUGCUUCUAAAUAGACUUCCAUACAUCAUAUAAAUUAUUACAAUUAAAAACAGAGCUCAAAAUACAUUCAUUGAUGGAUGAUAAAAGCCAGCCAAGAAGAAUUUAAUCUUGAGUUCUUCAAUUGAUGUAAGCUGGAUUAUCAACCUUCUGCACCAAUCCAUCGGCUACAGUGUGAAAGAUCUAUUGUUCUAGUACAAUUUGAUCACUAGAUAUGAAUCUUCAAGUUGAUUCCCUCUAAUUGAAGUAAGAACCUACUUUCUUUAGAGUAAGAAAUUGAAUCGAUCAAGCUUAACUCGACCGCUAAAUGAAAAAGAGAUAUGUGAAUUUUGAUUCGUUUGUAUUAAAUUUUGAUUUGAUGUUGUACUACUUGAGCUAGCCAUUAUUGGCUCCGAUACCAUGAAAGAAAUGAAGAUGAAGUGUUUGGUUGCUAAGAAAAUAUUAGAGAAUGUUCCAGAUCUUCUCAUUUUUAUUGCUUAACAACAAAUGUUACAAUUACAUGUAAAUUAUAUACGAUGCUUAAGCAUCAUUAUUGUAAAGUAUGAGAAAAAAGUAUAAUGGGCAGAAUAAUUUUCAUUGAUAUUUGAUUGAGUAUAUAUACAUGCUAGGAUCCCUAUAAUUAAGCUAUGCAAUCAAAGUCUACUGUAAUUUAGGAAUACAUAUAGAAAGAUAUAUUUAUAGCUCAAUAUAAUGAAUAAAUGGAUUCUACUUUCCAAUACUCCCCCUCAAGUUGGAGAGUGAAUGUCCAACACUCCCAACUUGGGAACCAUAGGCAUGAAAACUUCUUUUCCCAAAGCUUUGGUCAGUACAUCAACAAGCUGAUUUGCGGAACUUACAAAUUUCGUUAUCACACAAUCUUCUUGUAACUUGUCUCUUAUAUAAUGACAAUCCAUCUCUAUGUGCCUUGUGCGUUCAUGAAAAACUGGAUUAACUGCUAUAUGUAAUACAGCCUUAUUGUCACAAUAUAGCAAUGCAACAUCUUGAUGUAAAAUCCCAAAAUCUCUAAGUAACUAACAAAGCCAUGUCAAUUCACAAUAAGCUCUAGUCAAUGCACGAUACUCUGCUUCGGCUGAGGAAAGGGAGACGUUUUCUGGCGCUUCGAUCUCCACAAAAUCAACGAAGGGCCUAAGAACACACAAUACCCUGUAGUAGAUCUUCUUGUAAGGGGGCAUCCUGCCCAAUUCGAGUCACAGUAUGCUCGCAACCAAAGAUCACUAAUUAAUAAGAAGAAGAAGCCUUGGCCAGGAGCAGAUUUUAAAUAGCGUACAACCCGUAAGGCUGCCUCCCAAUGAUCCUUCCAGGGUUGGUGCAUAAAUCUGCUCAAUAUAUGGACAACGUACGUGAUAUCGGGCCUCGAAACUGUGAGAUAUAUUAAUCUUCCAACUAAUCGCCUAUAUCGCCAUGGAUAUUUAAGUGGCUCACUUUAUCAGACAACUUUAAGCCACGUUCCAUGGGAGUAUCAAUGGGAGCUGCCCCUAAUAACCCUGCAUCCUUAAUAAGUUCCAAUGCAUACUUUCUAUGAGAAAUAAAAAUGCCCUUCCUAGAUGCAGAAAUCUCAAUACCAAGGAAAUACUUCAAGUCUCUUAGAUUUUUAAGGUGAAAUUGAUUAUGCAAGAAUUUUGAUAUCGGCUGUACUCACAGGAUCAUUCCCAGUGAUUAAAAUGUCGUCAACAUCUAUCAAAAGGGCAAUAAAGGACUUGCCUUGCUUCCUAGUGAACAGAGAGUAGUCAGCUUUUGAUUGUACAAAUCCAGCUGAACGUAUGGCCUCGGAGAAUUUAGCAAACCAUUGACGAGAGGCAUGUUUCAACCCAUAUAAUGACUUGUGGAGGCGACAAACCAAGUGUUCCUCCCCCUGUCACCGAAGCCCUAGCGGCAGAGACAUGUAGAUUUCUUCUUGGAGGUCACCAUAAAGAAAGGCAUUAUUGACGUCGAGUUGAUGAAGAGACAAACCACGGGCAGCAACUAACGCCAAUAAGCAACGAACAUAAAUUAUUUUUGCUGUCGGAGAAAAAGUAUCCUGGUAGUCAACUCCCUCUAAUUGAGUGAAACCCUUGGCUACAAGCCGCGCCUUAUACCGUUCAAUAGACCCAUCAGACUUAUGUUUGAUUUGUAAACCCAACGACAACCAAUUGGAGUUUUACUAGCCAGAAGAGAGGUAAGAGACCAAGUACCAUUUUUCUGUAGUGCCUGCAAUUCAGAACGCAUUACUGCUUGCAACUCAGGGAGAACGACAGCUUCUGAAUAAGACCUGGGUUCUGUGAGAUUAUUGAUUUGAGCAAUAAAGGACUAAUAAGCAGGCUUAUAUCGGUGAUAUGAAAUAUAAUUAGCCAGUGGAUAUUGUGUACCUUUGGUCGGACUUGGAAUUAAGGAGGCCGAUUGGUCGGAGUAAACAUGCGAGCAGACGUAGUCGUGGAGCUUGACCGGUGGACCGGUGUUGCGGCUGGAGCGACGAAGUUCAGGUACGGGUUCGGGUUCGGGUUCGGGUGCUUGUGAUGCAGCAGGUUCAGGGAAUGAAAGAAGGUGGGUCAGUUAAGACUAGUAAGGCAACAAGUUUAGGACGGUAGGAAUAAGUGCGAAGGACAGCUUAGGGAGGGGAAGAUGGUGGUUCUACCACGGGAGGAGAAGAGGAAAUUUGAUCGGGAGAAUUGGGAGAGAGUUGGGAUGAGGGAAUGGGGCUUGGUGGAAUUACGUGAGAGUUGAAUGAUGAGUCAAAGGAAGAAGGAAUUAAAGGAAUUGGGUUUGAUUGAUGGGCUGUCAAGGGAAGAGAAAAUUUGGGUUGGACGGAUGAGUAAGGAAAAAUGGUUUUGUGGAAUUUGACAUCCCGGCUGGUAAAAAUCUCUUUAGUUGAUAAAUUAAAUAAUUUGUAGCCCUUUUGAGCAAUGGGAUAACCGAUGAAUAUGGAUGGUAUGGCAUGAGAGUCGAAUUUGUGAGAAGUGUGAACAUUAGUGGCAUAGGUCAAACACCCAAAAACACGAAGAUGGAAAAAGGAAGGUGGUUUUGAAUAGAAAAGUUCGUAAGGAGUUUUGAAAGAAAUAACCGGAGAAGGUAACCUAUUGAUGAUGUGUACAACAGUGAGUGCACAUUCGCCCCAAAAUUGGGUUGGUAGGUGUGCUUGGAAUUUUAAUACUCGGGCUACUUGUAAGAUAUGGCGAUGUUUGCGUUCCACAACCCUGUUUUGUUGAGGAGUGUAAACGCAUGAAGUUUGGAAAACAACACCAUGAUCUUGAAAGAAAGAUCGGAGUGAGAUAAAUUCUCCAUCAUUGUCACUUCGAAAUGUUUUAAUACGACGAUCAAAUUGAGUGAAAACAUGGUUGAAAAAGCGUUUUAAAAGAGAUUGUGUUUCGUUUUUGUGUCGCAUAAAACAAAUCCAUGUGAAACGAGUAUAAUCAUCAACAAUAGUGUGGAAAUAAUAAGCUCCGGUAAGGGAAGGGUGUUGAUAACGACCCCAAAUAUCAUAAUGAAUUAUUUCAAAAGGUUUUGUAGAAGAAAUAACACUAUGAUUGAAAGGAAAACGACUUUGCUUAGCCAACGGACAUACGGGGCAAGCAUUAUUAGACUGAACAAAAAAAUUCAAAAAGUUCUUGGCAAUAAAACUUAAACGAGAAGGUGAUAUAUGACCUAAGCGAUUAUGCUAGAGGUCGGUGGAUGAGAUGGUGAGAUUGCAGGCUGGUCGAUUUUUUGGUGAGGAAGGUUUUGUCACAGAUUGCUUCGUCGCUAAUGCCACAAAAAAAUAUAGCCCAUCUCGUUGUUUACCCAAACCAAUCUUCCUCCUAAUAGCCAGAUCCUGUAAAAUACACUAAGACGGGAAAAACGUCACUGAACAACCCAAACCUCUUGUCAAGCGACUAACUGACAUCAAAUCAACUUUAAAUGUAGGCACGGAUAACACAUUAUGUAGAUAAUAGACGGAAUUGAGAGGUAAAGAACCUUUUUGCAACAAUAUUUGCUCUUUCUCCACUAGGCAACAACACGGGCGGUAACGAGCAAUUGUUAUCUUUAUGCAAUAAAUUAAAUGAUGAAGUAAUAUGAUCUGUCGCCCCGCUAUCAAUAAUCCAAUUUCGGGAAACAAUCUUAGACAAACCUAGCUUUGUUACCGUAUUUGCUUUGGAGUGAGAACCUUCAUUUUGAUUAUUCAGGAGUGACAAAAGUUGCUUAAGUUGAGCAUCGGAUAUUGUAAGUGAGCCUUCAUUUGUGUUUGAGCCCUCUCCAACUUAAUUAGCCACAGAAAUACCUUUAUGCCGAUUUGAAUUUUGGCCUGAGUUUAUUUUAGCUUUAGGAUGGCCUGGUGGGUAUCCAUGCAGCUUAUAACAUUUCUGGAUCCAAUGGCCAAAAUUUCCACAUUGGUCACAAAAAGGCCUACCUCUCUUAGAGCCAGAUCGACGCCGAUCUCCAUCUUGAGGUCCUGCAAGUUCCGGCGCUUGAGAGUAUGUUCGAUCGCGAGAAUCUGGGAACCCAUGAGAGCGAGUUUGUUAAGUUUUUCCUGUUGCUGAAGGAGUCGGCUUGCUAUGUACAGCCAUGGCAGCAGCGCUGCUGCUUGAAUCAGUGUUCGUAUGCACUGAACUAAGGAGGCACUGUUUCUCUUCUUGGGAGAUUGAAGAGUAGGCUUGGCGAAUAGAAGGCAAAUGAUUCAUGAGCAGGAUUUGACCUCGAAUUGCACUAUAAGUUUCGUUUAGACCCAUUAGAAACUGCAUCAAUUUCUGUCGAUCGGCUUGUGCUAUGUCUGAAUGUGUUGCCAAUUCAUCCCAUAAACUUUUCAACUUAGUGUAGUAAGCUGACACAGAGAGUUGGUCUUGUCAAAGAGAAGCAAUAUCUCGUUGUAUCUCGAAGAUGCGAGUUGCAUUGCCUUGAGAGAAAUGCUCAUAGAGAUCUUCCCAAACCUCAUGAGCAAUAGGAUAAUAAGUCACACUGUGAGCUAUUUCUAGAUCGCAAGAAUUGACGAUCCAGGAAUGAACCAUAUCAUUGCAUCUCGACCAAAUCGCAUAGCCUUCGGGAUCGGUUUCUUCUGAAGGAACUUUGAUAGAACCAUUGACAAAUCCAAGCUUGUUCUUGGAGUUUAAAGCUUGAACCAUAGCCCUUUUCCAACCAAAAUAAUUAUCUCCAUUUAGAGGUUUGGAGAUGAGAAUCAAUUCGGGGUUAUCCGAAUGGUGAGUGAAGAAGGGAUUAAAGAGAUCUGCCUUGGAGAAAUAUGUAGAAAUCUCUUAUUUUUGCGGAUCAGAACUGCUGGUUUUUGGAAUAUCUUCAAGGGCCAUGAUGGCUGAAAGAGAGAUGCUACAUGAGAGAUUAAAGUGUAGCAAGUCCUUGCUCUGAUACCAUGUAAAGUAUGAGAGAAAAGUAGAAUGGGCAGAAUAAUUUUCAUUAAUAUUUGAUUGAGUAUAUAUACAUGCUAAGAUCCCUAUAAUUAAGCUAUGCAAUCGAAAUCUACUGUAAUUUAGGAAUACAUAUAGAAAGAUGUAUUUACAGCUCAAUAUAAUGAAUAAAUGGAUUCUACUUUCCAAUAAUUAUUGUGACUAAUCCAUAACUAACUAUAAUGAUUAACGCAUGCUAAACUUCAGCACAAUGUACAUAACAAAUUGUAACAGACUUUAACAACUUAUGCUGAGUUGGCAGCUGAGCUGUCACUUUGCUUACAACCAUCUGACGACAUCAGCUUCUCCUUCUCCUUCUUCUCUGUAUAGUGAGCUUCCUUAACAGACACCAAGGUUAGUAGUACAUUGAGAGAUAACAUCAAGAGAUAAUUGAAGAGAUGCCUGAGGAUAGAGGGAAGACCAACUAAAAAAGAGGGAUCUUGUUGAGCAUACCAUUAGUCCAUUACUUUGUGACUUUAAAGAGCUUGAUGAGGAGACUCUCACUUCUUCCUUUCUAUUUCUAUCACAAAGGACCAAUCAUGAAGGUGGUAGUGAUCAAUGUCGACUUAAAAGCAAAGGAGCUUGCUGGUGUUAUAUGUUUUUUUUUUUAAUGUAUUUGUAUCAUUGGAUAUAUUUUUUUUGUAACUAUAAAAGCAAGCCAAAAGUUAGCAAACACAUUUUUCAUGUACGAUAUUUUAUGUAAGGUCGUCACCACCAAGCUCAUUUUGCCCUCCUGCUAGUGCAAAAACAUUCUUGCAUUAACAAGCAAGAUUCUCUAGCUUAUACAUUCUAUACGUAGAAAAUGUUAAAAGGGAAAAUAUCCACCGUCCACCCGUUUUUUACACCUUUUUCAAAAAUACACAAUUCCUUCAUUUUUUUGGUGGAAUCCACCUAAAGUUACAUUUUGUUUCACUUUCCACUUCCGUUGAAAUGACGANNNNNNNNNNNNNNNNNNNNNNNNNNNNNNNNNNNNNNNNNNNNNNNNNNNNNNNNNNNNNNNNNNNNNNNNNNNNNNNNNNNNNNNNNNNNNNNNNNNNNNNNNNNNNNNNNNNNNNNNNNNNNNNNNNNNNNNNNNNNNNNNNNNNNNNNNNNNNNNNNNNNNNNNNNNNNNNNNNNNNNNNNNNNNNNNNNNNNNNNNNNNNNNNNNNNNNNNNNNNNNNNNNNNNNNNNNNNNNNNNNNNNNNNNNNNNNNNNNNNNNNNNNNNNNNNNNNNNNNNNNNNNNNNNNNNNNNNNNNNNNNNNNNNNNNNNNNNNNNNNNNNNNNNNNNNNNNNNNNNNNNNNNNNNNNNNNNNNNNNNNNNNNNNNNNNNNNNNNNNNNNNNNNNNNNNNNNNNNNNNNNNNNNNNNNNNNNNNNNNNNNNNNNNNNNNNNNNNNNNNNNNNNNNNNNNNNNNNNNNNNNNNNNNNNNNNNNNNNNNNNNNNNNNNNNNNNNNNNNNNNNNNNNNNNNNNNNNNNNNNNNNNNNNNNNNNNNNNNNNNNNNNNNNNNNNNNNNNNNNNNNNNNNNNNNNNNNNNNNNNNNNNNNNNNNNNNNNNNNNNNNNNNNNNNNNNNNNNNNNNNNNNNNNNNNNNNNNNNNNNNNNNNNNNNNNNNNNNNNNNNNNNNNNNNNNNNNNNNNNNNNNNNNNNNNNNNNNNNNNNNNNNNNNNNNNNNNNNNNNNNNNNNNNNNNNNNNNNNNNNNNNNNNNNNNNNNNNNNNNNNNNNNNNNNNNNNNNNNNNNNNNNNNNNNNNNNNNNNNNNNNNNNNNNNNNNNNNNNNNNNNNNNNNNNNNNNNNNNNNNNNNNNNNNNNNNNNNNNNNNNNNNNNNNNNNNNNNNNNNNNNNNNNNNNNNNNNNNNNNNNNNNNNNNNNNNNNNNNNNNNNNNNNNNNNNNNNNNNNNNNNNNNNNNNNNNNNNNNNNNNNNNNNNNNNNNNNNNNNNNNNNNNNNNNNNNNNNNNNNNNNNNNNNNNNNNNNNNNNNNNNNNNNNNNNNNNNNNNNNNNNNNNNNNNNNNNNNNNNNNNNNNNNNNNNNNNNNNNNNNNNNNNNNNNNNNNNNNNNNNNNNNNNNNNNNNNNNNNNNNNNNNNNNNNNNNNNNNNNNNNNNNNNNNNNNNNNNNNNNNNNNNNNNNNNNNNNNNNNNNNNNNNNNNNNNNNNNNNNNNNNNNNNNNNNNNNNNNNNNNNNNNNNNNNNNNNNNNNNNNNNNNNNNNNNNNNNNNNNNNNNNNNNNNNNNNNNNNNNNNNNNNNNNNNNNNNNNNNNNNNNNNNNNNNNNNNNNNNNNNNNNNNNNNNNNNNNNNNNNNNNNNNNNNNNNNNNNNNNNNNNNNNNNNNNNNNNNNNNNNNNNNNNNNNNNNNNNNNNNNNNNNNNNNNNNNNNNNNNNNNNNNNNNNNNNNNNNNNNNNNNNNNNNNNNNNNNNNNNNNNNNNNNNNNNNNNNNNNNNNNNNNNNNNNNNNNNNNNNNNNNNNNNNNNNNNNNNNNNNNNNNNNNNNNNNNNNNNNNNNNNNNNNNNNNNNNNNNNNNNNNNNNNNNNNNNNNNNNNNNNNNNNNNNNNNNNNNNNNNNNNNNNNNNNNNNNNNNNNNNNNNNNNNNNNNNNNNNNNNNNNNNNNNNNNNNNNNNNNNNNNNNNNNNNNNNNNNNNNNNNNNNNNNNNNNNNNNNNNNNNNNNNNNNNNNNNNNNNNNNNNNNNNNNNNNNNNNNNNNNNNNNNNNNNNNNNNNNNNNNNNNNNNNNNNNNNNNNNNNNNNNNNNNNNNNNNNNNNNNNNNNNNNNNNNNNNNNNNNNNNNNNNNNNNNNNNNNNNNNNNNNNNNNNNNNNNNNNNNNNNNNNNNNNNNNNNNNNNNNNNNNNNNNNNNNNNNNNNNNNNNNNNNNNNNNNNNNNNNNNNNNNNNNNNNNNNNNNNNNNNNNNNNNNNNNNNNNNNNNNNNNNNNNNNNNNNNNNNNNNNNNNNNNNNNNNNNNNNNNNNNNNNNNNNNNNNNNNNNNNNNNNNNNNNNNNNNNNNNNNNNNNNNNNNNNNNNNNNNNNNNNNNNNNNNNNNNNNNNNNNNNNNNNNNNNNNNNNNNNNNNNNNNNNNNNNNNNNNNNNNNNNNNNNNNNNNNNNNNNNNNNNNNNNNNNNNNNNNNNNNNNNNNNNNNNNNNNNNNNNNNNNNNNNNNNNNNNNNNNNNNNNNNNNNNNNNNNNNNNNNNNNNNNNNNNNNNNNNNNNNNNNNNNNNNNNNNNNNNNNNNNNNNNNNNNNNNNNNNNNNNNNNNNNNNNNNNNNNNNNNNNNNNNNNNNNNNNNNNNNNNNNNNNNNNNNNNNNNNNNNNNNNNNNNNNNNNNNNNNNNNNNNNNNNNNNNNNNNNNNNNNNNNNNNNNNNNNNNNNNNNNNNNNNNNNNNNNNNNNNNNNNNNNNNNNNNNNNNNNNNNNNNNNNNNNNNNNNNNNNNNNNNNNNNNNNNNNNNNNNNNNNNNNNNNNNNNNNNNNNNNNNNNNNNNNNNNNNNNNNNNNNNNNNNNNNNNNNNNNNNNNNNNNNNNNNNNNNNNNNNNNNNNNNNNNNNNNNNNNNNNNNNNNNNNNNNNNNNNNNNNNNNNNNNNNNNNNNNNNNNNNNNNNNNNNNNNNNNNNNNNNNNNNNNNNNNNNNNNNNNNNNNNNNNNNNNNNNNNNNNNNNNNNNNNNNNNNNNNNNNNNNNNNNNNNNNNNNNNNNNNNNNNNNNNNNNNNNNNNNNNNNNNNNNNNNNNNNNNNNNNNNNNNNNNNNNNNNNNNNNNNNNNNNNNNNNNNNNNNNNNNNNNNNNNNNNNNNNNNNNNNNNNNNNNNNNNNNNNNNNNNNNNNNNNNNNNNNNNNNNNNNNNNNNNNNNNNNNNNNNNNNNNNNNNNNNNNNNNNNNNNNNNNNNNNNNNNNNNNNNNNNNNNNNNNNNNNNNNNNNNCUAACGGAAACUUAAAAAAAUGCCCAUUUUGCCCCCAAAACGAAAAUUAUAAUUUUACCCAAAAAAAUGCCAAAAAUAAUAAGAUUUAAUGAUGAGUAUCAUUAUUGGUACGUUAAUGAAGUACAAAAAAAUCUUAACUACUAGAGAUUAUAACUCAAUGAAUAAUAAAACUCUACUUAUCUUAAAUUCAAUUGAUGGUUUGCAAGAUUGGGCUAUUUUUAAAACUACUGUUAUAAUUUAGCAUUCUAAUUACAGACAUAUUUAAAAAAAAAAAACCUGUAUUUGAUAGUUGUGGAAUUAAUUUCUUUAUUGACCAAUGAAAAAAAUAAUUAGAUUUAAUCUGAUUAUUUUUUGUAAUUUUUAAGGUGAAAUUGUAAUUUUCGUUUUGGGGGUAAAAUGGUCAUUUUUUAAAGUUUCCGUUAGUUUUCUUAACGGAUUUCAAACGGAAGUGGAAAAGUGAAACAAAAUGUAACUUUAGGUGGAUUCCAGCCAAAAAAUGAAGGAAUUGUGUAUUUUUGAAAAAGGUGUAAAAAACAGGUGGACGGUGGAUAUUUUCCCAUGUUAAAAUUCUUUUGAGGAAAAGAAGACGCUGCAAAUUCUUCAAAGAAAAACACUGUAUUAUGUUUUGCGUGCACGCACUCGCACAACAUAAAGCCAACUCAUUCUAUAAUUAUAGUAAUAAAAUUUAAAAAUUACGGUUUUGAAGUGAUUGUAAAAAUAUUUAUAUAGGUCAGUCCGACCAUUUCUACCCACCAAGAUGGUUGGUUAAUCAUUGAUGUUGUGACACUUGAUAGAGCAGGAAGUACUAUAAAUUUUUAAUAUUAAAUUUUGAUGGUCGUACGUUCGACCCGAUUGCGAUCGCUCAAUAAUACUCACUGGUGAUCCCAUAACGGUACUUAUCGAGAGUAGUACGACUAACAUUUAAAAGUUUUUCUGGAAUUGCGAUGCUCAUGUGCCAACAAAUGCCACAAAACAAUUGGCAAACACGACCAAAUCAGCGGGUGAUGUGGUGGUAUUGGCACCACAGUAAUUAUAUUAUCUCUACCAACGUGUCGCCGCCAGAAUGAAGAGAAUACGAGGAAUACCAACAAAUAUUCUAUCACCCCUGUACAAGCACACACAGAAACACUCCAUUUAUUCCUGUUUUGACUGUUUUGUUGAGAGGGAAGAUGGAGACAACUAAUAUCGAAUAAUCCUCUCUCGCGCAGUCACUCUCAACUGAACAUUUCUCUAUGUACGGACACUUCAAAAGAAAUUGAAAUGUUUCUCAAAUUGGGAGAUUUCGAUGGGAACCGGUGGAGACCUAAACAGCUGUGGGAGCAAGCCUUGAAUCGAUGGAGAUCUGCCUGCGCUGCAGUCAAGAACCGCCGUGGAAGAUUCCGCGUGGUUGUACAAACAAAUAAGCUGCUGUUCUUUGUGUUGUUAUUUAAUCUCUCUGCUUCAGCUUAUGAUAUUCCGUUUCUUUAUGUCUUCUUGGCUGCUUCUUUUUCUUCUUGGUUGCUUGACUUUAAGGCCUCUUUGAAGUUCUACCUCGUUUGGUCUUUCUUUUUCCUCUUGGUCCUGCUUUUGUUCUUUAAUUCUUUUGCUGCCUUGGCUUUUUCGAAUUGAAUUCUUGUUGCUGCUUUUCUCUGCCUUGUUGCCUCCUUGUUGCCCCCCCCCCCCCCGGUCGCCCUCAUAAUCUUGCCCCUUUUAUAGAUAAUUUUGUGCUUAUCUAUUACAGGUGUCAAUACAAGUUACACAUGCCCAACACCUUGACUCUCCAGCACACUAGACUUAUGUUCUUUUAUUGUCCAACACGUUGCCACUUCAGCACACUAGGCUUAUACUUAAUUAAUUCAUUAACAGUUGCCAAUCUCGCCAAGCGUGCGGAGACAAGGGAUAACAAGCUCAAAAUGCAAGUUCUAUUUUACUCGCACUUUCAUUCCUUUAUUAUCUUCUUUUGUUGAAACAAUUUUUGUUUGAACUGAGGGUUAAUCCAACUCUCAUAUUUUCGUUAACUAUAAUGAUAGGCUUACAAAGCUGGAUACAAAGUCUGUAUCCCAGAUGAUGUGACUUUAUCUUGUGUGGUCAUGUGAUGAUUAGUUAUUAAGCCUUAUCACUUCUCAUCCGAAUGGUGAUUUUGUGUUGUUUCUGUUGGGGUACGAACUUUGUGAGUUUUGUUAAAUUGGUGUAAUGUAGAGAGUUUCAGUACCUUAAGAAUUUAAAGGGAGUGUGAACUGAAUUGAUAAAUGGUACAAAAUGAUUUUGACAUUGAAAUUAGUAGACCAAACUCAAGGCUGUCUGUUGUGUUACAGGAAAAAGUAGGAAUUGCGCUUUAUGUUCAAAAAGCUGCAUUGCAGUUGAUUGAUGAUGUGCCAUAAAGUGAAUACGUUGUGACCCACGUUCCAUAUUAUUUUCAAAAAGCUGCACUUAAUUUUACUAGAUCAUAUGACGAUGUGCCAUCAAGUGAAUACUAUGUGAAUGAGCCUGCCAAAGCUAGCAGAUUUCAAGAAUUUGUUGAUGACAUAGGAUCCACCAUUGAAGGCCAUGGUUUAAGGAUAGUCGAGCAUACAAACGCGGUCUUUUCCCGCCAUGUAGGGAAUCCAUUAACUUAUCCUGAAUUGAAGGCAACAUGCUUUGGGGUAUAUCUACAAAGUCAUCUUGUGUUGGAAGCAUCUUCAUCUAUGUGGAAUAUAUUUAGUAAUUCUUGUUCGGGUUCGCAUUGGUAUGACAUAAAUUUCAAUAUUAUAUGUCAUUACGUGAAUAUAUUGUGACCAAGGCUUCCAAAGUUAGAAGAAUUCAAGAUUUUGCUGAUGAUGUAGGAAGAAUUCAAGAUUGUGCUGAUGAUGUAGAAUAUGUUCCACACAAUGAUGAUGAUGAUGAUGAUGAUGAUUCUAAAGGUCAUCCAAUUAGCGUAAAUAUGGAACCGGUUUAUAUUGUUUCUCCGAAUGGGAAAUUUAGAAGAAGAUUGCUUUCAUGGCAAAAUGGUGAGCUUUUGGGAAGUGGGUCAUUUGGAUCUGUGUAUGAAGGCCUCGCUGAGUAAGUGAAAUCUGUUCCUGUGUUGAUAUACUUGCAACUCGUGAACAGGAGUUUUAUUGUUUUGAUUGUAUUUUAAUAUCCAUUUGAUUACAUAGCCUUAUUGAUAUGUACCUGCUGAAAGUUUUUAAUAAGUUAAAAGGAUGUACAAUGUCGGAUUGGAAGGAAGUUUCUAGGAAUUUAUUGAAUACUUUUUCUGCUUUCUGAACGAUUCUACAGGAAAAGUGAUAGACUUAACGAUGAGACCUCAAUGGGUUUUGGGUGUGCUACUUGUAAAUCUACUCGUCUUAUUUCUCAAGAUAAUCAUGCUAGACGAAUUCAAUUUUGUUUUUGAGGCAGGGAAAGUUGAUGAUGAGCUAGAUUGGAUAUUCUUUUCCGUAUUCUUACUUGAAACAAUGGCCUUUUGCAACUAUUUUACCAUUUACUUCUAAAUAUUUUUUAUAUUUUGAGGUGUAUUUUAUUUGUUUUGCUAUGCAUCCAUCUUGAAAGUGGUUAGGAUUAUAUUUAUACGGUCAGAUUAACUUGGCCUUGCUUUACUAUCUUUGAUAUGCAUGUUCAUGUGCACGCAUCCAUGAGCAUAUGCUUAUUUUUUAGCAAUUUCUGUCAUGCUUUCUGGUUUGUUUGUAGUGAUUUAUUCUUUUUUGCUGUGAAGGAGAUUUAUUUGCAGGAUCAAGGAACUCAGGGAAAACAGAGCAUUCUUCAAAUUAAGCAGGUGGUAUGAUUUCUCUAGUCCUGCUGGAAGUCCAGUACGGUACAUAUUGUUCUGUAGUUUUUUCUCUCCUUUAAAUUACAAAUAUGCAGUUGCUUAUUUUUAUUCUGCCUCUAAAUAGCUACAGGAUAAGAUCAUUUUUCUAAUAAUCUGUUUGAUAACCUACAUAUCGACAUGGUUGCUGUGUGGUUUGGUUCUAUAUCCAUUAGGAAUAAUUCUUUUAGAGCUUGUGUCAGUGUUCUUUAUUUUGCAUGCGUCAUUUGUUCGCAGGUGUGGCCAAGCCAGUUGCUAGUACCUUUAAGAAGAGCUUUGACAUGAGAAACACACUGUGUUAGUACAAUGCUAAGCAUCUUUUUUCUGUUGAAUCUGCCUGCCUGGCAAUUCUUGGCACUGAAAACAGAGAUGGUGCAUUCUAGGUGAAUAUGCACAAGGCACAACUGCUCAUGAUGCAAAAUCUGAGAAACUGAGAUGGUGCACACAUUCUUUCAUCGCUCAUCGACCUCCUGCGGACAGACCAGUGGCAUUUAAANNNNNNNNNNNNNNNNNNNNNNNNNNNNNNNNNNNNNNNNNNNNNNNNNNNNNNNNNNNNNNNNNNNNNNNNNNNNNNNNNNNNNNNNNNNNNNNNNNNNUUUACUAUGAGUACGCAUCCUCGGAUGGUAAGAAGAACCAUAGCUGCACCCAGAAUCAUUUACAGAAGCGACUACUUAUGGUGUUGGAAAAUGACUUUCUCUUUGGUCCAGUUGAUUGUUGCUCAUUUCUUUUAUUCUGGCAGAAUUUGCGUGUCAAGAACAAAUUUUAAUACAUCUGUUUUCCCAUUGGUCUUUCAUCUUUGCUAUAAUUGCUGCUGUGUUUACUUUCAAAUACGAUGGGGAAGUUUCUGACUCGUCGGGCCUCGACAGUGCGCUGUUGCCCUAGCUUCUGGUAAUCAGGUAUGAUUGUGAAAACAAUUGUAAUCAUCAAGCUGCACUAGGUGAAUUCGCAUAACUUAUCACCUCUAUGACUAUGAAUUCCUACAAAUAUAAAGAAAACUGCAUGAGACUGUAAGCUUUUGCAAGAUUGUGGAAAGAAGGAAAUAUAAAGAUUAUGAGAUUGCAUUUUGUAAGUCAAUAAUUUAGUCAUAUGAUGUCUAUAAAAGAUUGCUUUAAUAUUUUUUUUGUAUAAUGCUAGGGUGCCUCUGUAGAUUUAGAAAUCCUCUUAUGUAAUAAACGAUUGUUAUAGCAGUAUGGCUAAAUCAGUACAGAUAUCAAAUCUUUGAUAGUUUGCAUCUUUUUAGGUUCAUAUGCUAGAUGCUAUUCGCAAUGAGGAUCUAGAAGCAAACGGCAGCAUGCCUAUGUUGGCAGACUUCCGAUGAUUAAUGAAGAUGAUUCUGAGAAACGAGGUCCACAUGCUUGUUCUUCACUCUGCCUUCUGGCUUGCUUUUUCUCUCAAACUAUUUACACAAACUCCCUUUUCAGUACCAGAAGCUUUAUAUAUGUUAAUAGAUGGGUUUGUGAGUAAUGUAUCGGUGGUUUAUUUUAGGAGUCUCACAAUUUGAUUUUUGUUUCAUGGUUAGGGCCUAGAGGAGGCAUUUGCCCCCAUUUGCUAAUUUGAUUCAGAUUCAAAGUUUUAGUCUUAGGUGUUACAAUUUCAAUUACUUUGUAUUCGAGUCGGAUAAAAAUCUGUAACUUCGAUUAUAACUACUCAAUAUAUACAUGUAUUAUCUUAUCUAUAGAGCUCGUUGAGGGGGUUAAAUGAUGGUGUUAGUCUUUUCGUGUAAAGUUAUUUGAGAUUCCUGAAAUUCAUGAAAUUGUAUUAUGCCAAUUAGAACAAAUGAAACUGCUUUGAUUGGGUCACACAAGAAACUUUUGAUGUGCCAAUUAAUUAUCAUUGGCAUGGUCAAUUGUAUUGGGUAAAGAUACACUAUAUGAUAUGAAUCUUUUUAAAAAGUGAUUUUAUUAUUAUUAUUAUCAUUAUUAUUAUUUAACAUAAGAAUUUUAUUAUUAUUAUUAAUUUUAAAACAUUAUAAUCGGGUAAUUAUAGACCCUUAGAUUUGUAUGUUUUAAUCAUAAUCAUCCAACUUCCUGUUGAUCAAAUUCACUGCAAAAGUAGCUAUUGUUCCUGCUGCAUAGCGGCUUUUUAACCAGAAGUUUUGCAUGCAGCCUCCAGAAACUAGUUCAAAUAAUCAAUUAACAUCACCACGCAAUCAACAGAACAUCCUGCUAGCUAUAUUCUUGUCGCUAGUAGAUGUACAUUGGAUUAUUUCCUUGUGGUUGAAGAUUCAUCGAACCAAAUGGACCCAUAUGUAAUAAAAAAAUUAAUAAAUAACAAAAAAAGCUGGAGCACAAACAGAAAAUUAUAUAUUUUUCUGACAAAAUAAAGAGAUAGAUGGGGUAGUGAAAGAUUGAUUUUUGAUGACUCUUUUUCCACCAUUAGAGAAUAACAGCAACCAAAUUAUGUUUUUCACUUCAAUUAUUAUUAGUAUUAUUAAUAAUUAGGACUUCUUUAUCAACAUAAAUCUUUCGCUCAAAUUCAACAACCAAAGUUGCCGGUGGGUUGUGCUCGGCUAAUCAAAUGCAAUUAGUAUAUUUAGGGUUUAGUCUUAGAUAGAAGUUAAGUACUUGAAAUGUAAUCAUAGAUAACGCAUUUCUUUUCCAAUCUAUAUAAUUCUUGCCAGUGAGUUUGUUUUGAUUCAGAAUAAUAGUAAGUGGGUCAGGGAAGACAUUUUCUGAAAAAUAAAACAUCCAUAUAUAAAUAAUUUGAUAUAAUAUUCACAAUAAAUAAUAAAAAUGCAAAAAACCAUAAAUGUGUUUUAAUUUAUUGUAACGAUAAUCUAGUACCGCUUUGACAAGCUAUCCGUUGGGGAAGUUGUGUCUGCACUUACUAGACCCAAUUAUCCAUUGGAUUAUAUACUUUCAUGUAAAGACAUGAUAAAUAAUUAUCGUUAUCUUUUUGGGCCUAAAUUUGUUAGUAGAGCUUCGUUGGGAAGGUUAAUAACAAAUUUUAAUUGAUUGUAUAACCAUUGUUUCAUUCUAUGUAUCUUCCAUACCAUGCCGCCGCCGUUAGGGUAAUCAACAUAUUGAAAAAUAUGUCAAUCUUAUCUAUAAAGAAGUUCAUCAAAUAAAAUGUCUAAUAUAUAUACCCUCCGUAGGGAGCAUCACCGUAUCAUGAAGUCAAAGUAUAUAUAUAAUUUUAUUAUUGAACUAACAAUGGAGCCCGUGGGAAAAAUUAUCUUGAAUUUUCCCUCUCCCACUCAAUAUUUUAAAAUUGGUUUUUCCUUUUUAGAACAUACAUUGAUUAUAUAUUGUUAAUUGCAUGCUUAUAAUAUUAUCUAGAUGAUAUCCAAUAUUAUUAAGCAUUUGCAAAUUGCAAACAAUAUAAUGAGAUUCAUAAUUUAUGAAUGACAUGUAUCAUUAUGCAUAGAGUGACACUAUUUAUUCUAUAUGACAUGUUAUCAUGGCAUGCUAUCAUCCAAAACAUAACAUAAAGAAAAAUAAUUAAAUAAUCUUAAUUCAUGGCUUUCCUAAAAUGAAAAAUACAUUAAUCCUAAGCCUAAUCUUCAUUAGGUUUCUUGUCAGUGUCCAUUUUCCAUAGGCUUUUCUUUGUUAAUGGAAUAGGGAAAAUUGGACUUUUAAAUUUAUUAUUGGUCCAAUUUUAAUUUUGAAAGAAAAUAAAUAUUUUUUUUAAAAUAAAACUUUUGGACCAAAAAUAGAUUUAAUGUGUUAAACUUUAUCUAUGCAUUUUAAUCCAUUAAGCCCAAUUUCAAUUGGACCUAAAACUAUGAUUCAUUAAGUCCAAAAUUAUUUUUGAACUUAAAUGCAGAAAAUUAAAACUUGUCUGCCCAAAAAAUAAAACUAUGAAACUAUAGGGACUUCAACAAUAUAAAUCAUUGAAAAACCCUAAAAUCCAUAUUUUUCUUCCCAGCCGCCAUCACCACAAAGACCAGCCACUGUUCAGAUGCCUCACCCUUCUCUAACAUCGAGUUAACCGCUGCCACACCGGAAAGCUACCAAGAUGCCGUCUGCUUCGAGCAUGCGACCAGCCCACGCAUGCAUUACUGGCAGCGUUGCUUACAGCACGCGCUACUGGGCAUGCACUGUUUGGUGGCUGCCGCUGAAAUUUUCGGCCUUCGUUUCUUGAUUUCCUCAUGUCGUGAUUAUUCUCCAGUGAUUUACAAAUAUCUUAAGCCAAUUUUUGGCUUACAAAAUUUCUAUAACAGUAAAUUAAAUCAAGAGGGAAACAUGGUGAUAAAAAACCACCCCUCUUGUUAUAGAUCCAAAGAAAGAAAUACAACAGAGAAUCUAACCAUGAAUUAAGACAAACCAAAAGCAUGCUUUAUUCAUAUAUUAAACAAAUAAUAGUUAUCUAAAUAAAUCGUGCCACUCUAAUACAUAAAUGUCAAGAUUGAUUUCAUAUGAAAUUUUUAUGUAUUAAUAUGAGAUGGCUCUGAUACUAAUUGUUAGGGAAAAUUAGUUUUUUUUUUUAAAAUUUUAUACAAACUUUUAGGACAGAUCUCAUAUAGUAGAUAAGAGUUCGUAAUCUAGAAAAUGAUACCUUGAUAAUCCGACUUUGCUUUUUCACUGAAAUAAUCUAGGCGCCUAGAUCAUGAUUCAUCACCACCACUCCUUGUUAAAUCACGAUCCACCACCUAUGAUCUUCCAGGUUAUAACUCAAGUUUGAUCUGCACUUGACGUGUGGGCGCCUUUAUCAUCACUAAAAGCAACUAGCAAGAGAAACUAUUCCUUUCAAAAUUGGAGAGAAAAAUUCUUUUUCCUCUAAUCUGUAUAUUGUGGCUUCUGUAUCUUUUUUUUUUUUUUAAAGAAAACAAACCCUUUUAUAUCUCUAUUUGGUGGAAACCCUAGGCUCCAUAUUAAUAUAUCUUUUAAGUCUAUUAAAUCAAAUUUGAUUUAAAUUAAAAAAUAAUAAAACCAAAAGUGGCAUUACUUGUUCUUUAUUAUAGGGGCUCACCUUGUAAAAUAACACAAAACCCCUUACACAUAAACAUAUUAAAUAGAGCCUCUCACUAAAUAAUAUAUUUAGGCUUUUAACCCAAAUAGCUAGUUAUCUUGCUUAUUAAUCUAGCAGUGGUGCAAUCAAUUAAAUCUACCCAGGGAUCAUAUUGGUACAUACAAUAGUGGCUAUAAUAAUUAGGCAUGUAAUUAAAUUAUCCCAAUUAUUUAAUUCCAAAUCUACUCCACUAAAAGAUUGGAACUUACCUCCAAACUUUUAUGUUAUCAAAGAUAGUGUUCUCGAAUAAUAAUUCAACCCAUGCCGCAUUGAUUUCUUUACUAUACAAUUCUUUGUAUCACAUCGUUAAUUAAAUCAAUAUCUUAACUGUCCAAUCAAUUUAAUUACAUCUUGUUCCUUGAUACUUACUGGUUCCCUCUAAUAAUCAUUUUCAAUAUACUAAAUAUGUUGACACACUCUGGUAAGAGAAUUCUAUGAUCAAGUGCCGAAAACUUAUCAAGAGACGUGUCGUACAAAUUCUAUGUUGUUAAUUUAUAACUUCAAUACUCAUAAUUGCUCCCACCAAGAUAAUGAGUAAUCUUGACUACAAGUGUAUGUCGUGCCCAUUGGUAACUCAAAUGGAAUAACAAUUACAAUCAUGAAAUUAUAACUAACUGAAGAUUAAGAUUACAUUAAAAUAAAUGCUUAUGAGAUUUAAUACAUCUGACAGUUAUUACAAAGUUAAGAGAAAUAGAUUUACUAGAAGAAUAAGAAAUUGAUCUAAAUAGUCAACCUACUCUUAUUAAGGGAAAUACUACAAAAUCCAUAGAAUAUGCUCCAGAGGGAAGAAUCAUCAUAGGAAAUAAAAGAUCAUUCUCUAUUCCUAAACGAGAAUCGGAAUUAAGUAGAACCCAAAGUUUUACUAGAUGUAGUCAUCUUGUGAUACCACCUUCACAUAAAAUAUUAACUACAGUAAGAAAAAAUAACCAAAAUCUAAAAAUUAAGAUUGAAUACAAUAAUGGAAAAUCUUGGCAUGAGACUUUUGUUAUUCCUGAUACAGGAGCCUCAAAAAUCUUACGUAGAUGCCAAAAUGAUCAAAUAUUUAGAAAGAAAAGUUCUAAUUUAACCUCAUAUUUAUAUAGGAUUUACUGGAGAAAGAAAAACGUUAAGUCAAUAUUGUGAUAUACCAUUAAAAUUAAAAGGAAUAGAAUUCAUCUUUCCUUUCUUCAUAGAACCAGAUUAUAAAAUAGAAGUAAGUCCUUUGUUAUUAGGGAUGAACUUUCUUGAGAAUUUAUCACCUUAUUGCAUAGGAGAUAGAGAAAUAAGCAUAACAAUUGAAGGAAUUUAACAAACCCUAUUAAGAUAUGUCUAAUCCUUUUAUAGUUUAUAUAAAAGUGAUUGUACCAUAUUAUAAGCAUAAACCAGAAUGGUUCCAUGCUUUAAUAGAUACUGGUUCAGGAGUUAGUUUAGCCAACUCCAGGAUUUAUCCAAAAUCAUAUUGGAAAGAUUAUAAACCUUUAAUAGUGCAAGGAAUAAAUGGUGAAUAGAUCACUUUAGGAACAUGUAGGAUUAAGACUUUAAUCCAAAUUGAAGAUUACAUCUUAAGUAUCCCUAUAUUAUAGUCUUAUAAUCAUAUGGGAGUAGAUAAACUUUUAGGAGUUAAUUUUCUUCGAUAGUUCAUUUAUAUAAUGACUAAUGAAGCAAUUACACUUAAAACACCAUGUAAUCAUUCUAUUACUGCCCCUAGGAUUUAUAGCCCGAUUAGGCGAACAACUCGAAAAUUACAUUUUCGAAGCAGCUAGCGUGGUGAAUAUAAUAUAAAAUUUAAUCAAAUCAUAUCAUAUUAUGAAAAAAUCUUAGAAAAACUUGAUAAAAAUUUUGGUGAAAACCCAAUUCAAUUAUGGGAAAUAGCUAAAACAUAUGCUAAAAUAGAAUUAAAAGAUCCAAAUGUUAUUAUAAGAGUCAAACCUAUGAGGUAUGGACAAGAAGAUAGACAAGAAUUUGAUAAACAAAUUAAAGAGUUAUUAGAACUCAAGAUAAUUCGAGAAUCUAAAAGUCCUCAUAGUAGUCCAGCCUUUAUAGUUAGAAAUCAUGCAGAAAUCAAAUAAGGAAAAGCUUGUAUGGAUAUUAAUUAUAAAGAAUUAAAUAAAUAUACCAAAUUUGAUGGAUACUUUUUACCUCACAAAGAUACAUUAAUUAUUUUUGUGAUCAAUAAACAGAUGUUUAGUAAGUUUGAUUACAAAUAAGGAUUUUGGCAAAUCAAACUUGAAGAAGAAAUUAUACCACUUACUGCCUUUAGUACACCUCAAGGAUAAUAUGAAUGGAUUAUAAUGCCUUUUGGAUUAAAAAAUGCACUACAAAUAUUUCAAAGAAGGAUGGAUAAAAUCUUUAAAGAAUUUCAUGAAUUCUGCAUAGUUUAUGUAGAUCACAUACUAAUAUUCUCAUAUAAUAAGAUAGACCAUAUUAAUUAUCUCGUUUCUUUUGCAGAAAAAUGUAAGAAACAUGGAAUAUUACUUUCUAAAAAGAAAGCUGAAAUAAUAAAACCCAGAAUAGAAUUUCUAGCAUUAAUAAUAGAUGAAACAGGAAUAGAAAUGCAACCUCAUAUUUCUGAAAAAAAUAUAUUUAUUUCCAAAUAAAUUAGAAUCUAAAGAACAAAUUCAAAGAUUUUUAGGAUGUCUUAAUUAUGCUGAAGGUUUCAUAGAAAACUUAGCUAAAGAAAGACAACCCUUACAAGGAUUAUUGAAAAGGAAUAAUACAAUAUCAUAGGAAGAACUCUAUACCAAAGUAGUAAAAAGAUUAAAAGAAAAAUGUAAAAAUCUUCCAAGGUUAGGAUUCCCUACCUCUAGUGAUAAUUUAAUUCUUAAAACAGCUGCUUUAGAUAAUCACUGGGGUGUAAUAGAUCAAGAAAAGAUUUUUAGAAAUGCCAGUGGAACAUUCAAACCCGCAGAAAAGAAUUAUCAUAGUAAUGAAAAGGAAUUAUUAGCUAUUAAAAACGGUAGCUAAAUUUACCUUCUUUUUAUUACUAAAGAAAUUCAAGGUAAGAUCUGAUAACAAUCAGGUAAAAAGAUUUAUAUUUAAUAAAUUACCUAAUCUCCCCCAAUAUAAAAGAUUAAUUAGAUGGCAACAGUUUUUUGCUGGAUAUGAUUUUGAAAUUUAAUAUAUUAAAGGAUCUAACAAUUGUAUUGCAGAUUUUCUUAGCCGAGAAUACAAUGGAGAAGAGUCUUUCCAAAAUAAUUAAGGGCAUAAUGAUGUGCUCUGAAGGAUAAGAAUUGCUUCUCAAAGGCAACAAUAUGAUUUAUGAUGGGCUUGCCAUGAUUGAUGAUGCCCAUGAAGAAUUGAGCAAACUUUGCCUAGACAAAAGUUUGCAAAAUCAUCUAAAAUCAAGACUUCAGAACAAUAUCUUAGCAACAUGCUAAAAAAGGUCCUUUACAAGGAUCAAACUGAGGGACAGAUCGCCUAGAGUUCUUCACAGAACUCAAAGAUGACUCAUCUAGAGAACUUUCCCACAAUCAAGGAUCUUAAAGAACAAUAUGUGAAGAAAGAAGAAUUACAAGGGUCUAUAGUAAACUUAAGGCCCAAAUAUGAUAAAAGCGGACAAUCUGUUCCUAUGGUUAAAAUUUCAUUAGGAAGUGACUACGCUUAUGAUUAUAAAAGAAUUGGUAAAAUAGCCUAUGGCAUUCGUCCUAGCCAGGUUAUAAUACCAGAUCAUUUAAGGUUAUACUUAAGGAUAAACUUUAUACCAAGAGCUUAUCCAAAAUUGAUAAAGGACAUGUUUGAUUAUGGUUUUCUUAACCUUGUAUAUGUUAGUGAUGAUUGUAGGGAAAUAAAAGAACUCCCAGAAAAAAAUUACAGAGGCUGCCAAUGACCUCAAAAGGAUAUCCAAAACAAAAGAAAUGAUUUUUGUCAAGAUCCUCAUUGCUUGUCCUGAAUACUGUGGAAACAAGUGGUAUCCAGCUCAACACAUGAUUCAAGUUGGAAUUAGCAGCAAAAAAGUUAGUCCAACUAUUUGUCUAGAUCAAGUCUACAAUGAUUAUGAUCCUAAAUUAUUCGAGCCUAAAGCACUCACCAGCAAAAGGCCUAUAGGAAUGAAAGUCCUCUAUGAAUCUCUUGAGAGGAUAAGUAAAGAAAAAAUAUGGCUCCACGAAGCCACAAGCCACAAAAGAGCAUAUAAUCUUUUCUAUGAGUAGAAAAGAUAACAUUUUAUUCAGACAAGCCAAAUCAAAAAAGGAAAAAGCAAUAUAUUAAAAUCUCGUGGAAUCCAGCUUGCCGACAUAACACGAGAUAUGCAAGGUGCUAAAGCAUCAGUCAUCAUAUGGCUACUGCUAUGAAGGAUCAAAAAGGGAAUCUAAUGGGGAAGACAUAUAGCUAGAUGAAGAUAUGGUAAUUGGCAUGUGACGAGAACCACCAGAAAAGAUAAAAGAUGCUAUCCAAAUAGCGUCAAUAAUUCAUAAAGCAAGAUUCCAAAAAGAUAAAGGCUUUCUACCACGAAGAAAAGAGGACAACCAUUGUCUUCAAUUAUAGAAGGAGGAGGGGUCACCUUAUCAAGAGGAAAUCCAUGAUCCACCAGAAAAAUCAAACAAGUGUCAUGUAAAAGAGAACCUUAUCUCUUUAGAAUUAUAAAUAGAAUCAUAAAAGAAGGGAAGGACAUCACUUGUUCAUCACAUGUCCAACUUUCACCCUCUGUUGUAUAUUCUUUAUAACCAAUCCCUGUAAACAAUUCCAUGUUAACAUUUAUAUAUUCAUAAUGUUGAUUUUUGAUGAUAACAAACAAAAUUAAGAAUGAUUCAGUUUUUAAAAGCUCAAAUUAUUUUUAUACAUUUUAAAUAAAUCAUUAUUUUCACAUUUUAAAGGUUUUAUAUUUAAUGGAAAAAUGAUUUUAUGAAAUUAUUUGUUUUUCAGGUUUAUGGUUUAAUUGAAAGAGUUUUGAAAACUUUGAAAUCAACAAGUAUUGCUUGAAAUUUUGGAGAAGGAUUUAUUUGAAAAGUAUUCAUAGCAUUUUGGGCUAUAUCAUAAUUUCAGAAAGUUUUGAGAAUAGUAAGCAUUAUUUAGAAAUUCUGAAAUUGGACUUAUUUGCUAAAUGUAUAAUGUUUUGGGUUAUAGUACAGUUAUAUAAAGUUUUGGGGUCAAACUAUUAUUUUAUAAAAUAGUUCACUGUAGUAGUAACUGUAGCAGUUACUGUAGAAAACGGCGAUCUGACAAUUUUGAUAAACGGCUCGCCGAUAUCGAACAUAACUAAAGAUUAGCCUCUGGACCUAAAGGGCAAUCCGACAUCUAGAUAACGGCGAUCCGACAAUUUAAAAAUUCAGCCCAACGGUCAUAUUGACCAGUCAAACAACGAUCCGACAUCUAGUUAACGGCGAUCCGACAGUGAGCAAAAAAUCAAUAAUGGCUAGUUUUCAGCUCCAACUAUAAAUAAACUCAAUCUAAUUCAAACAAAGACAAAUCCAAGAGUUAUCAUUGAGUUUUCUAUUGAGCAUAAAACUAUUAUUGAGCUUUGAACUUGUUUCUAUUUCUUUGAUUCACACAUUGGGUAUUCAUUUGUAAUCAAACACAUUGUGUGAGAGAAAAUUCAUUUGUAAUAUUUAUCCUUGAGAGGUUGUAAGUGUUGAAAUACACUUGGAUUAAGAGAUUGAGGAUAAUCUCUUGUUGUAAAGGUCCAUUGUGUUUGCUUGUUUUUCUUUUGUUUCUUUGUGUGUUUCUCCUUGGGUGACGGCUCUCUUCCAUUCCUUAUGAUGUGUGCUUCUUUUAUAGUUGAAAAUUAGGGUAAACGAAAGCCUAAGUCGCGCAUAAGUCAGAUUAGGAAACUGCAGAUCCCAAGUCUGCAGUUAUCCCGCACAAAAUUUUCUCUGUCGUUGUUCCAGGAUUGCUACAGCAAUGGUUGCUACAACAAUAUCUACAGCAAUUGCACUGUUCCAGAUUUGUUUCAACUCUUUUGUAGCCAUGUUCUUUUCUUAUUUUUUGCAAGCCUAUUGCAUAGCAUUCCUUCCAUGAAUUAUAAGCUUCUGGAAACCUACAAUUAUGCACACAAUUUAAGCACAAAUUACUUUAAAUCGAGCAAAACUUAUUAAGAUUGACUAAAAUGAUUAUUUAUGCAAAAUGUAACAAAAAUGCAAUAGAAACACAUAAUUUACUCUCUAAGUAGUAUUGAUUUAAAUCUAAAAGUGCCAUGAUAACUCUCAUUUCAUAGAGUUAUCACCGAUAUCGAACAGAACUGAAGAUUAGCCUCUGGACCUAAACGACGAUCUGACAUCUAGAUAACGACGAUCCGAAAAUUUGAAAAUUCAGCCCAACGGUCAUAUUGACCAGUCAAUUGGUGAUCCGACAUCUAGUUAACGGCGAUCCGACAGUGAGUAGAAAAUCAAUAACUGCUAGUUUUCAGCUCCAACUAUAAAUAAGCUCAAUCUAAUUCAAACAAAGAUAGAUCCACGAGUUAUCAUUGAGCUUGCUAUUGAGCAUAAAACUAUUAUUGAGCUUUGAACUUAUUUUUGUUUCUUUGAUUCACCCAUUGAGUAUUCAUUUGUAAUCAAACACAUUGUGUGAGAGAAAAUUCAUUUAUAAUAUUUAUCCUUGAGAGGUUGUAAGUGUUGAGAUACACUUGGGUUAAGAGAUUGGGGAUAAUCUCUUGUUGUAAAGGUCCAUUGACACCUUGGAAGUCAAUCGUAAGCGUUUGAAGCCUUGGGAGGCUAGCUUAGUGAAAUCCUCAAGCCCGGUGAGCUUGGAGGCGUGGAUGUAGGCGGGGGUUGCCGAACCACGUAAAAAUCAUUGUGUUUGCUCUCUCUUCCCUUAUCUUUUUAUAUUGUGAUUGAUUUAUUUGUUAUUGCUUUAAAUUAGUUUUGGAUUUGCAUUGAGUUUUGUUUUAAAAUUGAAUAAUUUUUAAUAUCCCCAUUCACCCCCCUUGGGUUGCCUAGUUAAUAUUUCAUUCCAGUUAUGAAAUAAAUAAAACCCUUUUGAGUGAAAUUAUCAUCUUCCAGAUAUCUUAUAUACUUUUAGAAAAUAAUGAAGAAUCUUACAUGCGAAUACUUGUGCUAUCAUGUUAGGCCAAUUUGCUAUGUGUUGCGUUAGUCCGUGUGGAACAGUCGCUGAAGUGAUCUUGUAUGAUGUGUGGAGCUAUGGCAGUGCUAACCAUGGACCUCUCCAUGGUUGGAGGCAAUUAAUGAAUCUAUCUUAGAAUUCCGAGGGAUAGUACAUUGGUUAGUAAUCUUGAACUCUUCUUUCAUUUUAGCAACAAACGAAAGCCUGUUGGGCCUUGUUUGUUUUAUGAGAUGUUAUAAGAAAGGAAGUGAUAAAAGUAACUCACUUUCAUAAAAAUGGAAAGAUUUGUUAAUAAAUUUCUAGAUGCAAUUGAUCAUUUAGACUUUUGUCAAGGAUACCAGGUUGCUUAUACAAUUUCGAUAAUAAAAACUAGAUUAAAUACAAGUAAAUGUUUUUAUGAAGAAAUGAAAAGAAUUAAUGAUCCAUAAAUAUUUGAUUCAUUUGAAGAAAACAAGAUAACAUUAAUAGAAUCAAUUCUAUCUUGUCUUGAAGUAAUCCAAGACAGGUGUAAGACUAAUAAUAGAACUCAAAAUCGAGUGUAAUGGAUAAUAAUAAUAAUAUGGAAAUAUUGAUUCAAGAUGCAAAUCUCAAUUUACAAUUUAUAUUUGAUAGUUUUGAUAGGAUAUAUCUAAGUUGGGAAGAUAGCUUAGGAAUAUAUAUAGAUAUGUUAGAAGAAAAGAUUUGGUCUAUGUCUCAAAAGAGACAAAUGAUUAUAAAUACAGGAAUUAAUUCACACAUAGAUCUCUAUGAACGAGAUAAUCAUUUAACACUUUAUAAAGAUAUAGUUAAAACAUUAAAGAAAUUUGAGGAUAGAUGCAGAAGAGAUUGAAGGAGAAAUGCUCCAAUCAAUCAAAAUUAAUAAGAUCUAUAAAUUCUAAAAUAGGAUAAAAUUUUGAAAUAAUUUGCAAAAUGGUCCUUUUUGUACAAAUUUAUGUAAGAAUAUCAUUAUUGAAGGUGAAAACAAACAAGAUUCUAAUAUUUCAGCCACUAAAGUUGCCUCCUUCAAUCGAUUCUUCCAAGUGUCAUUUUGGUUUUGGGGGUUUAAAUUUGUCAAUUAUAUACAUUCUUUUUUUAUCACAAGCAUAAACUAGCAUAUGACAAUCUAACUUCUAUAUCUAAAGUUGCAAUUUCAAUUUUGUCAAUGGAAUAACUAAACCUUUAAGAGUCAUAUAAAUGUCAUUUCAAUUUUGGUUGCUUCUAAUUUCAAAGUUUAUCACUACGUGGAUUUUAGUUACUAAUUAGCAUCACAAAUACUCUGUUUUGUACUUUAAACAUAUCUAUUAGCUACGUCUAUCGCCACAUGUAAUCAUCGCUAGAUUAUCAAGUAAUAAUAACAAUUAAAGCAAUCGCCUUCCAACUUUUGGAAAUAUCGGCAAAAAUCGUUGUACAAGAGCAUAGAGAUGGCAUACAAUUAUAUUAUAAUGAAACUUUAAUAAAUUUAAAAUGUUCUAGUUUCAAAAGACAUCUUGGACUAACUUCUGUUAUCGUUUCAUUCUUAUACCUUUAUUUAUUUUUUUCAUUGCUUUACUUCUAGAUUAAUUGGCCUUGGAACUUUGGGUAUUGUUAUAAAAGCUCAAAUGAGCUUAAUCUCUUUGUUUGGAAGCUGAGAAAAUGAAAAGGAAUAUUUUGGAUCUUUGAUUUUUGUUUCCUGCAUAAAAAUGAUAAUUACAUCCGUAUUUAUACUAAGCUAAUUACACAAGAAAGAAUUACAACGUAAGCUUAACAAGCUAAAAUAGAAUGCAGAGCAUGUAUAACUAUAUUCAUUUAGCUAGCAUAUACAAGUAGCUAACACUGCUGACUAGGCUAAACCAACGCGUGCUGAGUGUGCAAUUAUAUACAACAUGUGUUUCCUUUUAUAGCCCCCUCAAGCUCAAGAGGCAUGACGCACAUUGAGUUUGGCUCUAAAACAGUUGGAAUAAUAUACUCUUUACUUAGAAUGUAGUUAAUUUUCAACUCUUUUGCCAACACUUUGUCUCUAAUGAAAUGCAUAUCUAAUUCAAUAUGCUUAGUUAUUGAAUGGUAAAUAGAGCUCUUAGCUAGCUUUAUUGCAUUCAUAUUAUUACACCACAUUGUAGGCAAUAAAGUACAAUUAAUCUUGAGUUCACUGAACAAUGACUGAAGCUAUGUUACACUUAUUUCAGAACUUGUAGAAGCAAGAGCUCUUUAUUCACUUUCUACGCUACAACUUGUAACGUAAGAUUACUUCUUAGAUGACCAGGAUAUCAGGUUGUUUCCCAACUAAAUCCAAUAUUCACCUAUUAACUUUCUAUCAUCAAUGUCACAUGCCCAAUCUAUGUCCAUAUAACCUAUAAGCUUUAUUUUUCCUCCAACUGAGAAUUUCAACCUAUAAUGUUGAAUAUCCUUCAAAUAUCUAAGAGCUCUUUUAUAGGCCAUUACUUCUCCAAUUUUCUAAUAUUAUGGCCUAUAAUUAAUAUAUCAACAUGACAGCAUAGAUUAAGACCAAUAUCAUUGAGCCUUGUAUCUCUUGAAAAAAGAGAAGUAUCUACUUUAGGAUUUUGAAAUCCCCAAUUAGCAACCAAACAAGUCUUUAGCUUAUCAUAACCAGCCCUAGGAGCUUAUUUCAAUCCAUGCAAUGCUUUCUUUAACUUACACACAUAAUUGGAUUUCUGUAAAUCAACAAAUCUCUUAAGUUGAUACAUGUAAACAUCCUUUAUUAAUUUUCCAUUCAAAAAAGCAUUAUUCACAUCAACUUGUCUUAUUAUCCACCUGUUCAUUAUAGCCCAACUCAACAUAACCUUAGUGUUGAAGCUUUCACAACAUGACUAAAUGUUUCAAAGUAAUUCACACAUUCAGUCUGCUGAAAGCCCUUUACUACUAGCCUAGAUGUUUUGCUUAAUUCUGAAUACUCACUUGUUAUCAACAACUUUGUGUUCAACUAAAGGUGGCACCAAUGACAAUGUCUCACUCCUCGUUAAUGCUUCGUAUUAAUCUCUCAUAGCUUAAUGACAGUUCUAAUCCUUUAGAGUAUUUUUUUUUACUAUAUUAGGUUCUUUGUUGGUUAAAAUGGCUAUAUGAAUCUUUGGUUUUCAAAUUCUAGCCUUUGAUCUUGUAAUCAUUUUGUGAGAGAGUUGUGGAGGUAAGGUUAAAGUUGGAUUUUGAUUUGUAUGUUAUUGGUGGCUAAUUAUGCUUCAAUUGAAGACUGAGUUUGUCCUGGAUUUGUAAGAGGUUUAUAAGAUGGAGAUGAAUGAUGGCUGUCGAAGCCAGCAAAAAUAAAUACAUACUCUAAAUAAAUUGUGUAUAGUGAUUGAGCAGGGUCGUGUCCACAAAGAUCGGUAAUUAUUUAAAUCCUUUUAAAUUGUAAAAUGCAAAAUGGGGGGGAUUGUUGACAAUAAUAAAAAUCAAAUUAAAAUAACAAGAAUGCAAAUUAAAAUUGUAAUUCAAAUUGGUAAAAGCUCUGGUUGAAGGAAUUAAUUCAGCUUGAUUCGACUACUGAUCAUGGAUUCAAAUAUAAAUUAUUUCUACUUAUGAAUAGACCGGUUAUAGCUAAUGAGACCCUCUAAUAGCCAAUAUCUCCUUAACUAGUCGAUAACCAAAGUACGACCAUUGGUUAUUUCCCUAAUCAAUAGACAACCCUAGAUAAGAUCAUAGGAUUUAAUCAAUUAACAACCUGAAAAACUAGAGAGACCCAAAUCCUAAUCAACAAAUGCAUAUGAUGGUUAAUUUAAAUUAGAUUGUUUAUUCUCAUAACACAACACACUGCUAUGCUAUUUGUCACAAACAUUAAAAUCUUCAUACAAUAAAUCUUUUAAUUGACAAUAGAUUAAGUUGAUAAUUAAAUAGUGGCUAAUUAUCUAAUUAACAAACAUAAUCAUGACAAUAAUUUAGAGAAUAAACAAAUACCUAAAAAGCAAUAAAACAAUUAAAGCAUAAGAAAGAUCUCACAGUAUUGAUGAAUCAAAGCUUUAUUAACCUUCAACCAGAAUAAUAGGUUUAGUUCUUCAUAGAAAGAAGAGAAAAAUUUAGAUCUAGGCUUUCUUUUUCUUUCUUUCUUUGACAAUAGAUUCCUCUCUUCAAUUCUCUUCCCUCCCUUCUCCUCUAGAGUUCUUUUUAAAAUAAAAUACUAAUAUUUAAAAUAUUAUCUAAAUAUUAAAUUCGUAAUUACAAAAAUAACCAAAAAGACAAAACACAUUAAAAUAAAAAUUGCAGGUCCUUAGUUGACAGCACGCGCCCACGCCUUAUGAACAAAGUUCUUCUGAAGCUUAUAAUUUCUCCAGGAAAACAAUCAUCCUCAAACAUCAUCUUGUAGCUCAAUUUUAGCACCAAUCAAUAGAAUUGAACCUGCAAAAAUAAAACACAAGUAAAUCACUAUUAUUAAGUGCCAAACAUCGAUAUUAAAGGAAGUAAACAAUGCAAAACUAGUGCAUAAAUUGCACUCUAACAAAUUCCCCCACAUCAAGAUAAUGCUUGUUCUCAAGCAUAUAACUCUAGACUAAUCCCAAAUCUCCACUCAAUUCUCAUCUCAACUCAUCCAAAAACAAUCUUAAGCAAGCAUACCUCAAGAAUUUAAGUCAAUCAACAUUCGAGAGAUAAGGAUUUUAAAGCAUAGAAUCUCAUAAGCUAGAAUAAAAACAUUCAACCACCAAGAAGAUCCAUUCAAAAUUCAAGUGCAACAAGAUUUAAUAGCCCUCUCAUUGACUUCACUCCAUGCACUCAAAGUGUUUAGGGUAUCAUUUAUGCACUCAAAUCAAAUCAAAGAAUGCUAUUACUAUAAGCUUGCUCAUAUAUCACAUCUCAAUCCACAAAAAAUGAAUUAAAUGCAAAAAUCUAAGGGUCUUAGAAAGGUUGUAACAGGGUUAAAUGGAUUAAAUGAAAAAAAAAAGGUCUAUGAAAGAAAAAGAGAUCAAAAUGAGAAGAAUGAACUCAUUGAAUGAACCUUAUGAUAUCAAAACGCUUAUUUCUACUCAAGUCGCCAAGAAUGUAAACAUUUUUUUUUCUCUUUUCUUUUUUUUUUUUGAUUUUUUUGUUGUUUUUUUUUUGUUUUUUGUUUUAAUCAAACAAAAGAAAUGAACCUUCCACAAUUUAAUUCAAGCAUAAUGCUUGUUGAUCUAAUUGAGAAACUUUAAUUCAAGGUAGCAAGAGAAACAAAAUAUAUACAAAAUAUAUCCAAACAAUUGAGUCCAAAAAUCUCCUUAAAUUGAGGCUCAAAAAGAAGGAAAAUGGGUAAGUAGAUGGAGAAAAUUAGAUGGGUAAUGGUUAAGGCUCAAACAAAGAUAACAAAUAAAGGUCUUCGGGUGGAGAAAAAGAAGAAAAAUGCGAAAAUAGAAAAAUGAAAAGUGGUUUGCCCUUAUCAUUUUAAUGCAUAAAAUCUCAUAAUGCGGCUUCAACAUGCAUAACAAAGCAAGUUCUAAAAUAUACAAACUAAGAUUUAUAUUCACAUAACAAAAAUAAUUAGAGCAAAGUGGUUGCUCAUAGGCUCAAAUCCUCACAAAGUUGGUAAAUUUGCCAUCAAAUCAUUUACACUCUUUAAAUGAAUCAACCAUCAAUAGUGGUGUAGAAUGAGAAGAAGGUAUGAGUGAUAUAUAAAAGGAAAGGUAAAAAGGAUAAGAAGCGAGAAAGAUUUAUGUAGUAAGAUAAAAAGUGAAAGAUAAAAUGUGAGUGAUGAAAGAGUAUGAUAGAAUAAAAAUAGAUGUAAAUAAUUUGAGAUAGAUGGGAAAAGAGUAGUGAGAAAGAAAAGAAAAGAAAAUAUAUGAAGCAUACUAACUCCAAAAUCAUUUAAGGAUGAGCAGAGUGAAAAUAUUACUUCUAGACAUCAAUAUUGCAAAAAUCCCUCCCCCACACCAAGAACUUACAUUGUCCCCAAUGUAAGAUAAUCAAAGUUCACUUAAAAAAAAAUAAAGCAUAACGAUAAAAGACUAAAGGAAAAACUUUCCUGAAUUGUGAGCUUUGAUCCACAUAACGUCUAUGGGCUUAGCGGAAAUGGUGGGAUAAAUCCCACACUCUCGAAGUAUGCGGUAAAAUUCUGCUCCAUCUUGUUCAACUUGUGUUCCAUUUUCUCUAACUGAAUGCUCAAAGGUGUUGCAGAUGCAGAAGGAAUAGUUGGUGGGGCAGCAAUUUCGUCAUCAAACUCGUCAUCAGAGGUAGCACCACUUCUAGCAUAAAGCUUCUUUGGAAGUUGAGUGGGUCCUAGUUCAGUAAAUUGAAAUCUUCCCUCCUUGAAUUCGACCACACCUGUUCUUUCAAAGACACACAUAUCCAAAAAUUCCUUUUUGCAAGCAGGAUGCAAAUCAUUAUUGUCAGGAUCAAGCACACAUAAGUUUAUAGCUAACAGAGUAAUGUAUGGACCAAGAAAUAAAGUCAUCUACCGUUUAACACACUCUGAAAUUGAUCUGCUAACCAAAAACCUAAAUUAGGCCUCACAUCAUUUAACAUGCACCAGAUAAAAUAAAACUCAGUUUUAGAGAAAACUCCCUAGUGAUUUUUUUUCCUAAAAAAUUAUAUGCUAAGAACCGAUGCACACAUUUCAAAACAGGAUCACGUAAGAAAGAGCUCUUUGAUUUACUCGGGUCAUAGGCAUUGUGAUCAAAAGAUAAAUUACGCCAAAGACCAUAAGGCUCAAAAUUUUCGCUAAAGGCACAAGUUGUCCCAAAAUAUGCAUCACUAGAAGAAUAAUCAUCAUCAAUGAAUCCUAAAGCUAUGUUAAAAUCUGUGAUAGAUUGUGAAAAAUUUUGUCCCAUUAACCUAAACUUUAUAACAUCCGGAGUAUGAAAAGUAAAAUCAUUCGGUAUAUUAAAUUGAAAAAUAGCAUAGAACUCCCUAAUCAACUCAACAUAUCCCAAACAAUCAAUAUCAACAAAUUUACGCAAACCAAUCUUAUCGAUCAAAGAAUUAAAAUUAUCCUUAACAUUUAAUUUUUCAAGAGUCGGGUAAUGAAUGUACUUAACUGGAAGUAUUUUUCGCUUGGAAAUAUCUUUGUACCUUUCUUUCUCUAGUUGAGUCGUGAAUGUGAGGCACUCUCCGAGAUUGGAUUCAGCAAGUGGCAAAACACUCAUGCUUUUUCCAUGUUUCGAUCUUUGUCUCACGGCUUGGCGUGAAUCUGAAACUGUGCUCCAUGGAACCGUAGUGGGAGCGGCAAUCUUGGAUUUCUUUGCGACGCGUUUCUUUUUAGACGUUGAUGACUUGGAAGUUGAUGCUUUUCUCUUCGGCAUUGUUACAAUAAUUUCACUCACGGGCAAUGAUUCACGCGGCUAGAAUGCUGGGCGUGGACUGCUUGCCAAUGCGGCUGGGAUUUGGGAUGCACGACUGCUGGUGAUUGUAGGCACGCGACUGUUGGUUGUUGGAUACGUGGGCUGGAGACGCGGGCUGCUACGCGCGGGCUGGUUGGUGAGCGCGGCUGCUGCUCUGGUGUUGUGCUGCUGGUUGCACGCGCGGGACGGAGCUGGAGAAUUUUUUAUUUUCGAAUUUUUUUUUACUAAAAGCUAAAAGAGACACUUAAGACACCAAAAAAAAUUUACAGAAGUAUUUUUUUAAUAAACAUAUGGGCACGCUUAACCAAAAAUUUUCUUCUGGCCAAAAUAAGCAAAAACAUUAUUUAAACAAUCUGAAUCAAAAUUAAAAACAAAAGAUAUAACAAAAAUCAAAAUAAAUAAAUCCUUUGGGUUGCCUCCCAAAAAGCGCAUUUGUUUUAUGUCUUUGGCUAGACACAUUCAUGCAUCAAUCUCUAUAAAUGGGACUCUCGAGAGCCACAUCCUCCACAAUAUUCACCGAAAAACCUUCAUAAAAAGGUUUUAAGCGAUGACCAUUAACCUUAAAAACUUUGUCAGAGGUCGGACUCCGAAUCUCAACUGCACCAUGAGAAAAAAUAUUAGUAACAAUAAAAGGUCCUACCCAGGAAGAACGUAAUUUAUCAGGAAAAAGUUUAAGCUUAGAAUGAAAAAGAAGAACUUUUUGACCAACAGAGAACUCUUUUCUUAAAAUCAUUAUGUCAUGAAAUGUCUUCGUCUUUUCCUUGUAAAAUCGCGAACUCUCACAGGAUUCGUUUUUAAUCUCCUUCAACUCUUGCAGCUGCAACUUUCUAUGUUUUCCUGCUUCAUCCAUCCACAUAUUGCAUUGCUUAGCUGCCCAGUAUGCUCUGUGCUCAAGCUCUACAGGUAAAUGACAAAGCUUACUAAAUACUAAACGAUAAGGAGACAUACCUAUAGGAGUUUUGUACGCGGUACGAUACGCCCACAGUGCAUCAUCUAAUCGUAAGCUCCAAUCCUUCGAUUUGGACUAAUCGUCUUUUCAAGAAUAGACUUGAUUUCUCUGUUUGAUAUCUCAGCUUGUCCACUUGUCUGUGGAUGAUAGGCGGUAGACACUCGAUGGGUAACAUGAUAUCUCUUGAACAAAGCCUCCACCACUCGAUUACAGUUUUGAGUGCCUUUAUCACUUAUCACCGCUCUUGAUACACCAAACCUGGUAAAAAUAUUAGACUUGACAAAAUCUACAACAACUUUAGUAUUGUCAGUCCGGGUGGCUUUAGCCUCUACCCACUUAGAAACGUAAUCCACUGCUAAAAGAAUGUAAGCAUUGUUAAAAGAUGAGGGAAAAUGUCCUAUAAAAUCAAUGCCCCACACAUCGAAUAUUUCACACACAAGAAUAGGGGUAAGUGGUGUUUGAUUCCUAUGACUUAAAUUACUAGUCUUUUGACAAUUCUCACACGACUUACAAAACAUGUAUGAAUCACAAAAUAAAGUAGGCCAAAAUAGACCACAUUCUAACACCUUAGAUGCUGUCUUUUUGGGACCAAAAUGACCACCACAUGCAUAUGAGUGACAAAACUGAAGAAUAUAAGGAAUUUCAAACUCAUAUACGCACCUUCUGAUGACUUGGUCAGAGCAAUGUUUCCACAAGUAAGGGUCAUCCAAAACAUAGUACUUAGCAUCGCUCUUAAUCUUAUCUUUUUGAGCCCUUGUCAGAUCACUAGGUAGUGUUCUUGUAACUAAGUAAUUGACAAUGUUAGCGUACCAAGGAACCAUACGUUGAGUUACAAAGAGAUGCUCAUUUGGAAAAUCAUCCUUCAAAGGUGCUGUUUCUUCACUCGUGGUCAAUCUACUAAGAUGGUAUGCAACCAAGUUUUCUACUCAUUUCUUGUCACGGAUCUCCAAGUUGAACUCUUGAAGUAGUAGGAUCCAGCGGAUGAGUCUCGGUUUCGCCUCCUUCUUGGCGAGCAAAUAUCUGAGAGCUGCAUGAUCAGAAAAAACAAUCACUUUAGUACCUAAUAAAAAUGAACGAAAUUUUUCUAAAGUAAAAACAAUAGCCAAAAGUUCUUUUUUUGUUGUUGAGUAAUUGCACUGAGCACUAUCAAGUGUCCUUGAUGCGUAAUAUAUCACAUGAGCAGCUCUUCCAACCCUUUGUCUGAGAACAGCACCAACAACAUAGUUACUAGCGUCGCACAUUAUCUCAAAAGGGAGGCUCUAGUCGGGUGUCUGUAUAAUUGGAGUUAAAGUCAAUAACUCCUUAAGCUUAUCAAAUGCUACCUCACAUGCUUCAUUAAAAUCAAAUGUCACAUCUUUCUGAAGCAGCUUGCAUAAAGGCUGAGCUAUCUUCGAAAAGUCCUUGAUAAAACGUCGAUAGAAACCUGCGUGACCAAGGAAAGAACGAACUUCCCGCACACAUGUGGGAUAAGGUAAAGAUUUAAUAACAUCUAUCUUAGCUUUAUCUACCUCAAUUCCUCUAGCAAAGACUACAUGACCCAAAAUAAUGCCUUGAUCUACCAUAAAAUGACAUUUUUCAUAAUUCAAGACAAAGUUUGUUUCAAUGCAUAUUUCAAGCACUUUCUUCAUAUUAUAGAGACAAUCAUCAAAAGAAUCAGCAUAGACUAUAAAAUCGUCCAUAAAUACCUCUAUAAUGUUCUCGACAUAGUCUAGAAAAAUAUUGACCAUACACCUCUGAAACGUGGCAGGAGCGUUACAAAGACCAAAUGGCAUACGUCGGUAUGCAAAGGUUCCCAAAGGACAUGUGAAGGUAAUCUUCUCCUGAUUCUCAGGCGCAACUGGUAUCUGAUGAAAACCUGAAUAGCCAUCAAGACAACAAAAGUGAGAUUUUCCCGCCAACCUUUCAAGCAUCUGAUCAAUAAAAGGAAUAGGAAAAUGAUCCUUCUUAGUGAGUAAAUUAAGUUUUCUAAAAUCAAUACAAACCCUCCACCCAUUCUGAACUCGGGUGGGUUUGUAUUGAUUUUAGAUUAUACCUGCAUUUGUUAUCCGAAAUUGGAUAGAUUAUACCUACAUCAAGAAGUUUCAGAAUUUCUUUCUUCACUACUUCCAUCAUGAGUUGAUUCAAACGGUGUUGAGCUUGAAUCGAAGGUUUGGCAUCUUCCUCCAGCAAUAUUCUAUGCAUGCACGUGGACGAACUUAUCCCUUUAAUAUCAGCAAUUGUCCACCCAAUAGCCUUUUUGUAAUCCUUCAGCACUCCAAUAAGCUUUUUUUCCUCUAAAGUACUAAGCUUUGAAGAGAUGAUCACCGGAAGUGUCUUCCCAUCUCGUAGAAACAUGUACUUUAGAUGACUCGGCAAUGGUUUAAGCUCUAUUUUCGGUGCCUGCAAAAUAGAUGGAAGAAGUUUUGCAUAAGAUGAAGGUAAUUCAAUAUAAGGCAUAUGAUGAGUUAAAGUUCUCAAAGAAUUUAAUUCAUAAAUUUUCUCUUGCAAUACAGAAUUUAAAACAAACUCAUUUUCAUCCUUUUGCAAUCCUUUGAGGCCCAAACUGUUAUUUAAAGCAGCUACCAAUGAAUCUUCAACAUCCAAAUAAAAAACUUCCUGCACUAUAGGGUUAAUAACAUCAACAGAAAAUACCGAAUGUUCCUCACUAGGAUAUUUCAUGGCAUCAUUCAUAUUGAAUUCUAUAACCUCUCCAUCAAACUCCAUAGUGAGAGUCCCUUUAUGUACAUCUAUUUUAGUCAUAGCAGUCUUAAGAAAAGGUCUUCAUAGCAAAAUUGGGACAGAAUUAGAGGAGUUAUCCUGUUCCAUAUCAAGUACAUAAAAAUCAGCAGGAAAAACCAACUCAUUAACUUGUACUAAGACAUCUUCUAAUACCCCAUCAGGAUAUACAUUAGACCUAUCAGCUAGUUUAAUUAUCACGCCAGUUUCUUUUAAUGGACCAACAUUCAAAGAUGAAUAAAUGGAACAAGGCAUGACAUUAAUAGAAGCUCAUAUAUCUAACAUAGCCUUCUCAACUUUAACACUACCAAUUUUGCAAGGGAUAGUAAACAUACCUGGAUCCUUGCACUUAUGAGGUAGUUUCUUUUGGAGAACUGCUGAAACAUUCUCCCCCAUGUGAACUCUUUCAUCUCCUCUUAAUUUUCUCUUGGUGGUGCACAGUUUCUUAAGGAAUUUAGUAUAUCGAGGUAUUUGUUUUAUAGCAUUUAAUAAAGGAAUAUUUACCUCAACCUUGCGAAAUGUCUCAAGGAUGUCUUUCUAUUGUUCCUUCUUCUUGGAUUUUGCAAACCGGCUUGGAAAAGGAUGAGGUAUCACCACAGGUAGAGGUUUCGCUCUGGUGGAUUGCGCAUCUUGAGAUUUAGGCAUCAAUUCAUUCUUUUCAAGCUCAUCUUUUACAUGCUUUGUCACUUUCUUAUUAGGAUCUUGCAACUCCUUCCCACUUCUAAGGAUGACAACACUAGCGUUUUGCUUUGGAUUCACCUCAGAUUGUGAAGGCAAUCUCCCUGAUGAUUGAGACUCCAGACGGCUCACUGUAGUCGCCAAUUGACUCAUUUGGUUCUCCAAAUUCUGAAUGCUUGUUGUAGUUGCCUGCUGAAAUUGUUGAGUGUUAGUCGCAAGUGAUUUAACAAUUUCUUUAAGAGAUAUACCUGACUUGGAGUUUGACUGUGGAGGUGCUGGUUGUCUUGGUGGGUAUUGUUGUAGGAAUCCUGAUGGCCUAACUCCAUAGCUGAAGUUGGGAUGAUCCUUCCAUCCCAGAUUGUAUGUUUGUGCAUGAGGAUCAUACCUCCUCUGGGGCAUGCUUGGAAAUCCUCCAACUGCAUUAGCUUGUUCAACGGGUUCUUCUUAAAGUGUAGGACACAUAUCAGUUGAAUGACCCAUAUUGGAACAAAUGCCACAAGCCUUCACCUAUUGCACAUUACCUACAAUAAACUUUUCCACAAGAGAAGUAAGUUUAUCUAAACGUUAUUUAAUAGAAGAAAUAUUUACCUCAUUCACCUUUCUUAAAGUGGGAUCUUGCUUGCUGCCAAAUUAUUGUGCAUUGGCAGCCAUAUUUGAGAUCAACUCCCUUGCUUGAGUAGGGGUCUUGUUCACCAACACACCUCCACUAGCCACAUCUAUCAUACUCCUAUCCAUCAAUGACAGUCCUUCGUAAAAGUAUUGAAUAAGAAGUUGAUCAGAAAUCUGAUCAUGAGGACAACUGGCACACAAUUGUUUGAAUCGCUCCCAAUACUCAUACAAAGUCUCCCCAGGAAGUUCUCUGAUCCCACAAAUGUCUUUUCUGAUGUUGGCAGCUCUUGAAGCAGGAAAGUACUUCUUAAGGAACUGCUUCUUCAAACCAUUCCACGUUGUAAUCGAUCCAGGAGGUAAAUAGUACAACCAGUCUUUAGAUAGCCCAUCUAAAGAGAAAGGAAAAGCACGCAGCUUAAUCUGCUCUUCAGUCACGCCUUGUGGUCUUAUACUUGAACAUAUGGCAUGAAACUCCUUGAGAUGUUUAUGAGGAUCUUCACCUGCAAAACCAUGAAACUUGGGUAAUAAAUGAAUAAGACCAGACUUUAAUUCAAAAUUUACCUCCAAGUCUACAUAUUGAAUGCAGAGUGGUUGCUGAUUCAAGUCUGGUUAAGCUAACUCUCUAAGAGUUCUUUCUAUGUUGGCAGCUCUAUCCAUCACUUGUUCUUCUGAAUCGCUAAAUGAUUCAACCAAAUCAGGCACCAUAUCUGUUCCAGAAAGCAAAGGCGACGAGGAUCGUUGCUUAGCUCGCUUCGUCUGCUGUCUUAGCUGGCAAGCUGUCUUCUCAAUUUCAGGAUCAAACGAAAGUGUACCUGUACGGGAAGAACGAACCAUACACCAAGUAAAACGUAAAAAGGAUUAAAUAAACGACACCAAUCCCCGGCAACGGUGCCAAAAUUUGAUGGUUGUCGAAGCCAGCAAAAAUAAAUAUUUACUUUAAAUAAAUUGUGUAUAGUGAUUAAGCAGGGUCGUGUCCACAGAGAUCGGUAAUUAUUUAAAUCCUUUUAAAUUGUAAAAUGCAAAAUGGGGGGGAUUGUUGACAAUAAUAAAAAUCAAAUUAAAAUAAAAAGAAUACAAAUUCAAAUUGUAAUUCAAAUUGGUAAAAGCUCUGGUUGAAGGAAUUAACUCAGCUUGAUUCGACUACUGAUCAUUGAUUCAAAUAUAAAUCAUUACUACUUAUGAAUAGACCGGUUAUAACUACUGAGACCCUCUAAUAGCCAAUCUCUCCUUAACUAGUCGAUAACCAAAGUACGACCAUUGGUUAUUUUCCUAAUCAAUAGACAACCCUAGAUACGAUCAUAGAAUUUAAUCAAUUGACAGCCUGAAAAACCAGAGAGACUCAAAUCAUAAUCAACACACGCAUACGAUGGUUCAUUUAAAUUAGAUUGUUUAUUCUCAUAACACAACACACUGCUAUGCUAUUUGUCACAAACAUUAAAAUCUUCAUACGAUGAAUCUUUUAAUUGACAAUAGAUUAAGUUGAUAAUUAAAUAGUGGCCAAUUAUCUAAUUAACAAACAUAAUCAUGACAAUAAUUUAGAGAAUAAACAAAUACCCAAAAAGCAAUAAAACAAUUAAAGCAUAAGAAAGAUCUCACAGUAAUGAUGAAUCAAAGCUUUAUUAACCUUUAACCAGAAUAAUAGGUUUAGUUCUUCAUAGAGAGAAGAGAAAAAUUUAGAUCUAGGCUUUCUUUUUCUUUCUUUCUUUGACAAUAGAUUCAUCUCUUCAAUUCUCUUCCCUCCCUUCUCCUCUAGAGUUCUUUUUAAAAUAAAAUACUAAUAUCUAAAAUAUUAUCUAAAUAUUAAAUUCAUAAUUACAAAAAUAACCAAAAAGACAAAACACGUUAAAAUAAAAAUUGCAGGUCCUUAGUUGACAGCACGCGCCCACGCUUUAUCAACAAAAUUCUUCUGAAGCUUAUAAUUUCUCCAGGAAAACAAUCAUCCUCAAAUAUCAUCUUGUAGCUCAAUUUUAGCACCAAUCAAUAGAAUUGGACCUACAAAAAUAAAACACAAGUAAAUCACUAUUAUUAAAUGCCAAACAUCGAUAUUAAAGGAAGUAAACAAUACAAAACUAGUGCAUAAAUUGCACUCUAACAAUGAAUCAGGCGAUAUUUGAUUGGGUAAUUAUGGUUGAUGAGAAUACAUGUAUGUACGGAAUCAUUAGGAAAAGAAUAUAUUAUGGAAAGCUGAUAGACCUGCUGUUGUGAGAAGUUUGGCACCAUUGUUCAGAUACUAGAUCAGUUGUAGAUGAAGAGAAUGCAUUGGUUAUUGAGUAAGAGAGCAUAUAUGGUUCUAUAAAAAACAUGUCUAAGGAUAUAAACAUGGUCAUUACUAGUUAAUCAUUUGCAACCUUUAAGAGAAGAACUGCAAGUUGGUAAUCUGUUAAUAUGAUAUAGUACUAUAUAAAUAGCAUUUUAGAAAAAUUUGAAAAGGGAGAUUAGCUUAAACUAACAAUAUUAAUGCUAAUUCAGUUAUAUGUUUGUGUUUACUCUCAACUGUAUUAUUUUGAUAAUGAGUACAUGGACAAGAGUGUCUAAAGACAAUCCCAUUUUGAUUUAGAAACUUAGCAAAAACUCUAUGCUCUCCUCCCUUUAGUUAGAUUACAAUAUUGCAAUUGUUGUAUUGAAUUGAUUUUCCGCCUGAGGUUUAAACAAUUAAACACUUUAAAGGUUUUAGACUUAAGCUUUAAUGGAUAAAUCUAAGUAUAUUUGCUAGAAUCAUCAACAAAACUGAUAUAAUAUUUGUAUCAAUUUCUAGACAAAGUAGGUAAACGCCCUCUAAGUCAGAAUGUAUCAUUUCCAACACAUAUAAAGUUUUGGUUUUGAUUGUAAAGAAAUGUUGUCGAUGAACCUUGCCUAAUUGACAUGCUUCACACAAAGAAUUUACAGAUGACUAGAUAUCCUUUUAAGAGAAUUGAAUGGAUUACAAGACUUUAGUAAAUGUAUCAUUACUGUUGGAUUUGGAUAACUAAAUCUUCUAUUCAACAUAGUUACUGUAUCAAGUUUUGAAGUACAACUGUUUGAGACAGAAUGAAAACAGGCCUUAGUCAAGAUAUUUCACUUAUGGAAAAUAGGAGAAACAACUGUAAAGAAUUUAUUCAACUAGAAUUGAGAGAGACAAGACUCAUAUGAAGAUAGAGUAAGCUUGAAAAAAAAAUUAAAAAGACCUUUCUCAGCAAGGCCUUGCAGAAGAACAUAUCCCUUCAUGUCUUUUAUAGAGCCGAUAGUACCCCAACAUUCAACAGUGAGACUUAUCAAAAGUGAGCCCACAAACACUUAAUAGAUUUUUAGUUGUUGAAGGCACAUGUAACAUUCUCUAAGUGCAAUUACAAUAUGGUUAGAUGAGUAAUUUGAAGCUCUAAACGAUGGAAAAGCAUGUCCAACAUGAGUGAUAUACAACCUUUGGCUAUUUCGAAUAAUGAGUUGGUCAGUACCUUUAAAUUCUCCCUUGAGGUGCAUGUUUUCCAUAUUUUUAGUCAAAUGAUGUGUUGCUCCACUGUCUAAAUGCCAACCAUCAUUAACAGGUCCUUCAAAGUUAGCACAAAGGCUGCUCUAAGAGCAUUAGCACUAAUUAUAGACUAGUAACCAAUUUUAGAGUCAAGAAAAUAAGCCAGUGACAUGUAAUUGGUUUUGACAUAAUCUUCAUAACUUUGAGGAGAAGCAGAUCCUUCAAAGUUUGCAAUGUAACUUGUUCUUACUAUUUUUCCCUUUUCAAAACCACUUGGCAUAGGUACAUUGUCUUCCACAAACUUAUGCCAGUAAACAUUUGCUAUGUGUAUAGAUUUGAACAAAUUUGACACAUAAGUUCCUCCAUAAUAGCUCUUUGUGACCUAUUUAUGCCAUUGAAUCCACUCUUAGCAAAUUGAGAUGGAUUCUUAUGAACUUGAAAAGGAUAAAGGCCACUGGAGUUUUGACUAUAUGACUGUCCUCUAAUAUAUCCCCUACUAAAACCUUCAUUGAACAAUCUUUAAGAACAAUUCAUGCUUCUCUACCAAGUAGAUUUCCUUUACCUCCAAAGUUACCAAAAUCACCAUUAUAUCCUCAUCUUCUAAAGCGACACUUAGGUUGUGCAUAGUAUGCCUUGGGAUAAUAUGAAUUCGUAUAUGCAUAAGUAGCAUUAAACAUAGUUUGAUCAUCAUGUUCUUACUCCAAUCUAGUUUAUGUGUAAGCAACAAAGCAUAUGCACCAUCAUAUUCCAUAUGGAAACCAGUAAUAAAAGUGGCAAUAUCAUGAUAUCCAGAUACUAGUCUAUUAUAAUGGUCAACAUAACAUCUUUCUCUGUUUCAUUUUAAUAAAAUAAUCUUCAACACUCAACAACACUUUUUUAAGAGCAUUCAAUUCAUACCUAAGUUGAAGAACUAUAGCCUUUGAUUGCACACUAAACUUCUUCUCAAGUGUUCUCCAAACAUCAAAGGAAUUUACAUAAUUUAUAACGAGACUUAGAGUACUUUCAUUUAUUAAUGACAGUAGCCAUCUAAGAAGAGUCUGAUCUUGUGAUCUCCAAUUGUCAUACUCUAGAUUAUCAACUUGAGUAGAUCCAUCAACUCUAGCUGGAAGAAGAUAUUGCUCAGGUGGUAAUUUUUCUGCAGUGAUAAAAUCCUCCAAUCAAUUGCCUCUAAUUAAAGCUAAGACUUGAGAUCUUCAAAGCCAAUAGUUCGAUCAAUCUAAUUUCAUUGGAAUAUUAAAGGAGAAAUUAAUUUGAGUUUGUUGAUGUUGUGGAUUUGUGUUGUUUAUGGUUAAAUUGUGAAAUGUUGUGUUCUGAUUACUAGAACUAGCCAUGGCCGGCUCUAGUACCAUGUUAUAAUAGCUCAAAUGAGCUUAAUCUCUUUGUUUGGAAGCCGAGAAAAUGGAAAGGAAUAUUCUGGAUCUCUAAUUUUUAAUUCUCGAGUAAAAAUGAAGACUACGUUAGUAUCCAUAAUGAGCUAAUUACACACACGAAAGAAUUACAAAGCAAGCUUAUACAUGUAACUAACAACAUUACUGACCAGGCUUAACCAACACGUGCUGAGCGUGGAACUUCUUUAUAUGUAGUAUGUGCUUUCUUUACAACAUUUCAGCAGAGCAAUUUAGAAAGUCGAAAAUGAUCCUCUUAGGCACUAUAAGGCAGAGUUUAUUUAUUUAUUUAUUAAUGCUAUAAUUUAGGAGUGUCCAUAAUACGAUCUUAUAGUCAUGAUUUAUUAUCAUUUUAUCUUGAGACAAAAGGACUGUUGUUGAAUCCUCAUUAGCAAAUGUUCAUUGCUUUCAUUUUUGGAUUGGUAGAAACAAAAAACAUAAGAAGAAAAUAAAUUAAACAAGAUUACUGGAAAUUAGUAUCUUUUUCUUUUCUUGAACAAAGUCUUUCUUUCUCUAGUUUUUGUUAAGAUAAUUUCUUAACCUUCCUCUUAUCUCUUUCAUUUCUUGAACCAAGAUGCGUGCCUUUACUUACAAGGAAAGUUUAAAUGCUCUUUCCUUCCUUUUCUCUUAACUUCUGUUUUUCUUAAGAAAUCAUUUUCAAUUCUGCCAACACCAUCCAUUUAUCAAUAACCAAUUUGAAUAAAGUUCUACAUUUUGAUUUUUAUGCUCCUUUCAAGUAAUAAUUUAAUUUUGAAGCUUUCAGUCACAAUAAGAUGUUGUUGCGAUAAUAAAGUCGUUAAUUACUGAAAGGAACAAUAGCAAAGUUCAUAAUAAUACCAUACCAAAAUGCAAUUCUUCGAAACUUGGUCAUCCAUUAUUGGAGGUGAUGUUAUGCGUUGAUUUUGAGGUGAGAAAAUUAAAUUUAUUGCAAUCCUAAUGAGCUCCAUAUAAAAAACUGUGGGUUAGAUAUUAUUUUCUUGAAAAGGAGAACGUUCGACAUUUUAGUUAAAGUUCUACAUUUUGAUUUUUAUUUUUCUUUCACGUAGGAAUUUAAUUGUGGUGCUUUCAAUCAUAAUAAGAUAUUAUCGAGAUAUUGAAGUCUUUGAUUACUCAAAGGAACAAUAACAGAUUUCAUAACAAUUAUGUACCAAAAUGCAAUUCUUCUAAACUUGGUCAUUUGUUAAUAGAAAUGAUGUUAUGCAUUGAUUCCGGGACAAGAAAUUUUAUUAAUUGCAAUCCUAAUGAAUUCCAUAGAAAAAAUUAUAGGUCAGCAAUUAUUAUUUUCAUAAACAGGAGAACGUCUUAACUGCUCUUGGAGCAUCGAGUAAUUUUUGUCAAUGGUGCUCCAACCAAAUGACAAGUCUCCACAGGCACUAAAAAAAAUUAAAAUUCUUUAAUUGAAAUAAAUGUUAUCCUCUAUUACAAUCUCCUUCUUUUUCUCCCUCGGAUUUGCUUGCAUUUUCAGCUAUUGCUUCUUCGUUACGAAUAACAUUGGUGGGAGAUGUACUUGGUUCUUCAAAAAAAAUCUAAAAUCUUCGUACUCAAGGAAUCAAGGUCACAUAGUACGGAGCUCCAAAAAGCUUGAUAAAAAUUAUGGUCUCUAUCUCUGCACUUUGCCCCCCGAAAAAGGCUUAUUCUUCAUCUUUCCUUUCUAAAGGAUGCAAGUUUCGUUUGGUAAAGUGUAGAGAUAGAGAGGAGAGAGAGGAGUGAUUGACUUCAUCUGCCCUUUUCUUUUUCAUUUUAUUCGAAGGCCCCACAUAGUAUGGUCUCUAUUUAUUUAUUAAGACCUUGAGCUUCCUUGCGUAAAAAGGACAAGACCUUACAAGGCGGUUGAGACCACCAAACGAAAUAAAAAAUUGUAGCACCCACGUUAGCCAACUUAUUAGUAUGUCCUAUUACAUUCCCUUAUUAUGUGAGUAAACCGCACUUCUAUCUAGAUCAUAAGCUGCAAAAAAUUAUUUCAUCUACUAAUCGAAGGCCAAAGAGGAGGAAGAUGACCAUUCUAAAGAUGGAAAAUGUAUGGCAUGCAUUGAAUCACAUUCAAUCCAAAUCUUGAAACAUUGACGAUCAAAUGCAUUCUUAAUUAUUAGAAUUACAGCCAUCAGCACAACAUAGGAAGCUGAAUGAAUGAAUCCCAAGCGAACAAGCAAAACAACCAAGAAUGUAUUUAAGUUUUUGCCUUUUUCUCUACUUAUAUGGAGGAGAUGUGUAACACCCUAGGCAAAUCUCACAUUGGCAAAACGCAGGAGAGAUGUUGGGUUUAUAAGGGGUGAUCUACUCUUUAAUUGGCAAGACGAGUUUCAGGGUGUAUAGGCGUCCCAAAAAAAACCUCGGGGGCCUUGUUAAGGCUCAAAGCGGAUAAUAUUUUGUCAAGUCUGGGUUAAGUCAUGACAGAUGGUAUAAGAGGGGCUCCGCGUGUCUUCUUGAGCAAUAGUGGGGCAAACCUUAGCUAGGACGUUGACUUUCUAAGGGGAUGUAUGUAACACACUAGGUGAAUCCCACAUCGGCAAAGCAUGGGAGAGAUUCUGAGUUUAUAAAGUAAUCCAUACCUUAAUUGGUAUGGCGCAUUUUAUGGUGCAUGGACGCCCCAAGAACAAAAUCAUGCGGGCCUUGUUAAUGUCUAAAACCAAUAAUAUCUUGUCAGGUUUGGGUUGGGUAAUGACAAAAUGGAACACACACAAAACCAUAGUACACGAACAUAAGGAAUUCGUUAUUCUUCUCUAAUGCUUAGAUUACUUAAUGAGGAAAUAAUCACUUACCUUUAAUGAGAACUCGUCAAGAUUAAUAUAACCAAGGAUCAUGCCAACUUUGGAAACAUAUAACCUUACAGGACAAGCAUGCAAAUAGUCUCUCUUUUGAUGAUUCUUUUAGUCCCCACAUGAAGAUAUUCGAUAAACCCCGUGUUCAGCUAUAAUAUCUCUUGUGCGAUCAUCUUCAUGCCUCUACGCAUCGACGCGGUCCAUAUAUACUUAAUGAAACACAAAGCCCUAAUUCUUGAUUGAGUCAACUCCCGUUGAUAGCUAGCUCUCGUUGUAACAAAAGACAACCUAUGUUACAGAGAAAAUUACUUGAUAAUAAAGACUAGAUUAUGUUGACAAUAAGGAUUCCAACUCAUAAAAAUAUGUAAAAGAUGUUAUCAAUGGAAUGCCACACUCAUAUUAGAACAUAGAUUUUACACAAUCUAAUUAACUUGGACGAGGAAAAUUUUGUAUUCAACAUCAUUUGAAGUUUUGAACACCUCAUUUACUUAUUUAUAUUUAUUUGUGUGUGCGUCCGUGAUUGUUUUUCGAAACGGAAGGAUCAAAUUCUUUAGCCCAUAGGAACAUGGUGAGUUUUAGUUUAUAAGCUACCACAAGUUUUGUUCGAUUUUAUCUUUCCAUCAUUUUUUUCAUUUUCUUUUCCUUAAAUUAAGAAAGGUGUAAAUAUGUGGGCGGGGGAUUUUUUUUUAAUUAAAAGUGUUGUAAAAUGAAAAAUAAAAAGAAGUGGUUAACUUACAAUGGGCUGAUAAUAGCCAACAUAGUUUCGAAGUUGAUGACCAUCCACUUUUACUUCUUUUCCGAAGUUGACGGCCAUCCACAAUUGCUCUUUUAAAAUGUAAUUUUCACAGAAAAAUUUGGUGAAAAAAAUGACAAAAACAUUGAAGACUGAAAAUCUCGACGCAGAUAAGAUAAUGGCAACAAACAAUGGAAAUUUUUUUGAAGACAUGGUGGUUGAAAUUCUGUCGAAGUUUCCCGUUAAAUCUUUACUACGGUUCAGGUGCGUUUGUAAAUCUUGGUAUGAAUUAUUUGAAAGCCCUAGUUUCAUUUCCAAACACCUAAAAGCUGGAAACAGUAAUACUCGUCUCAUUCUACGUUAUGUAGAUUCCAGUGAUGAUCCUGAAUUUCCAAGACUUCGUGAUUGUUUGUUCCUUGAUCCAACACUGGCAAAUAUAUCUUUAGAGGAAGAUCUUCUUCUACUAAUGCCCAUAGACGAUCAUUUGAGGGGUCCUUUUGAAGGUUUAUUUAUUAUGUUUAUAGGAGGAGAUGAAAUUGCUUUAUACAACCGUGCUACCAGAGAUUUAAAAUUUCUUCCAAAACUUACACUCAUAGACAAUCUAGAAUCAAUUUACACUAUUAUGUUUGGAUUGGGAUUAGACCCAAAAUGUAACUACUAUAAGUUAGUUUACAUUGUGACUUACCAUGAUAGUGAACUUGGGGAAGUUCUUAACGAUUCAAGACAAGUUUUUAUUUACAGCUUUAGUGAUAAUUCCUGGAGAAAUUUUCAAGUCUUUGAGUUUGGUACGUAUGAUCUUAAUGAAGUGUUAGAUUGCACAUAUCAUAAUGGAGCUUGUCACUGGUUGGUACCGUUUGGCCCUUUUCAUCCACUUUGUUGUCAUUAUGUGAUCCUUUCAUUUGACAUGAGUGAUGAAGUUUUUGAAGAGAUACAAGGGCCUAAUUGCCUUCUUGAAAUAGCACCUGAGCAUACAGUUUUUGGGUUAUACAACGAUUCUCUUUCAUUUUUAGUAUUUGAUGAAAGGGAGAGUUGUUUUGAUAUAUGGACAAUGAAGGAGAGAUAUCAUUGGACCAAAGAAUUCUCUACUACCCCUAUUCUCGCAGUUGAUGCUCCAAUUGGGUUUUGGAAGAAUGAUACCUUUUUUAUAGGAUCUAACACGGAAGAGUUACUUUUAUAUGAUCCGAAUUCUGAAGAAAUCAUUGACUUUCAACACAAAGGCUGUUGCUUUACGAUUUUUUUCGAUAAAGAGAGUUUAUUCACAUUGAAAGGCUAGAGAAAUUCCUUGACUCAAAACCAUAAGUUGAUAGGUAAGGGCUCAACGACAAGUCUUAAUAGGUUGUCUACUUUACGGGAAACGUGGGCUAAGACUUGAGGUAGAAACCCUUAUACAUGGUUUUAAAGAGAAUACGAGAAAGUGAGCUAACAAAUUGAAGAAAUAAUUGAACGAACAGACUCACUGUACCAAGUGAUUCGUCAAAUAAGGAGCUUCGGUAUGGCCUUAAUAAUGUAGGAGCUAUUUUCAGAUACAUUAUUGGUUCUACAAGUGUAGUGGGCUACUGUAUCGGCUUUGUGGGUUAAAGUUUCUACAGAGUUUUAGGGAAAGAAUAUUGCCAUUGAGAGAUAUGGAUAAUGUAAUGCAGUAGCCAUUAGCUAUAUGAAUUUAUUAAAUGAUGUAUUAGUAUAGUUCAGAGCAAUCUUGUUUACAUAUUCAAAGUAAUACCCUGAAAAUACCCAUGUAAUACCAAGAUUUUUACUUGUAGUCCAUAAUUUCUGAGUUCUUACAUUCCAGACUUCAUGGUUUUGUUCCUUUUCAAUGUUAAAUUUGCCUUGAUUUGUACCACAACUAGCCCGGAACUGUAUGUCGGAUCCAAGGUGAAUCAUGCGGUUUGACAUCUAGUACUCAUGAUAUAAACUUAAUUCAUAAACAUAUAAAAAUAAUUUCGGGCCUCUAAUAUAAACAUGUAAUAACAUCCAUGUCUCAUCCGAAAACAUAUCCAAUCUUCGCACACUCCACAUCUCACUAUGUACACAUACAUCGUAAAUACUAACAUAAGAACAUAAAUGUGCUCAAAGUACAAGUGAUACAACAAUGCGUGUCAUGGCCCAACCUCGAUUUAUUCAAAAUUGGACAGCACAAAAUCCAAUAGAAACCUGUGAGAAAUGGGCCAAAUAGGAAAAUAGUGAGCAGGGGGCUAUAUAUAUAUAUAUAUAUACAUACAAAGAGAGAGAGAGAGAGAGAGAGAGAGUAAUGCACCAGUGCUUAUUCAUAAUCAUAUGACGUAACUCCACAGAGAACACAUUAAAGACUUAAGAGGAAACGAUGAGAAGGCUUAAUCAAUUUCAUUGAUUUACACGUACCAAUAUAUACAGCAAAGAGUGCAACAGCUACCUAUAUUAUUGGUUUGUUACAACUGAAUAUAUCUUUACGUUCAAAAUACUUUGAACAGGUAAACUCCUAUAAUCAUGGAGGAGAAUCCUCUAUCAUGCCCCCUCAAGAUGGACUUCUUGAAAGCAGUCCGAUCUUGCAUCGAAGUUGAAGGAAACGUGGUCGUGGGAGAGCUUUUGUAAGAGCAUCAGCUAGCUGAUCAUUAGAUGAUACAUGUGCAACCCGUAACGAACCGUUUUGAACUUGCUCCCUGAUAAAAUGAAAAUCAAUGGCAACAUGUUUCAUCCGUGAGUGAAAGAUUAGAUUAGAACACAACUGAGUUGCUCCCACAUUAUCGCAGUAAAUAACUGGACAAGUAGGCACUCUAAUAUGCAGGUCUGUUAACAGUGAACAUAUCCAAUUAAGCACGGCUACUGUAUUGGCAACGGAGCGAUACUCAGCUUCAGUGGAGGAUCGUGCCACUGUGCGUUGUUUCUUCGAACACCAGGAUACUAAGUUUCGACCAAGAUAUACCAAGUACGCACCUGUCGAUGAAAAAUCAUCUUUGUUGCCUGCCCAGUCGGCAUCAGAAAAGGCAUGUAUACUGGUGGAAGAAUGAUGAUAUAGUUGAAGACCCUCAUUAACAGUACCUGCCAAAUAUCGAAGGAGUCGCUUGACACAGGUCCAGUGGUCAGUUUUCGGACAAUGCAUAUACUGUGAUAAGCGAUUAACCACGAAAGCUAUGUCUGGUCUGGUGAUUAAAAGAUAUUGGAGACUGCCCAACAUAGCACAAUACUCAGUGGCAUCAUCCAGGGGAGUGCCAGAUUGUGACGUCAGCUGCGCAGUAGUUGAAAGAGGAGUGAGUACCGAUUUUGUUGCCGUCAUGUUUGCUCGAUUUAAUAACUCCAGUAUAUAUCUUCUUUGAGACAAGAUCAACCCCUGGUCAUUCGGUACAACUUCAAUGCCCAGAAAAUAUGCCAAUUUUCCAAGAUCUUUGAGAGAGAAUUGCUUGGCAAGAAGAGUUAUAAAUUCAUUGAUCUUGAGAGGCUUGUCCCCCGUGAUUAUGAGAUCAUCAACAUACACAAUGAGAUAUAAAAUAUGUGUGCCAUCAUUAUAUACAAAUAGCGAUGUAUCAGCUAUAGAAUUUUUGAACCCGAAUUGAAUAAGAAAUGAUCGCAGUUCAUUAUACCAGGCGCGGGGAGCUUGCUUUAGUCCAUAGAUGGCCUUUCGAAGCUUGCAGACAUAGUUAGGUUUGUCACCAUCUAUGAAUCCUUGAGGUUGAGCCAUGUAUACAUCCUCAUACAAGUGCUCUUGAAGUAAUGCAUUAUUUAUGUCUAGUUGGCGUAGCUCCCAUCCAUGACUGACUGCAAUGCUUAGAACAAUACGAACUGUUGUUGGCUUUACAACCGGACUGAAAGUAUCAUGGAAAUCGACCCCUGGUCUUUGAUGGAAUCCUUUGGCCACCAAGCGGGCUUUGUACCUGUCAACAGAGCCAUCAGAAUUUAUUUUUAUUUAAAAAAUCCAUUUACACCCAACAAGAUUAUGAUGUGGAGAUGGUGAAACAAGAGCCCAUGUCCCAUUCUUAACUAAAGCAUUAAACUCAUCAGACAUUGCUUGUCUCCACUUGGAGUCUGUUAACGCUUGAGUUACUGUGGUUGGUUCAAUUUCAUCAGUGGUGGCAAGUUGAGCAAGGAGAUUCAUUCUGCGAAUAGGUUUAUGAAUAUUAUUUUUAGAUCUGGUGACAAUGGUGUGAGCGGGUGGCAUUGAUGGUUCUAGGGUAGUGAUUGAGGUAUGUUGAGAUGCACAAGGUUGUAUUUGAGGAGCUUCGGCCGCAGAUGACGUAGUGAGUGGCAGAGUAGUUGUAGAGAUAGGUAUUUGUAGGGGAGGAGGAAACCAAGUGGCUAUUGUGUUUGAUUGGUUUAUGGACUCUUGUGGUUUUUGGUAGACGAAUGGGAAUAUAGACUCUACAAACUUGACAUGUCUAGAGACGUAAAAUUUGGAGGAACUUGUAUCAAGACACAAAAAUGCACUCUGACUUGUCGAAUAACCAAGAAAUACACAUGGUUUAAAAUUGGACUCUAGUUUGUGAACCUUAUAAGGUCUGAGCCACGGAUAGCAAAGACACCCAAAAAUUUUGAGUUUGGUAUAAUUGGGUUUUGCCUCAAAAAUUUUCUCAUAGGGUGAAUAGUAUUGGAGGGUUGGUGUGGGCAUUCUGUUUAUGAGGUAAACGGCGGUGGCAAAAGCACAUGGCCAAUAUUGUAAAGGUAUUGAUGCAUUGGACAAAAGUGCAAGACCAGUUUCGACAACAUGCAGAUGGCGACGCUCAGACAUACCAUUGUGUUCUGGGGUGUGUGGGGGAGUGGUGAGAUGAGAAAUUUCAUUUGUAGAAAGAAAAUUGGUUAGUGCAAUGAAUUCACCACCGUUGUCAGAGUACAAGGUUUUGAUGGGUUUUUCAAAUCGUUUUUCAACAAUGGCCUUGUAUCUUAUAAAAACUUCUUUGAAAUCAGAUUUGUUUUUCAAUGGGUAAAACCAGAUAUAUUUUGUGUAGUGAUCUACAAAAAUAACAUAAUAUUUGUAUCCAUUAACAGAGACCACAGGAGACGUCCAAACAUCAGUGUAUAUAAUUUCAAGAGGAUGUGAAGAUGAUAUUGUAGAUUUUGAAAACGACAACUUAUGACUUUUAUUUGACAAACACGCAUUACAAUUGACAUCAGACAGCAUAGAAGACGUUACACUGAGUUUAUUGGAAGAUAGAAUUUGUUUUAAAAUGGGAAUGACAGGAUGUCCUAGCCUAUGAUGCCAAGUAGAAGACGAGGUCAUGACACUUGAAAAGGAAAUAAUUGGGGUGGAGUCUGGCCACUCAUAUACGCCACCUUUAGCUUGGCCCUUCAAAAGUGUUGUCCCUAUGCUGAGUUCCUUCACAAGAAAAGUAUCUGGUAAGAAUUCUACGGAAGCAUUGUUAGAAUUGCAAAAUUGAUAAAUAGAAAUAAGAUUUCUUUUCAUGCUUGGAACACAUAGGACAUUGUCUAGAAGAAAAGACUUAUGAGGAGAGUUUAAAGUUGUUGAACCAGUGUGAGUUAUUUGUAACUCAGAUCCAUCCCCUAUCAUCAUAUCAUCACCUCCUCUGUACGGGUUAUGUAAAGAGAGAUUUUCCAGAUCAGCUGUUACAUGAUGCGAUGCACCACUAUUUAGGAGCCAGGUUUGAUUGUUGUUUGUUGUGGCUGCAUAAUUUGCUUUUGGCUGCCAUGGGGUGGAUGAGUGGUUAUUGUUUGACUGCACGGGUUGCAAUUUGUAGGAUGGACAUUUCUUGGCAGUGUGCCCUUGAAUGCGACAGAGUUGGCAGUAGCCAAGGUAUGGGCGUUGUUGUCGCUGAGUGGAAUUGUUGUUUUGGGUCACUCCUAAGUUACGGUUUGGGUUGGAGGAGUUUUGGUUGGUUCCGUUGUUGAUACGCCAAUUGUUGUUAGUACGAGUUGUCACAUGGGCUGUUAUUGGGAACAUUGUGUCAGGUUUUGAAGUGUUUAGAGAUGCCUCAAAAUUGAGCAAUUUCUCAUGAAGUUCUUCGAAUGUGAUAGGGGUGUCCCUGGCUUGUACAGCUCGGGCCAGCUCUUUGUAGUCAUCUCCGACAGCCUCCAGAAUUUUGUCUGUAAGAUCAUCUUCGUCAUAAAGUGCGCCAAGAAGCGUAAGUUCAUCUGCCCGAGCCUUAAUAUUUUGGAGAAAUUCUGUAAUGGAUGCUGACCCUCUAGUCAUUUGUCUAAUUUGGCUUUUAACUUGCUUAAUUCGUCCUCUGGAAGGCUUUGCAUAGGUGUUGGCAAGUGUUAUCCACGCUUCUUUGGAUGUUUUGGCAGUGGCCACAAACGGGAUGAUGUUGGGUGAGAUGGAGCCAAUUAUGGCAUUGAGGAUCAGUUGAUCCUGGCGAACCCAAAGUAAAUGAGCUGGAUUCGGGGUAGUAGUGUUGUUGUCUGUUAUUGUAGCUGAAGGACAAGGUUUAGAACCAUCUAUGUAGCCAAGAAGGUCAUAGCCUGCGAAGAGAGUUUGAAACUGCAAUUUCCAUGAUAAAUAAUUGGAUGAUGUGAGCUUGAGAGGAGUUUGUGCAGCUACAUUAAUGGUGAUUAAGGUGUUGUUGAGGUCAUUAGUGUUUCUGAUGGUGGUGGCCAUUGCAGGAUUUUCUUUCCAGAAAUAAGGAGAGAAAGGGAGAGCCUCUAGUGCUCUGAUACCAUAAAGACUUAAGAGGAAACGAUGAGAAGGCUUAAUCAAUUUCAUUGAUUUACACGUACCAAUAUAUACAGCAAAGAGUGCAACAACUACCUAUAUUAUUGGUUUGUUACAACUGAAUAUAUCUUUACAUUCAAAAUACUUUGAACAGGUAAACUUCUAUAAUCAUGGAGGAGAAUCCUCUAUCACACAUUACAUAAGGAAACAUAAAUUCAUACAUACAUACAUGACAAAACUGCACUAAAUAGUACUAUGGGGAAAUAACUCUCAGUACGCAUAGCCAUCAUCAUUGCCGGAGUAUAGCGAGGGAAAACUCGUUCAAUACCCGGUGGAAUUUAACUACAUCGCAUGGGUAGAGUAACCUAAUUCUCAAUACGCAUGUAUAGAGCCUAUAGGGAAGGGUACACAUACAGUGACUGACAAUCAUAUCUCAUGGCUAUAUCAAAGAUAUAAUAUGCAUACAUGUAAUCAUGACAUGAUAUUGGAUCAUGCUAUCAACCAAAAUACGUCACAGAAAAUAUAAUAGUAAUAAUAAUAUCCACUCAUAUCUCCUGAUUCACUCUAGGGUUCGUUGGGGCUCUUGUAGGUGUCUGGAUUUUCAGAUUUCUCCUAAAAUAUAGGGUUUAACUGUUAGAACUAAUAUAAUAACUUAUACAUAUGAUGUAAAUUAAAUCAUAAUUACUUAAAAUUCAUAAAUCUAUUACCCUUUGACUCACUGAAUAUAGAUCUAAAUGCCCAAUUCUAUUUCCUGUAAUAUUUCCUCUUACUUCCUCUUUUUAACUUCUUUUUCACUCUCGGGUUUCCUUUUCUUUCUUAUUAUUUCCUUUUCUCUUUUCUUUUCCGUUUUCUUUUCUUUUUCUCUUUUUCUUUUUUUUCUUUUCUCACUAUCUCUAUUUCGAUCUCGAUUGCAAAUAAUCUCUAAUUGUGCAAUAGCUCUCAAUUUCCAACUUGAUAAAAUAAAGUGGCUUAUAAUAUUUUUCAAUUUAUAUAGCCUACGACCCUAUGAAUCCAAGUGAGCAGGUGAAAAAUUCAAUGAAAUAGACAGCUAAAGCAAUUGAAGCAUGCAUGUGAACUUAUAAAGCAGGCUGCUGGCUAUUUUCAACUCAAUAAGCCACAUGUGGCCUCUUAAUGCACAAGCAAUGCAUGACAAUUCCUCUCAACUUAUAAAAAUUUCAUCCUACAAAUUUAAAUGCCUAACUGAAAUAAAUAUGGAUAUUGUGAUUGCAUUUGUUCUUCAUGCUCCUAGGUGGCCUUCUUUACUGUAUGACCCUUCCACAUCACCUUAACCAGUGAGCACUACUACAAAAAUGUAAAACAAUGACACAUAUAUUAUGACGGUUUAUUUAAAAAACCGUCAUUAAAAAUAUUUAAUGACGGUUAUUAUAUGAACGGUCAUAAUAUGUACUAUUUAUAAUGAUGGUUCUAUUAUAAAACCGUCAUUAAAUAUCAUGCCAAAAUAUAAUUUUAUUUUUAAUGACGGUUACUUGUAAAAACAGUCAUUAUAAAUUUCAAAUUUUUAAUGACGGUUCUAUUAUAUAACCGUCAUUAAAUAUCAAGUUAUUAUUUUUAAUGACGGUUUAUAAACCUUACAUAUUAAAUUAUUAUUUUUUAUGACGGUUCUACUAUAUAACCGUCAUUAAAUAUAAAGUCAUUAUUUUUAAUAACGGUUUUUAAACAAAACCGUCAUUAAAAAUCACUAAUGACGGUUACAUAUAUAAACUGUCAUUAACUAUAAAAUGUUAUUUUUAAUGACGGUUUUGUUUAAAAACUGUCAUUAAAAAGCCACAAUAUUUUUAAUGACGGUGUUUAAUAACCGUCAUCGAAUAGAAAGAAUCAUUCUUAAUACAUUUCAUGACCAUUUUAUAAUAACCGUCGUUAUAUGUUAUUUGCCUUAAAAAAUUUUUUAAAAAAAGCCGAUAAAAGGAAUAAAGGAAACGCGCAAUCCCUAACCACUCACAUUCGUUGUCUUCUUCUUCAAUUUUCACGAAUUACAAUCACAACGACUCACUCAGUCACACACACCAGCCCUAACCCUACCUAAGCUAUCAAACGCCAAUGCCGCUGCCGCUGUCAAAUCGAUUCAAGUGCUCCGGCGCUGAGUCUAGCCGUCCUUGAGCCGAUUUGCUUCCUUUUUCUGCCGCCGCUGUCAAUCUCUGCCAUUUUUGAGCCGAUUCACUUCCGCAAAACAGCUGCUGUCAUCUCUGCCGACAUUGCCUCUGUGUUCGUUCACCGUCAGAUGCAGUGUUAUUGUGGUGACACUGCCUCCGCUAUCAAGUCAGUUCAAAUUUUCUGGGUGCUAUCUCGAAAAUGUUGGUGAGAUUGUUGCCAAUGAUAUUCUAAAAUUUUGAAUUCAGGGUUAUUGUUUCACCACUGUGAGUUGCUUUCUCCAAUUUUGCAAUUCUUUCCUCUUAAUUUGCUUUGAAAUAUUUGCUCGUUGGAUUUAUUUCCUCUUCAUUUAUAUUCGAUUUGGUGUUUUGUGUUGUGUAGCUUGUACCUUAGUCUCUCCUUUUCCUUUCAUAAUAUUAUAAAAUAUGUCGUGCACUUUGGCCUUUCGUUUCUUGAUUUUCUUGGUUAAUGAAUUUGGAAAAAGAGUGAAUUAUGGGUAAGGGGAUAGAAAAUCACAUUGACAGAAAAGAGGACUGAAACGCCCUGAUUUUUACUAAGUGGAGUUUACUUAUUUGUUAAAAAAAUAAAUUUUAAAUUAUUAAUGAUUUAAUUGUCUUAUGCUUAUUAUAUUGUUCGUAAAAUUUUUGUUACAAGUCCAGCCCAUGAACCUCUUUAUGUUUUAGCAUUUCUUUAUUUAUUUACGAAACGAAAACCAGCGUUCGAAUUCAAAAGUAACAAAACAGAAAAAGGAAGAAAGGAAACAAGAGGAUAACAGGACGUGAGAGAGGAGAAGAGGGAGAAAGAAGAGAAAGACAAGAGAGGCUAGGUGAAGGAUUUCGAUUUAAAGAGAGAGAAUUCAAUUUCAGAGCAAAAUAUUAAAUAUAUGGCUUUUUAAAUUUGUAAGCCUUAUUCAAUUUCAGAGCAAAAUAUUAAAUAUCUGGCUUUUUAAAUUUGUAAGCCUUCUUUCUCAGUUCACUUUAUUCUUUUAUUUUUCUUCAAAAUUCUUGUUUAAAUUGGCAUGCUUGUUGAUGUUGUUAAGUCAUUUCUAAAUUAACUUGCAUGCAUGAUUAAAAUUCUGUUUAUUUAGAUAUUAUGUCAUUGAAAUUAGUUUCUUUUGCCAUGCUUGUUUCAUGUUCCGAUUCUUAUUUGAAAAAAAAAAAUUUCUAUGUUCGUUCCAUAAUCUGUUUUGGGUAUUAAAGUUGAUACUACCUAGCAAAUUCUAAACUGUAAUGGCUGAUUUCUUCUCUUAUUUUUGUUUAAUCUAUUCAAAUUCAUGUAUAAAUUUACAGGUGUCAGAUAUUUGCCUAAUUAUCAUGUAUGUGUUAAAUUCAUUUUGGGUGAAUUUUUAUACUAUUUAAUCAACUUCAAAGUUACAUGGGUUUGGCCAAUUAUCACAUAAUCUCUUCUUUGACUAUUUGAUUAGAUUUUUGUUCAUGCGUGGCUUAAUUAAUUUCGAAAUCUUCUUACUUGUGAGUGUGGUCAAACCCCAAACAAAUGAAGAAGUCUUCUGGUUUUAUGUCUUAAAUAGAGUGCCUGUAAAUAUAAAAUCGAGAUUGAGCUAAUGAGUGAAAAUGAUGGUACUUGGAUUUUUUGAGGCUCUGUUUUUUUUUCUUUACUUUAAAAGCUAAUUUGUUUAGCUUUACCUUUGAUUUGAAUUUUUUGCUUCUGUUCUUUGCAGCCAACCUAUGAAAAUGGUGAUAAUCGGGCUCCAAUAAAUAUUGAUUUAAUAGGAACCACAUUGGUAAGCCUAGUUGCAAGACAAGAACUACUUUGCAAAGCAUGCUAUGUGUAUAAUUCUGAGCAUUAAGGAUUCAGUUUCUGAAGGGCAAGCUUGCUGGCUGGGUAUAAAUGUUCCAAGUGCCAAUCCCACCUUAUGUAAGCACAAAAUAUAGUCUCCAUUUCCUUUUUGGAUUAUAUUUGUUUGUAUAGUUAUAUGAUACUGGAUUUUAAUUUAAGAAUUUGUGCAGUACAUUUUUUUACUGUUAGGAGUUAGUUUGAUCAAGGUUAUUUAAGUACUAAACUGUUAUAAUUGAGCUUGUAUGCAUUUAAGUUCUUUAUAUGUAAAUGACAAUUAUAUCAAUGUGUAAUGUAAAUUGAAAUUUGCCAAUGUGGCUUCAAUUGUACAGUUUAGAAUGUGAAAAUAACUAUCUAAAUUUUAAUUUAAAAAAACAAUUGAAGUAUAGUAAUUUUAAAUUGUUAUUUUUUUUUUAUUUUUACUCGUGCAAAAGAUGACGGUUCUUAUAUAAGAACAUUCAUCAAAGAGCGAUAUAAGAUGACUGUUAUGAUACAAAACCGUCACUAAAAAUUAAUAUUUAAUGACGGUUAUUAAAAAUCCGUCAUUAAAAGUAUAUAUUUAAUGACGGUUAUUGGCAAAAAACGGUCAUUAAAACUUAUGUACCUAUAGCAUAUAAUGACGGUUUAUUAGAAUAACCGUCAUAAUAAGUAUACAUUUAAUGACGGUUUUUAAACCGUCAUAAAAAAUGUACCCCUUUUAAUGUCGCUGCCUAAGAUAACGGUUUUAAAACCGUCAUCUUAUGUCUUUUAAAACCGUCAUUAAAGGCCAAUUUUGUAGUAGUGGAGAUUAUCUUAUUACAAAACACAUGUUGUUUCUGAUCAAGUAUCUAGAUUAGUUCGAUUUCAUAAGUCAAAUCCACUGUCAUUUAGACUAGUUCUGUAUCUAAAACAUAAAAAGGAUCAAGAAUAUACUUCUGUAGAAUCAAGACUUAAAAAACAUCAUGGACUCAUGAUAACUCUAGAGGUAAAGCCAAACGGUAAGCAACUAGACUAACAUAUUGAAUAAUCUCAGAUGGGCCUUUAUAACGAGGGCUUAACUUCCUAUGUUUUCCAAAUUGAAGAAUGCCUUUCUAAAGGGAAAUCCGUAGGAAAACUAUAUCACCUACUGCAAACUCAAGUGGCCUUUAAUGCUUAUCUGCAUAUCCCUUUCUGUCCAUCCUACGCUAACUUUAACUUCGUAUGUUUUCCAAAUUGAAGAAUGCCUUUCUAAAGGGAAAUCCGUAGGAAAACUAUAUCACCUAUUGCAAACUCAAGUGGCCUCUAAUGCUUAUUUGCAUAACCCUUUCUGUCUAUCUUACCCUAACUUUGACUUUUCUCUGAUGACAUUAAUCUUCUGAUUAGUACUUUGGAUGAUUUCUAGUUUCUGGACUUAACAAUUGCCUUUCCUUGACUUCAUCCCAACAAAUAGAAGUCCUGCAUUUCCUUCCAUAUAGAGCCUCAAAUGGUGCCAUUUAAAUACUAUACUAAUAAUAAUUAUUAUUAUAAGUAACUUCCAUCAAAGGCAAGUAUAUAUCUUAAUUGCCUCGAAACUGCAUGAGGCAUGCUCGAAGCAUAUCUUUUAAAAUUUGAAAAAACCCUCUUUGAUUGCCUAUUUGUUUGCAGAUGAUAAGCUAUACGAUAAUAUAAUCUAGUACCUAUAAACUACUAUAAACAAGGCCAAACCCUAGAAGUAAACAGUACAUCUUUAUCUGAAAUAAUAGGUAUAGGAGCUCCAUACAAAUUUACUAUUUCCUUUAUAUAAAAGUUUGCAAUCAUACCAUAAGAGUACAUGCUCUUAUAAGGCAAAAAGUGAGCAAACUUUGUGAGGCAAUUAACAAUAACCCACACAUUAUUAUAACCACUAUUAGUAUGAGGAAGUCCUAUUACAAAGUCCAUUGUGAUGUGUGUUGGUGUAUAAAUACUAAUGCUAUUGGUGUCAAUGUGCAAGUGUACACAACAAGUAAUAAAAUGAUGAGUAUUUAAGAUCGUCUCCACAGGGAUUGAUGUUAUCAGAUUUGCUACAACAAUCUUAACAGUGCAGAUUUUGUGUCUAAAUUAAGAUAAACAACUGAUGAAACUAAUUUACUAAUUAAAAUAAAAACACAAUAAAUAAAAUGCAACAAAGUAGAUUAUCACGUCAAACUCAAGGAUAAAACUAAUGAGAAUAUAUAGUAGUUGAGUGAGUAAACUCUCUUAAUGAUUUUGACUAUUUUCUAAUGGUUGGCUCGGUUACUGCAGUAUCUGCUAUAGCACUGGGCAGAAUCCUUAUGUAUCCUCAGCCAUCGCAUGUUGGAUAUCUUAUAUCUAUAUGCAACCUAACAGUGAUCAAUUGUUAUGCCAACAUAAGAUAUAGCAUUACACGCUUAGGUUCCAUUUACCCUACAAGGUGAGUCCCUAUGUCUAGUUCAUCACUAAUCUUAAAUCAAACAUGGCCCUUUUGGGACUUAAGUAAAACUCAAUCCGGGAAACCCAAUUUAAGAUCAAGUAUUGCUUUGAUAUGUUCCACUAAGAUAGGCCAUUUUGCGGCUCUCUCCUAACUUGUAUCAUUAAAUGGGUGAUCAACCGAAAUAAUGAAUAAAAUAAAUACUAUCAAAAUAAAUUGCUACAGCAAACAUACAGCAACACAUAUAUUCAGUCAAUAAACUAUCAAGAUUGUUUAUCACUCAACCACAAAUAAAUUUAGUUCAUGGUUUGCAAAAGAAAAAUAAAGAACAAAGUUCCAGCCAUGAAACACAUCCCCAUAAAUAAAUAAAUAGAAAACGAGAAAGCAAGAGAAGAAUAAGAAUGAUUGAGCUCUCAAUUGAUUUCUGCAAAUUCUCCUCUUGUGCAGCCCUUAAUCUCUCUCUUGAAUCUUGUUUUUCUUUUGUUUCUUUGUGUUUUUCUCCUUGGGUGACGGCUCUCCUCCAUUCCUUAUGAUGUGUGCUUCUUUUAUAGUUGAAAAUUAGGGUAAACGAAAGCCUAAGUCGCGCAUAAGUCAGAUUAGGAAACUGCAGAUCGCAAUUCUGCAGUUAUCCCGCACAGAAUUUUCUCUGUCGUUGUUCCAGGAUUGCUACAGCAACGGCUACAGCAAUGGUUGCUAUAGCAAUAUCUACAGCAACUACACUGUUCCAGAUUUGUUUCAACUCUUUUGUAGCCAUGUUCUUUCCUUAUUUUUUGCAAGUCUAUUGCAUAACAUUCCUUCCAUGAAUUAUAAGCUUCUGGAAACCUACAAUUAUGCACACAAUUUAAGCACAAAUUACUUUAAAUCGAGCAAAACUUAUUAAGAUUGACUAAAAUAAUUAUUUAUGCAAAAUGUAACAAAAAUACAAUAGAAACACAUAAUUUACUCUCUAAAUAGUAUUGAUUUAAAUCUAAAAGUGCCAUGAUAACUCUCAUUUCAUAGAGUUAUCAAUGUGCUCCCAUUUCCACUCAAGAAUAGACAGUGGUUGAUGUUCUCCUAUAGGUUUCUAAUGUUUUACGUUAACUUGCUGACAAGUUAAACAAUGUGCUAUAAACUACACUAUUUCUCUCUUCAUCCCCUCUCACCAAUAAUGGUCCCUCAAAAUGCGAUACAUCUUCUUCCUACCUUUAUGCAUAGUAUAUGCCGAACUAUUUGCUACUUCUAAAAUCUGGUUCUUCAAAUUUGAAUUAUUCGGCAAACAAAGUCUACUGCCCAUAACUAAAGUUAUAUUAUCUCUCAGUGAAAAGUUAGUAUGCAGUACAUUAUUCACAUAUUCUUUUUUUUAAUCAAUUUCGAAUCUUGAUCCUGCAUCUCUUGAAUCUGAUCAAUCAAAACAGGCCUAGCCUGAAAAUGUGCCAAAAGUGCUCCAUUAUGAUCCACUGCCACUUCUAUAUCUAAAGACUUCAAAUCAAUCAACAAUAAAAGGUAUGACACUUUCAAGUGGGAUAUCAAACUCAAAGACUUCCUACGGAGAGCAUUAGCUACCAUUUUACCUUGCUUGGAUAGUAAUCAAUGACACAAUCGUAAUUUGCAAUCAACUCAACCCAUUUAUGUUGUCUCAAAUUUAAUUUCUUAUGUAUGUAUAAGUGUUUCAGGCUUUUUUGGUUUGUAUAAAUCUCACAAACAUCUUCAUAUAAAUAAUAUCUCUAAGUCUUUAAAGUAAACACCACUACUAUGAGCUCUAAAUCAUGUGUUGGAUAAUUCAAUUAGUUUUGCAUAAGCUAUUGGGAAGCAUAAGCAAUUACCUUUCCAUGCUGCAUCAAUACAUAACUCAAUCUCUAUCUUAAUGCACCAAUGUAAACUAUGAAUCAUUUUUUACCUUAUAGAAGUGUAAGAAUUAGAGUUGUAGUUAACCUUUUCUUAAGUUCUAGGAAACUCUAUUCACAAUCAUUUGUUCAUUCAAAUUUCACUUUCUUCCUUCUUAAUUUAUUCACAAUCAUCUGUCCAUUCAAACUUCACUAUCUUCCUUGUUAAUUUCAUUAGAGGUAAAGUUAUCUUUGAAAAACCUUCGACAAAUCUGUGAUAAUAACCUGCGAAGCUAAGAAAACCCCUGACCUCUUAUAUAUUAGUCAAUCGCUCCCAAUUACCUACAUCUUUUAUUUUCUAGAGAUCUACAUAAAUACCCUCAGUAGAAAUCACAUGACCUAAGAAUUCAACUCUAUCUAACCAAAAUUGACAUUUAUUGAAUUUAGUAUAAAGCUGCUGAUAACUCUAUAAAAUGAGAGUUAUCAUAGCACUUUUAGACUUAAAUCAAGAUCACUUAAAGAGUAAAUGAUGUGUUUUUAUUGCAUUUUUGUUACAUUUUGCAUAAACAUUCAUUUUAGUUUAGUCUUAAUAAGUUUUGCUUGAUUUAAAGUAAUUCGUACUCAAAUUGUCUUCAUAAUUGUAGGUUUCCAGAAGCUUAUAAUUCAUGGAAGGAAUGCUGAUGCAAUAGGCUGGCAAAAAUAAGGAAAGAACAUGGCUACAAAAGAAUUGAAACAAAUCUGGAACAGUGCAGUUGCGGUAGCCAUUGCUGUAGCAAUCCUGGAACAACAACAGAGAAAAUUCCGCGCAGGAUACUUGUAGAAUUACGAUAUGUAGUUUCCUAAAUCUGAUUUAUGCGCGACCUAGGCUUUUGUUUACCCUAAUUUUGAACUAUAAAAGGAGCACACAUCAUAAGGAAUAAGGGGGAGCCGUCUGUUGAGUGUUAGAAAAUGUAAAUUUAUAAAGGAGAAAAUCGUCAUUUUACAUUUCACGUCUUACUAACAACCCUUACUUUUAUGUAUUUAAGGUUCUUGUAAUUUAAUUAUGUGUGUUUUAUUUUAAUUAAGUUUUUGUGUAUUUUAGGGGCAUCAUAGUCAUUUCACAAUAAACGAGAGAUCAAACGGCAAAACGGACAUCACUUUUGAACUCAGGACGGUCGAAAACCUUAGGAGGAGCAUAAAAGGAAAAAUAGCACUAUUCACAUGUACGGUACUAUUCACAUGUAUGGUACUGUCUACGUUACUGUUCACGACACUGUUCACAUAGACGGAUCGAUGACGUGGCAUUGACCGAUGAUGUGGCAUUGACUGAUGAGGUGUCAUGAUCCUGUUGGUCUAAAAUUCUUAUGAACUGUUGAUGGUGACGUGGCAGCAUAUUAGUGGACCAAAACUUGCGCGUACGGUACAUGCAUUACACAGGAUUAUUUUCAACCAAACUACGUUACUGUUCAAAGCCGGGUCAAACCGUGUUACUGUUCAUCCGCGUGGUCAAACCGCGUACUGUUGACUGAUAACGUGACACAAUCAUGAGCGUCCAAACUGUUUUUAAUCCGAUGGCCAUGAUUUACUCCAUGUAUCUAUAAAAAGGGGGCCUCCCCCCCUAAUUUGAUACCUCUGAAUCCAUUUUUGGGAUCCAUUUUCUGUAAUUCCUUCUCCAUCUUGUAUUUUCUAUGUAUUUUAAUAAAUUCCCAUUUUGCCCCUAGUUCAAUUAUGAGUACCUAAUUUUCUUUCAAGCUUGGGUUGAAGGUGAAGUCUCAACAUGUGUCAUGGGCUUUAUUUGGUAAAUUUAUUUUCUUUUCCCCUCUAAUUUGUGUGGAUGAUUUGACUUUUCGUAGACAAAUAAUAAUAAUCUUGUCUAGAUACCGCCUUGGUUACAUCGGCUCUCUAGUACAAGGUUAUUAUUAUUUGGCACGAUAAUAAUAUUGAUUAGAGUGUGGCUCAUGAGGUGUGGAUUCCCCCCUCAUGUUUUAAUUGGCAUUAAUAAGGAAUAUUUAGUCCAUGGUGCAUGUUGAUACGGAUCUAGGUACCCAAGUACGUCAUUUCAAUAGAAUUCUCUUCAAUUUAUUCUCGCCAUUUCAAUUCCAAUUUUAGAAUUUAUUCUCCCCAUUUUAGUUUAAGUUUUAGCAUAUUCCAAAUUAUUUCCACCACAAAUCCAAUCACCCAUUUACAAAAUUAAUUCUACACACAAUUAAAAUCCACCUCCUCGUGGGAUCGACACUCGUCACCAUUGAUCUAUAUUACAAUAGAUUCGUGCACUUGCGAGUUCAAUAAAAUUUGCACAACAUCGUCACCCAAGGAGAAAAACACAAAGAAACAAAAGAAAAACAAGAUUCAAGAGAGAGAUUAAGGGCUGUACAAGAGGAAAAAUUGCAGAGAUCAAUUGGGAGCUCAAUCCUUCUUAUCCUUCUCUUGUUUUCGUGUUUUCUAUUUAUUCAUGGGGAUGUGUUUCAUGGCCGAAACUUUGUUCUUUAUUUUUCUUUUGCAAAUCAUGAACUAAAUUUAUUUGUAGUUGAGUGAUAAAUAAUCUUGAUGGUUUAUUGACUGGAAAUACGUGUUGCUGAAUGUUUGCUGUAGCAUUUUGUUUUGAUAGCAUUUAUUUUUAUUCAUUAUUUCGGAUGAUCGCCCAUUUGAUGAUACAAGUUAGGAGAUAGCCACAAAAGGGCCUAUCUUAGUGGAACAUAUAAGAGUAAUACUUGGUUUUAGAUUGUAUUUCAUGUAUUGGGUUUAACUUAUUCCAAAAGGGCCAUGCUUAAUCUAAAAUUAGUGAUGAACUAGACAUAGGGAUUCACCUUGUAGGGUAAAUAGAACCUAAGCGUGUAAUGUUAUAUCUUAUAUUAGCAUAACAACUUAUCACUGUUAGGUUGCAUAUAGAUAUAAGAUAUCCAACAUGCGACGACUGAGGAUACAUAAGGAUUCUGCCCAGUGCUGUACCAAAUGUUGUAGCAACCGAGCCAAAUAUUAGAAAAAUAGUCAAAACCAUUAAGAGAGUUUAUUCACUCAACUACUUUAUAUUCCCAUUGGUUUUAUCUUUGAGAUUGACGUGAUAAUUUACUUUGUUGCAUUUUAUUUCUUACAUUUUUAUUUUAAUUAGUGUAUUAGUUUCAUUAAUUAUUUUAUUUUAAUUUAGCACAAAAUCUGCACUGUUAAGAUUGCUGUAGCAAAUCUGAUAACAUCAAUUCCUGUGGAGACGAUCUUGAAUACUCAUCACUUUAUUACUUGUUGUGUACACUUACACAUUGACGCCAAUAGCAUUAGUAUUUAUACCCAACAAGUUUUUGGCGCAAUUGCCGGUGAUUGAAUGUUCAUUGUGAUUUGUGAAAUUAGUUUUAACGGUGCUAAUUUUUAAUUUAAUUUUAAUUUGUUUAUGUUGUUGACAUAGGUGAUCUAGCAACCCUUGCAUGCGCAAAUAUAAAUAUGUUGAAUUCCAAUUUGAUCCAGAAAUUGAAAAAAAUCGCAAGGAGAUUGAGAAUAGAGCAUAAAAAAUUACAAGCUGUUGUAGUAAUGGAUGACUUGCAAGAUAUGAGAAACUUGAACCGUAGAGAGGAGAUACAACCAGUCAAUGUACAUGAAGGUCUAAAUGGACAAUGUGUUCAACAUCGUGGUAUUCCUUGCUGCAUACAAUUGGAAACUUUCUAUAAUGGUCUCAACCCAAGCACUAGAUUGAUGGUGGACGCUUCAGUAAAUGGGGUAUUGUUAUCUAAGUCUUACGAUGAAGCUUAUAAAAUUUUGGAGAGGAUAGCCAACAAUAACUAUCAGUGGCCAUCAACUAGACAAGUUGCAGCAAGAGGAACAACAAGAGUCUAUAAUGUAGAUGCCUUAAUAGCAUUGUCAGCCCAAGUAACUUCAUUAAAAAAGAUGGUCAAGGUUAUGACUAAUGCUCCAGCAACUGUUAACCAAAUUUCUGAUGUGUCUUGCGUUUAUUGUGGAGAAGGGCAUUUAUUUGAUAAUUGUCCUUGUAAUCCAACUUCGGUUAACUAUAUGGGUAGCUUCAACAGACAAAACCAGAGCAAUCCAUAUUCAAACACUUACAACCCUAGAUGGAGACAGCAUCCGAACUUUUCAUGGAGUUAUCAGAACCAGACUGCUGCAGUACCCAGCAGAUUUUAUCAGCAAAAUCAAGAGCAAAGAAGCAUCAACAAUGAUCAACUCAACUCCCUUGAAGGUUUGAUUAAAGAUUAUAUUGUGAAAAAUGAAGCAGUUGUCCAAAGUCAUAGUGUAUCUUUGAGAAACUUGGAUAAUCAAAUUGGACAGCUUGCUACAGCAUUGAGCAACAGACCUCAAGGUAGUUUACCUAGUAAUACAGAGGACCCAAGAAGAGAAGGGAAAGAGCACUGUAAAGGGAUUAACUUGAGAUCUGGAAAGGAUGUUCAUAGUCCCAUUAGUGUACCAAAAAGAAGAGUUGAGUCCACUUCAAUCCAGAAAGAAACUCAAAUUGAAAAAGAGCCACAAUCCUCCACUUCACAGCACAUUGGUGAGAGCAGUCAAGCUGCAGUAUUUGCCGAAAAAUGAUAAUCCAACACCUGUGGAUAACGAGGCUGUAGCACCAACCCAGAACAUAGCAAAAAAGAAACAGUCUGCACGACCUUCUACAACACAGCAGUUUAGGCACCCACUACCACCACCCUUCCCUCAAAGAUUUCAGCAGCAAUAAGACAAACAGUUCAGCAAAAUCUUGGGAGUGUUGAAACAGUUACAUAUCAAUAUCCCUUUUGUGGAAGCUCUAGAGCAAAUGCCAAAUUAUGAAAAAAAUUUUAAAGAUAUUUUGACAAAAAAAAAUAAGACUUGGAGAAUUUGAGAUAGUUGCUCUAACACAAGAGUGCAGCCGAAUGCUUCAGAGUAAGAUACCGUAGAAGAUGAAGGAUCCAUGAAGCUUCACAAUCUCUUGCUCCAUAGGCACUAAAUACAGUGGCAAAACACUUUGUGAUCUGGGGGCUAGCAUCAAUCUCAUGCCUUUAUCAGUGUUUAAGCAAUUGAGAGUUGGUAAAUGUAGACCAACAACAGUGGCUUUACAACUUGCUGACAGAUCUCAUGCAUAUCCAAAAGGGAAGAUUGAAGAUGUGUUGGUGAAGGUGGAUAAAUUUAUUUUUCCGGUGGAUUUCAUUGUGCUAGACUUUGAGGCAGACAAAGAAGCGCCAAUCAUUCUAGGGAGACCUUUCUUAGCCACGAGAAAGACUUUAAUUGAUGUUCAAAAAGAAGAAUUAACUAUGAGGGUAAAUGACCAGCAAGUUACAUUCAAUGUGCUAGAUACCAUGAAGAGUCCCGAUGAGAUUGAAGAUUGUAAUAUAUCAAUGUUGUGGACUUUGUUGUAGCAGAGAGAUUACACAGUUGCUGCAGUAAGGAAGAAAUCAAUGUUGUAACAUUUGAAGAACUUGAUGAUGAAGAUCGUGGAGUAGCUAACAUAACAUGGUCAGGGGAGAAGUAACCCUUCAGAAUUGACGAGCAUAUCCAACAAAGGGAACUCACUCUAGACCAACAAGAAUUCAAGGUUAGCAGGCCGAAAGUGAAGCACUAUAUGGGAGAUGAUGUGAACAGCCUAAAGAAGGAUCGGUUCUUGAAGGAUCCAGGUUGAGCAAACAAGAAAGGUCAGGCUGAAAAACCUAAAAUCAAGCGCUAAUUGGGAGGCAACCCAAUAAGGGAAAUUGUUUUAAGUUUUUAAGGCAUUGAUUUUAGUUUUUAAAUUAUUUAAUUUGUCUUUUUGUUAUUUUAAGUGUGCAUAUAAUUUUUUGUCUUUUUGUUAAAUUGCAGCAAGUAAAAAAAAUGUGGGCAAAAACAGAGCAUGAUGGAAUUGCUGCAGCAUCACUUACAGCAUGACAUAUAACAGAAGAUUCUCAUACAAUAUAGGCAUUUCUUACUUUUACAGCAGCAAAUGGAUUGAUCAAAUUUUAUGAUAAGGAGCGUUUGAGAAGUGAAUCAAAUAAGAAGUGACUCUUUUCAGCCUGUGCUGCAGCAGUGCUUCCAGCAACAGGGGAGUACCCCUACCCGCUAGUUUAUUUUACUUCUUUCUGUAAAAUUUUUCUUUCAUUUAGUUUUAAUUUUCUAAUUCAUUCUGCAUGUCCUUUUAUUUAGUGUAUGCAUGUCUGGUUUAUGUGAUUUUGUUUUAUGUGUGAGGACACAACACCACUCAAGUUUGGGGGGGUUGUGUUUCUGAGUGCAUGUGUUUAUACUUGUGUUGUGUGUUAUGUGAAGCUCUGUCAUCUAAUAUUUGUGUAUGGAUUUGAAAACCUAAUGAAGAUAAAUUGAGUGUUAGUCAGUAUUUAUGAGAAUGCCAAGUAGAGAUAGUUAUAGAUGGAGGUUGAAAUUUUGUCCCGACACUUAGACUUUGGUUGAGUUUUAUGAGAAUGCUAUAGCGAAAACCAAAAAAGAGUAGAAAAUAUCUCAAGUUUAGGGAAAAUUUUUGUUGGACUGUGCCUGUUAUGAAAUAAAUUUUGCUCCAAUGGCUUAAGUUGCUGAGUAACCAGGGCUGAGUAUGUACCACAUAUGCAGACUUGAGUCCAAAGGCAACAAGAGCUAUGAGCAGUCCUGCAGCAAUUUUAUAUAAAAAAAAGUAAAAAAAUGGUGAUGAAGGAAUGAAAAAUAAAGAGGUCUGCUGCCUAGGAUAUUGAGUAACCUGGUCUGUUCAUGAGCCCCAUGUUCAGCCUUGAGUUAAAGGCGUCCGAAGGUAAGACCUAAAUAUAGCAUCCUGGAUGUGUUGCUGCAGCAACUCUGAUAUGUGCUUUGAGUGAGUAAUUGGGUGUCGUCAUUACAAGUUAUAGGCAUUCACAUGAAAGCUCAAUGUUGCAUUGAAGAGUUUAACUGAAAAAAAAAAUUUAUGUUUGUUGAAGCAUAAUUUGAGUUUAUUUAUGAAUUAUGCUCCCCCAUAUGUGAAUAUAUUUGUGUUCUACCUUUAAAUUAUAUGCAAUGUCUGUGUAAUGUUGUAGCACUUUUGGAAUUUGAUCAAAGUGGCACACACACACACUGGACAGAAUGAAGCCUAAGUCUAAAACUUGAAUUGUUAUGGCAAUUUUGUACGAUUAAAAGUGUGAUAUGAGGGUUGAACAAUCUUUGCAAAUUUGAUAACAAAGUUAAGUUAUUUGUUGCAUGAUUGUGUGCUUGAAGUGUUAGUGUUUCGUCAUUACUUGAGGACAAGUAAUGGGUUAAGUUUGGGGGUGUGAUAACUCUAUAAAAUGAGAGUUAUCAUAACACUUUUAGACUUAAAUCAAGAUCACUUAGAGAGUAAAUGAUGUGUUUUUAUUGCAUUUUUGUUACAUUUUGCAUAAACAUUCAUUUUAGUUUAGUCCUAAUAACUUUUACUUGAUUUAAAGUAAUUCGUGCUCAAAUUGUGUGCAUAAUUGUAUGUUUCCAAAAGCUUAUAAUUCAUUGAAGGAAUGUUGAUGCAAUAGGCUAGUAAAAAUAAGGAAAGAACAUGGCUACAAAAGAAUUGAAAUAAAUCUAGAAUAGUGCAGUUGUUGUAGCCGUUGCUGUAGCAAUCCUGGAACAACAACAGAGAAAAUUCCGUGCAGGAUACUUGUAGAAUUGCGAUAUGUAGUUUCCUAAUCUGACUUAUGCGCAACCUAGGCUUCCGUUUACCCUAAUUUUCAACUAUAAAAGGAGCACACAUCAUAAGGAAUAAGGGGGAGCAGUCACCCAAGGAGGAAAAACACAAAGAAACAAAAGAAAAACAAGAUUCAAGAGAGAGAUUAAGGGUUGCACAAGAGGAAAAAUUGCAGAGAUCAAUUGGGAGCUCAAUACUUCUUAUCCUUCUCUUGUUUUCGUGUUUUCUAUUUAUUCACAGGGAUGUGUUUCAUGGACGAAACUUUGAUCUUUAUUUUUCUUUUGCAAAUCAUGAACUAAAUUUAUUUGUAGUUGAGUGAUAAACAAUCUUGAUGGUUUAUUGACUGAAAAUAUGUGUUGCUAUAUGUUUGCUGUAGCAUUUUGUUUUGAUAGCAUUUAUUUUUAUUCAUUAUUUUGGCUGAUCACCCAUUUAAUGAGACAAGUUAGGAGAGAGCCACAAAAGGGUCUAUCUUAGUGGGACAUAUAAGAGUAAUACUUGAUUUUAGAUUGGGUUUCCUGGAUUGAGUUUAACUUAUCCCAAAAGGGCCAUGCUUAAUUUAAAAUUAGUGAUGAACUAGAUAUAAGGAUUCACCUUGUAGGGUAAAUAGAACCUAAGCGUGUAAUGAUAUAUCUUAUGUUGGCAUAACAACUGAUCACUGUUAGGUUGCAUAUAGAUAUAAUAUAUCUAACAUGUGACGGCUGAGGAUACAUAAGGAUUCUGCCCAGUGCUGUNNNNNNNNNNNNNNNNNNNNNNNNNNNNNNNNNNNNNNNNNNNNNNNNNNNNNNNNNNNNNNNNNNNNNNNNNNNNNNNNNNNNNNNNNNNNNNNNNNNNNNNNNNNNNNNNNNNNNNNNNNNNNNNNNNNNNNNNNNNNNNNNNNNNNNNNNNNNNNNNNNNNNNNNNNNNNNNNNNNNNNNNNNNNNNNNNNNNNNNNNNNNNNNNNNNNNNNNNNNNNNNNNNNNNNNNNNNNNNNNNNNNNNNNNNNNNNNNNNNNNNNNNNNNNNNNNNNNNNNNNNNNNNNNNNNNNNNNNNNNNNNNNNNNNNNNNNNNNNNNNNNNNNNNNNNNNNNNNNNNNNNNNNNNNNNNNNNNNNNNNNNNNNNNNNNNNNNNNNNNNNNNNNNNNNNNNNNNNNNNNNNNNNNNNNNNNNNNNNNNNNNNNNNNNNNNNNNNNNNNNNNNNNNNNNNNNNNNNNNNNNNNNNNNNNNNNNNNNNNNNNNNNNNNNNNNNNNNNNNNNNNNNNNNNNNNNNNNNNNNNNNNNNNNNNNNNNNNNNNNNNNNNNNNNNNNNNNNNNNNNNNNNNNNNNNNNNNNNNNNNNNNNNNNNNNNNNNNNNNNNNNNNNNNNNNNNNNNNNNNNNNNNNNNNNNNNNNNNNNNNNNNNNNNNNNNNNNNNNNNNNNNNNNNNNNNNNNNNNNNNNNNNNNNNNNNNNNNNNNNNNNNNNNNNNNNNNNNNNNNNNNNNNNNNNNNNNNNNNNNNNNNNNNNNNNNNNNNNNNNNNNNNNNNNNNNNNNNNNNNNNNNNNNNNNNNNNNNNNNNNNNNNNNNNNNNNNNNNNNNNNNNNNNNNNNNNNNNNNNNNNNNNNNNNNNNNNNNNNNNNNNNNNNNNNNNNNNNNNNNNNNNNNNNNNNNNNNNNNNNNNNNNNNNNNNNNNNNNNNNNNNNNNNNNNNNNNNNNNNNNNNNNNNNNNNNNNNNNNNNNNNNNNNNNNNNNNNNNNNNNNNNNNNNNNNNNNNNNNNNNNNNNNNNNNNNNNNNNNNNNNNNNNNNNNNNNNNNNNNNNNNNNNNNNNNNNNNNNNCCAAAUAUUAGAAAAAUAGUCAAAACCAUUAAGAGAGUUUAUUCACUCAACUACUCUAUAUUCCCAUUGAUUUUAUCCUUGAGAUUGACGUGAUAAUUUACUUUGUUGCAUUUUAUUUAUUACGUUUUUAUUUUAAUCAGUAUAUUAGUUUCAUUAAUUGUUUUAUUUUAAUUUAGCAUAAAAUCUGCAUUGUUAAGAUUACUGUAGCAAAUCUGAUAACAUCAAUCCCUAUGCAGACGAUCUUGAAUACUCAUCACUUUAUUACUUGUUGUAUACACUUGCACAUUGACACCAAUAGCAUUAAUAUUUAUACCCAGCAAGUUUUUGUGCUAGUGCCUCAAGGUUUAUAAAGUAAUCCUCAAGUGCUCUGCAUGUUCCUCUCAACUAUAUGAAUAUAUUAGGAUAUCAUCAAUAAAUACAAUAACAAACCGAUCUAAGUAAGACUGAAAGACCCAGUUCAUGAGAUCCAUAAAUUCUGCAGGGGCAUUGGUUAGCCCAAUUGGCAUUACCAAAAACUCAUAAUGCCUAUAACGAGUGCUAAAUGUGGUUUUGGAUACAUUAACAUCUCUCAUCUUCAAUUGAUGAUAACCUGAGCAUAAAUCUAUCUUUAAGAAAACUGUCACACCCUAUAGCCAAUCAAACAGGUCAUCAAUCUGAGGAAGCAAAUAUUUGUUACGAUUAAUGACUUUAUUCGACUUCUUGUAUUCAGUACAAAAUCUAUAGUUCUAUCUUUUUUCUUCACAAAUAAUAUUAGUGCUCUCCAUAGAGAUAUACUAGGUCUGAUGAAGCCCUCAUCAACUAGUUUUUGUAACUAUACCGUUAACUCUCUUAACUCUAAUAAAGCCAUCCUGUAUGGGGCCAUAGAAGUAAGGGUUAUGCCUAGAAUUAAAUCAACAGUGAACUCUAUAUCUCUAUUAAGUGGCAAGCCAAGAAGAUUGUUAGGAAACAUAUUCAGAUACUCUUUUACCAUAAGAAUAUCUUCUAAUUUCACAUCAUUAAUUUAGCUAUCAAUAACAUGAGCCAAAGUAGCAAAACACCCUUUUUGAGUAAUCGUUUAGCAGAAAUAGUAAACAUCACACAAGAAAGAAAGAUUUAUUGUUCCCUAUAGAAAAUUGUAUUAGAUUCUCCAUAUUUUCUGAAAGUUACUUCUUUUCGAAAACAGUCCACUGUAGCAUGAUUUGAUGAUGGUUCGUUAGCCAAUCUAUCCUCAGUUUAGUAUCAAAAUCAUGAAUGUCUUACGAAUCAGAUUUGUUACCAUGUCACUAUUAUCCAUUCUUACCAUACAAUCUCAAAAUAUACUCUCAAGCAACAAAGAAUUACUAACUGGUGUAGCUACUACUAAAGUACAAUCUAAUGGUCAUAUCUCUAUAUCCGUAUAUGUGGAAAAUGUAUAAGAAACAAAAGAAUAGGUAGACUGUAAUCAAUUAAAACAUACGCCUUACGGCUAAAGAUAGUCAAAAUACCCGUCACGACAUCUCAAGUAGCAUAGACCUCCUACCGAGUUAGAGCAAAUAAAUGUGCUUGUGUAUACGGUUUACUUGGCUGACUUCUCUGUUGAUUACCACUAGUCUCUCCUACAUUGGACUGAGACCUACUGGAAAAUGUGGGUCCUCUUCUUUAGGAAUCUCCUCGCCCUUGAAAGUGACUACUGCCUCUCUAAAGGUAGUAAGGGUCUCAAUCUAGCAUAAAACUAGUGUUCGAUGUCAAGUUUGGAAAAUCUUUCUUCAAGUAUCCUGGUUAUCUAAACUAAAAGUAACAUGACAGACCGCUCAAACAUUGUCACUUGUGAAGUUUGCCACAAAUAUUACACUGAGGGCAAUUGCCUCUACUUACAUUGCAUCUCUGUCAAACAUUGUCGUGACUAUUAGAAGGUCUCUUCCUUCGAAGAAACCCUGGUCGUCAAUUGUACUACUGCCUAGUUAAGAAAUCUUUGCUCCAUUUCUCUCCUUUGAGAUCUACUACUAAGUUCACCAACUGGCCAAAUAGGGCUUUGCUUAUGCUGUUACGAUUCAACCAUUUGUGCUUGUCUAUGACUCCUCUCGAUUCUUGCAACAACUCAGUGUGCCAAAAUCUAUACAUUCUGCUCUAAUUACUAAAGUACUUAUGCCCUUUCAAAGAACUCGUUCGAACGUUCUACACUUCUCCUUAUCAUUCGGUGCAACAAAUGGGACAAAUCUUAAUAGCUCAGAAAAUUUAUGCUCAUACUCUUCCACAUUUAUGUAUUCCUGUACAAGUUUCAUAAACUCAUUCAUCAUGUCCUCCAAUAAAUAAUGGGAAAGAAUUUAUUAGUAAACUCUUGCUGAAAAUCUACUAAGGUGGUCUGCAACCAAGUUUUCUGCUCCUUUCAUGUCACGGAUCUCUAAGUUGAACUCUUGAAGUAGUAGGAUCCAGCGGAUGAGUCUGAGUUUCGCUUCCUUCUUGGCGAGCAAAUAACUGAGAGCUGCAUGGUUAAAAAAAAUAAUAACUUUAGUACCCAAUAAAUAUGAACGAAAUUUUUCUAUAGCAAAAACAAUAGCCAAAAGUUAUUUUUCCGUUGUUGAGUAAUUGCACUGAGCACUAUCAAGUGUCCUUAAUGCGUAAUAUAUCACGUGAGCAGCUCUUGCAAUCCUUUGUCUAAGAAUAGCACUAACAGCAUAGUUACUGGCAUCGCACAUUAUCUCAAAAGGGAGGCUCCAGUCGGGUGGUUGUAUAAUUGGAGCUGAACUCAAUAACUCCUUAAGCUUAUCAAAUGCUACCUUGCAUGCUUCAUUAAAAUCAAACGUCACAUCUUUCUAAAGUAGCUUGUAUAAAGGCUGAGCUAUCUUCAAAAAGUCCUUGAUAAAACAUUGAUAGAAACCUGCGUGACGAAGGAAAGAACAAACUUCCCGCACACAUGUGGGAUAAGGUAAAGAUUUAUUAAUAUUUAUCUUAACUUUAUCUACCUCAAUUCCUCUAGCAGAGACUACAUGGCCCAAAAGAAUGCCUUGAUCAACCAUAAAAUGACAUUUUUCAUAAUUCAAGACAAGGUUUGUUUCAAUGCAUCUUUCAAGCACUUUCUUCAUAUUAUAGAGACAAUCAUCAAAAGAAUCAGCAUAGACUGUAAAAUCGUCCAUAAAUACCUCUAUAAUGUUCUCUACAGAGUCUGAAAAAACAUUGACCAUGCACCUCUGAAAAGUGGCGGGAGCGUUACAAAGACCAAAUGGCAUACGUCGGUACGUAAAGGUUCCAAAAGGACAUGUGAAGGUAGUCUUCUCCUGAUCCUCAGGCCCAACUGGUAUCUGAUGAAAACCUGAAUAGCCAUCAAGACAACAAAAGUGAGAUUUUCCUGCCAACCUUUCAAGCAUCUGAUCAAUAAAAGGAACAGGAAAAUGAUCAUUCCUAGUGAGUGAAUUAAGCUUUCUAAAAUCAAUACAAACCCUCCACCCAUUCUGAACUCGGGUGAGUACUAACUCACCAUAAAAAUUCUCAACAAUUAUUAUACUAGUUUUCUUCGGUACCACUUGUACCAGACUUACCCAUUUGCUAUCGGAAAUUGGAUAGAUUAUACCUGCAUCAAGAAGUUUCAGAAUUUCUUUCUUCAUUACUUCCAUCAUGAGUGGAUUCAAACGGCAUUGACCUUGAAUCGAAGGUUUGGCAUCUUCCUCCAAUAGUAUUCUAUGCAUGCACAUGGAUGGACAUAUCCGUUUAAUAUCAACAAUUGUCCACCUAAUAGCCUUUUUGUAAUCCUUCAGCACUCUAAUAAGCUUUUCUUCCUCUAAAGUACUAAGCUUUGAAGAGAUGAUCACCGGAAGUGUCUCACCAUCUCCUAGAAACAUGUACUUUAGAUGACUCGGCAAUGGUUUAAGCUCUAUUUUCGGUGCCUACAAAAUAGAUGGAAGAAGUUUUGCAUGAGAUGAAUGUUAACAUAUAUGUUUCCAUAAUAUUGAUUUUGAUGAUAACAAACAAGAUUAAGAAUGAUAAAUAUUUUAAGCUCAAACUAUUUAAUAUUCUUUUUAAAUAAAUCAUUAUUUUCAUAUUAUAAAUGCUUCAUAUUUAAUGAAAAAUGAUUUUAUGAAAUUGGUUAUUUUUCAAAGUUUAUGGUUUAAUUGAAAGAAUUUUGAAAUCUUUGAAAUAAACAAGUAGUGCUUGAAAUUUCAGAUUUGGACCUAUUUGAAACUAUUUAAAUGUUUUUGGGCCCUUCUAUAAUUUCAUAAAGUUUGGGCGAAGUCAUAAUUUCAGAAAGUUGUGGGAUUGAGAAAGCAUUAUUUAAAAUUCUGAAAUUGGACCUAUUUGCAAACUUUUAUAACAUUUUGGGCCAUACUAUAGUUUUAUAAAGUUUUAGGGUCAAACUAUAAAUUUUGGGAAAUAUUUUACUGUAGCAGUUACUGUAGCAAGCGGCUUACCGGAUACUGAUAAACGGCAGGCCGAAUUCGGGGCAGUAAGCACCAGAACGAAAACGGCUUACCGAAUUCCGAAUCCGGCAAACCGGUUAGGCAAAAUUUUGAAUUUUUCCUUAACGGUAACAUAAAUCCGGCUUACCGGAUUCCAUAAACGGCAAACCGGAUACGCCUGGAAUGUGAGUAACGGCUAGUUUUUGAGCUCAAACUAUAAGAACUCAAAUCCAACUCAUUUUGAAGCUCUCAAACAAUCUCCAACAAGCAAGAACAAGUGCACACAACAUAUAUUGAGCUUCAACUUCGUGAAUCAUCAUUCAUUAAAUCAUCUUUGUUCUUCAAUUUGUAUAUCCACUCUUAAAGAGAGAUUUAUUGUUGUAUUUAUCAUUUCUCAUCAAUUUGUGAGUGUACAAGUGUGGUAAACACUUGGGGUGAAGAGAUUGGGGAUAUAAUCUCUUGUUGUAAAGGUUCAUUAACACCUUGGAAGUCAAUUGUAAACAUUUGAAGCCUUGGGAGGCUUGGAUAGUGAAAUCCUCAAGCCGGGUGAGCUUGGAGGCGUGGACGUAGGCGGGGAUAGCCGAACCACGUAAAAAUCCUUGUGUUCGUUUUCUCUUCCCUUACUCUUUUAAUAUUGUGUUUCAUUGAAUUUAUUGUUUUCGAAUUUAUUAAGGCAUUAGAUUGAAUUGUUGUGUGGUUUGCUUAGGAUAAUUUUUAAAAUUCCAAUUCACCCCCCCCCCCCUCUUGGGUUGCCUAGCUAGUAUUUCAAUGAAGGUAAUUUAAUAUAAGACAUAUGAUGAGUUAAAGUUCUCAAAGAAUUUAAUUCAUAAAUUGUCUCUUGCAAUACAUAAUUUAAAACAAACUCAUUUUCAUCCUUUUGCAAUCCUUUGAGGCCCAAACUAUUAUUUAAAGUAGCUACCAAUGAAUCCUCAACAUCCAAAUAAAAAACUUCCUGCACUAUAGGGUUAAUAACAUCCACAGAAAAUACCGAAUGUUCCUCACUAGGAUAUUUCAUGGCAUCAUUCAUAUUGAAUUCUAUAACCUCUCCAUCAAACUCCAUAGUGAGAGUCCCUUUAUAUACAUCCAUUUUAGUCCUAGCAGUCUUAGGAAAAUGUCUUUCUAGCAAAAUUAGGACAGAAUUAAAGGAGUUAUCAUGUUCCAUAUCAAGUACAUAAAAAUCAGAAGGAAAAACCAACUCAUUAACUUGUACUAAGACAUCUUCUAAUACCCCAUCAGGAUAUGCAUUAGACCUAUCAACUAGUUGAAUUAUCACACCAGUUUCUUUUAAUGGACCAACAUUCAAAGAUGAAUAAAUAGAACGAGACAUGACAUUAAUAGAAGCUCCUAGAUCUAACAUAGCCUUCUCAACUCUAACACUACCAAUUUUGCAAGGGAUAGUAAACAUACCUGGAUUCUUGCACUUAGGAGGUAAUUUCUUUUGGAGAACUACUGAAACAUUCUCCCCCAUGUGAACUCUUUCAUCUUCUCUUAAUUUUCUCUUAGAGGUGCGCAGUUCCUUAAGGAAUUUAGCAUAUCGAGGUAUUUGUUUUAUAGCAUCUAAUAAAGGAAUAUUUACCUCAACCUUGUGGAAUAUCUCAAGGAUGUCUUUCUCUUGUUCCUCCUUCUUGGAUUUUGCAAACCGACUUGGAAAAGGAGAAGGUAUCACCACAGGUAGAGGUUUCGCUCUAGUGGGUUGCGCAUCUUGAGAUUUAGGCAUCAAUUCAUUCUUCUCAAGCUCAUCUUCUAUAUGUUUUGUCACUUUCUUACUAGGCUCUUGCAACUCCUUCCCACUUAUAAGGAUGAUAGUACUAGCGUUUUGCUUUGGAUUCACCUCAAAUUGUGAAGGUAAUCUCCCUGAUACUUGAGACUCCAGACGGCUCACUGUAGUCGUCAAUUGACUCAUUUGGUUCCCUAAAUUCUGAAUGUUUGUUGUAGUUGCCUGCUGAAAUUGUUGAGUGUUAGUCGCAAGUGAUUUAACAAUUUCUUCAAGAGAUAUACCUAACUUGGAGUUUGACUGUGGAGGUGCUGGUUGUCUUGGUGGAUAUUAUUGUGGGAAUCCUGACGGCCUAACUCCAUAGCUGAAGUUGGGAUGAUCCUUCCAUCCCAGAUUGUAUGUUUGUGCAUAAGGAUCAUAUCUCCUCUGAUGCAUACUUGGAAAUCCUCCAACUGCAUUGGCUUGUUCAACGGGUUCUUCUUAAAGUGUAGGACACAUUUCAGUUGAAGACCCGUAUUGGAACAAAUGCCAUAAGUCUUCACCUGUUGCACAUUACCUAUAAUAAAUUUUUCCACAAGAGAAGUAAGUUUAUCUAAACAUUGUUCAAUAGAAGAAAUAUUUACCUCAUUCACCUUCUUUGAAGUGGGAUCUUGCCUGCUGCUAAAUUAUUGUGCAUUGGCAGCCAUAUUUGAGAUCAACUCUCUUGCUUGAGUAGGGGUCUUGUUCACCAACACACCUCCACUAUCAGCAUCUAUCAUACUCCUAUCCAUCAAUGACAGUCCUUCAUAAAAAUAUUGAAUAAGAAGUUGAUCAGAAAUCUGAUGUUGAGGACAUCUGCCACACAAUUGUUUGAAUCGCUCCCAAUACUCAUACAAAGUCUCCCUAGGAAGUUGUCUGAUCCCACAAAUGUCUUUUCUGAUAUUGGCAGCUCUUAAAGCAUGAAAGUACUUCUCAAGGAACUGCUUCUUUAAAUCAUUCCACGUUGUAAUCGAUCCAGGAGGCAAGUAGUACAACCAGUCUUUAGCUAGCCCAUCUAAAGAGAAAGAAAAAGCACGCAGCUUAAUCUGCUCUUCAGUCACGCCUUGUGGCCUCAUACUUGAACACACAACAUGAAACUCCUUGAGAUGUUUAUGAGGAUCUUCACCUACAAAACCAUGAAACUUGGGUACCAAAUGAAUAAGACCAGACUUUAAUUCAAAAAUUACCUCCAAGUCUACAUAUUGAAUGCAGAGUGGUUGCUGAUUCAAGUCUGAUUCAGCUAACUCUCUAAGAGUUCUUUCUACAGGUGCAGCACUAUCAAUCACUUGUUCUUUUAAAUCGCUAGAUGAUUCAACCAAAUUAGGCACCGUAUCUAUUUCAGAAAGCAAAGGCGACGAGGAUCGUUGUUUAGCUCGCUUUAUCUGCUAUCUUAGCUGGCGAGCUGUCUUCUCAAUUUCAGGAUCAAACAAAAGUGUACAUGUACGAGAAGAACAAACAAUACACCAAGUAAAACAUAAAAAGGAUUAAAUAAACGACACCAAUCCCCGGCAACGGCGCCAAAAUUUGAUGGUUGUCGAAGCCAGCAAAAAUAAAUACCUACUCUAAAUAAAUUGUGUAUGAUAGAGCAAGGUCGUGUCCACAAAGAUCGGUAAUUAUUUAAAUCCUUUUAAAAUAUAAAAUGCAAAAUGGGGGGAUUGUUGACAAUAAUAGAAACCAAAUUAAAAUAACAAGAAUGCAAAUUCAAAAUUGUGAUUCAAAUUGGGGAAAGCUCUGGUUGAAGGAAUUAACUCAGCUUGAUUCGACUACUUAUGAAUAGAUCGGUUAUAGCUACUGAGACACUCUAAUAGCCAAUCUCUCCUUAACUAGUCGAUAAUCAAGGUAGGACCAUUGGUUAUUUCCCUAAUCAAUAGAUAACUCUAGAUACGAUCAUAGGAUUUAAUCAAUUGACAGCCUAAAAAACCAGAGAGACCCAAAUCCUAAUCAACAAACGCAUACGAUGGUUCAUUUAAAUUAGAUUGUUUAUUCUCAUAACACAACGCACUGUUAUACUAUUUGUCACAAACAUUAAAAUCUUCAUACGAUGAAUCCUUUAAUUGACAAUAGAUUAAGUUUAUAAUUAAAUAGUGGCCAAUUAUCUAAUUAACAAACAUAAUCGUGACAAUAAUUUAGAGAAUAAACAAAUACCCAAAAAGUAAUAAAACAAUUAAAGCAUAAGAAAGAUCUCACAGUAAUGAUGAAUCAAAGCUUCAUUAACUUUCAACCAGAAUAAUAGGUUUAGUUCUUCAUAGAGAGAAGAGAAAAAUUUAGAUCUAGGGUUUCUUUUUCUUUCUUUGACAAUAGAUUCCUCCCUUCAAUUCUCUUUUUUCUCUUCUCCUCUAGAGUUCUUUUUAAAAUAAAAUACUAAUAUCUAAAAUAUUAUCUAAAUAUUAAAUUCGUAAUUAUAAAAAUAACCAAAAAGACAAAACACGUUAAAAUAAAAACUGCAGGUCCUUAGUUGACAGUAUGCGCCCACGCCUUAUCAAUAAAGUUCUUCUGAAGCUCAUAAUUUUUCCAGAAAAAUAAUCAUCGUCAAACAUCAUCUUGUAGCUCAAUUUUAGCACCAAUCAAUAGAAUUGCACCUACAGAAAUAAAACACAAGUAAAUCACUAUUAUUAAAUGCAAAACAUCGAUAUUAAAGGAAGUAAACAAUGCAAAACUAGUGCAUAAAUUGCACUUUAACACCAUCAGAGAGAUUAGAAAUAUGGGAACAUUUCACUAAAUAUGAUCCAGGUAAUAGAUGCAAGUGUAAUUAUUGUGGUAAUGAUUAUGCUUGUAAGAAUAAACAUGGGACUAAAAUUGGGACUAGCACAUUAAGGAAUCAUUUAUUGCGUUGUCCUGAUUAUUUGAGCAUAUUUGAGGAUGAAAAUCAAACAACCUCACAUGAAAUAAAAGGCGAAUCUAAGUCUCAUGUCUUUGAUAAAGAAGCAUGUUGAAAAGCCCUUGCAAGGUUAAUUAUUAUUGAUGAAUUACUGCUUAGUUUUGUGGAGAAAUAGGGCUUUCAACAAUAUAGUAAGCAAUUGGAACCAAACUUUAAUUUACCAUCUAGGAGAACCCUUACUAGAGAUGUGUACAAACUUUUUUGGGAUGAAAAGUAAAAAUUGUGAAACUUUUUUGUUUCAAAUAAGCAAAGGGUUUGUAUAACCACAUAUGCAUGGACUUCUAUUCAAAAUUAUAUCACCAGCCCAUUUCAUUGAUAGUGAAUGGAAACUACAAAAGAGAAAUUUAAAUUUUUGUAUAGUACCUGACCAUAAAGGGGAGACAAUUGGAAAGGUAAUUGAGUCUUGUUUACUUGAGUGGGGUAUAGAAAGGGUAUUUACCAUUACUGUUGAUAAUGCUAGUUCAAAUGAGUUAGCUAUCAAUUAUGUCAAAAAGAAAUUGAAGAAUUGGAGUGAGAAUGGGCUUGUGCUAGAUGGUGAGUUUUUACAUAUGAGAUGUUGUGCGCAUAUUUUAAAUUUAAUUGUGAAUGAAGGGUUGAAAGACUUACAUGUGUCAAUUUCCAGAAUUCAUAAUGCUGUCAAAUAUGUAAAGUCCUCUCCCGCAAGGCUAAAAAAAUUUAAAAUAUGUGUGGAGCAUGAAAGAAUUGAAGGUACUGGUCUUGUGAUUCAAGAUGUGUCCACUAGGUGGAAUUCCACCUACUUAAUGUUGGAGAGUUCUUUAAAAUUUUAAAAGGCUUUUGAGAGAAUGGAGGAUGAUGAUCGACAUUAUGUUUCAUAUGUCAAAGAGGAUGGAGGACCUCCUAAUAGUGAUGAUUGGGAAAAAUGCUAAUGUUUUUAUGUUGUUUUUGAGGUCAUUUUAUGAUAUAACUUUGAAAUUGAGUGGUUCAAUAUACGUGACUUCAAAUUUAUAUUUUCAUGAACUGUGCUCAAUUCAUUCCGAUUUGACAUCAUUAAUUGAAAGUGGUGAUGAUCCUGUCUUAUCUAAAAUGGCAACAAGUAUGAAAAAUAAAUAUGACAAAUAUUGGGGUUCAAUUGAUAGCUUGAAUAAUUUAUUGCUCAUUUCAGUUAUUCUUGAUCCACGUUAUAAGUUAAAAUAUGUGACAUUUUACUUUGAAGACAUUUUUGUUAUUGAUGAGGUUGGGAAGAAGUCUGAAGAGGUGAAAAAUCUUUUAAUACGUCUUUAUGAUUACUAUAAAGAUCUUGACACUAAGAUUGAUGGUUGUGGAUCAUCUAGUGGUGUUAGUAAGUCGUCAAUUGUUGAUAGUAGGAAAUUUGAUAAAAAGAUGGGGUUUUCUAAACUUUCAAGUGUUGCAAAGUUCAGACAAAGAAUAGAAAAAGAUGAUUGUGUUGAGAUGAAGAAUGAAGUAAAGAGGUACUUGUUGGAGCCAUGUGAACAUGUUGAUGAUGAUGACUUUGAGAUUUUGACUUGGUGGAAAAUGAACUCAAUAAAAUAUCGAGUUCUUUCACACAUUGCAAAGGAUGUGUUUGCAAUUCCAAUAUCUACAGUAGCUUCAGAAUCUGCUUUUAGUACUAGAGGGCGCAUCAUUGAUUCAUUUUAUAGUUCUUUAAGUCCAAAGAUGGUGGAAGUUUUGAUAUGCUUACAAAAUUGGUUACGUAACACUUUUGUCCCAUUACAAGAUGAACCAACAAUGGAGGAGCUUGAGUUUUAUGAAGCGAUGAUGUCAGGUAACUAUUUAUCAUAACAAGUUUUAAAAAAAUUUAUAUAUUUGUUUAUCACUAGUUUUUUUUUCAUUAAUUUAUUUUUAUUUAAUGCAGAGUUUGGAUCAAAUAUAACAAUGGAGGCGAUGGCUUUGAAUUGAUGUUAUUCUUAUGAUUAUCAAAUAAAACAACAAAGUUUGGAUCAAACAUUAUAAUUUUUCUUUUUUGGUUAUUUAUUUAUUGGUGAAGGAAUUGACUUCAUUGAUCAUGGAAUCUUUUGAUUAAAAUACUGCGGAUGGAAAUGAUCAUUGAAUUUAUUUUCUUUCUUUUAAUUUGCUUAUUUAUGUCAUGUUCAUGGGAGUUUAUUAUUGGAGUUUAAUUUAAUUCUUUCUUUUAAUUUUUUAUCCAUAAUAUUUUUUCAUAUUUUAAUAUUAAUUUAAUAAUUAAUAAUAAUUAGUAAUUAUUAUAAUUUUGAUAUAAUUAAAUUUAUUAAAAUAAAAAAUAUUUUGAUUAUAAAAUUCAAACCAAACCCAAAUGAGUUGGUUUGAGUUGGGUUAAAAAUAUUUGGGUUGGGUCUAAAUUUUUAUGAUUUGGUUUGGAUUUACUUAAAACCAAAUCCAAAACAACUCAUGCCUACCCUUAGAUAUACGGAGACCAUGAGGACAGAUAAUGUUGAGUUAAACAAUGAGUUUUUGAGGGAAUGUUUAGAAAGAAAAAGAUGAGAUGAGCUAAUUUUAGAAAGAGAGAGGAAUAAAACUUGUCAUUAUCUUCUUCAAUAAUGGUCAGUUUUUGUUUUUAUAUUAGGUUAAAAUAUAAUUUCACCCUUUAAAGGAAAUUUAAACAGUAACAAAAGUAACGGUAGGGGGUGCUCCAAUAUUCAAGAAAUAGUAAGAAAGAAUUGGUACAUAAUUUAAAUAGUAGGGGUAAUUGACGAUCCCCUAAAAAAAUUAUUGACGGCUGUAUGUCACCACCUGUCCUACACAUUCCUCGUUCUAUUGGUCAUGCGUAACACAACAAACAUUUUUUUUUUUUCUGUUAUUUACAGUUAUAAAGCACUUUAGCAUCAUAAAGGAUAAAGCAAAGUCAGGAGUACUACAGAGUACGGAGUUCGGACACUUGUUGACAAUUAACAGUUCAACACUGUCUUACUCGGAAAUAUCCAUUGUCCAGCUGAAAAAGAUAAAUUGAAGUACACGGAAAUAUCCAAUUGUCGAGCUGAAAAAGAUAAAUAAAGAGAAACCUGUUUGUUGUAUUAUUGUCUACAAAACGGUAAACACAAAAAGAAAGAGAGAAAAGAAAAUUUUUUAACAGCGCAAUGAUAAAACAAAUGAGCGAGUUAUUGUAUUCGAAGGACUUGGAUGAUGAUCAAGAAAUUGGGUCGGAGAAAACCUUGAGAAGAUGUAGAUCUGCCUGCAAUGGCCGUAGAAGCGUCCAUAAGCUCGCCGGUCUCGACGAGCAUAUCAAAUUACAGGCGAAUUAUUCCUUUUAUUUCUUAAUUUUUUAAUUAUUAAUUAACUUAUGAUUCAAGUUAAUUUGGGUUAGCUUUAUUGAUUUAUUUAUUUAUUUUAAUUAUAUAAGUAAUUUUUGUAUUUACUUACUUAGUUCUUUGCCUAAUUUCGUUGAGGUUAAUGCCUAAUGGGAAACUUUUAAAAUCAACACUCAAGAAUUUAAAUGCAGAGUCAAGAGUAAAGGUGAAUAGUACUGAAUGAUUGAAUUUGCGAUACCAAACUAAAGGCUUUCUGUGUGUUAUAGGAACAAGUUAGAGUUUUCUAUAUAUGCUAUUCAAAAGCUGUACUUCACUUUACUGAAAAUCUGAGUCUGCAGUCAAACGAAGAUGUGCCAUCAAGUGAAUACAUUGUGAAUGAGGCCGACACCGAAGCUAGAAGAUUUCAAGAACCCAUUGAUGAUGUUGGAUCCACAAUCAGUGGCCUUGAUGUAAUGAUAAUUGAUACUCAAACUUUUGUAACCUCACUUAAAAUUGAAUUUAGGAUACCGAACUAAAUGCUGGCUGUGUGUUACAGGAACAAGUUACAGUUUCACCUGUCGUUCUAAAAGCGGUACUUCACUGUACAGAAAAUCUGAGUCUGCGUUCAAAUGAAGAUGUGCCAUCAAGUGAAUAUGUUGUGACCGAGGCUGCCAACGAAGGCAAAAUAUUUCAAGAACCCGUUGAUGUUGGAUCAACCAUCAAUGGUCAGGUAAUGAUAAUUUAUACUGAAACUUUUAUUCCUCCCUUCAAUUUUCAAAUAUCAAAAUAUGCUCUUUUGAUAUUUGAAAAUCGCUCGAGUAUCCAUUUUCCUGUUUGGAUUUGGAUACAUCGAGGUAAGAAUAUUAAAGUUUUGCUUACAAUUGGCCUCCAAUUUCUGAGCUCAAAACUUUUAACUUAAUGAAUGACAAUACAAUUUCAUUGAUUGAGAUUUAUAACUGCAUUCUUUGUAUAUUACAGAUUUGUGAGCUACUUGGUAAAUAUAAGAAACGUGCACUUGCUGUGUUUUCUGUUGUGUUGGAAGCAGCAUCAUUUUUACUAGAUAUAUAUGGGAAAAGUAAGAGGAGGAUCCUUCUUGCUGCAUUUCUAUUGUCAGCAUUUGGUUUUGCUAUUACUAUGAGUACGCAUUCUUGGACCGGGAGAAGAAACAUAGCUGCAACCAGAAUGUAUUUACAGAAGCGACUACUUAUGUUGUUGGAAAUGUCUUUCUCUUUGGUCCAGUUGAUUGUUUCGCUCAUUUAUUUUAUUCUGGCGGAAUUGGGUGUCAAGAACAAUUUUAGUACAUCUGUUUUCCCACUGGUCUUUGCUAUAAUUGCUGCUGUGUUCACUUUCAAAUAUGAUGGGGAAGUUUCUGAUUCAUCAGGCCUCGACAGUGCGCUUGUGGCCCUAGCUGCUGGUAAUCAAGUAUGAUUGUGAACACAAUUGUAAUCAUCAAGCUGCACUUGGUGAAUUCGCAUAACUUAUCACCUCUAGGACUAUGAAUUCCUAUAAAUACAUAUGUAUCUGUAAUUUGGAUUAUAACUAUUCAGUAUAUAUAUUUUAUCUUUUCUGAGUAACUUUCAAUUUAUAGAGCUCGUUGAGGGGGUUAAAUGAUGGAGUUAAGUCUUUUGGUGUCAAGUUAUUUGAGAUUCUUGAAAUUCAUGAAACUUGUAUUACGCCAAUUAGAAAAAAUGAAGCUGUUUUGAUUGGGUCACACAUGAAACUUCUGAUGUGCCAAUUAAUUAUUGAUCGGCAUGGUCAAUUGUCUUGGGUAAAGGUACACUAUAUGAUAUGAAUCAUUUUAAAAAGUGAUUUUAUUAUUAUUAUCACCAUGAAAUUGUCAAUUAACAUCACCAUGAAAUCAAGAGAACAUCCCACUAGCUAUAUUCAUGUUGCUAGUAGAUGUACAUUGGAUUAUUAUUUCCUUGUGGUUGAAGAUUCAUCUGAACCAAAUGGAGAUUGACUUUUGAAAUGUAAUAAAUAAAUAAAUAACAAAAAAGCAGGAGCACAAACAGAAAAUUUUAUAUUUUUUUUUCUGACAAAAUAAAGAGAUAGAUGGGGGUAGUGGAAGAUUGACUUUUGAUGAGUCUUUGUCCGCCAUUAGAGAAUAAAUGCAACGAAAUAAUGUUUUUCACUUCAAUUACUAUUGGUAUUAUUAAUAAUUAGGACUUAUUUAUCAACAUCGAUCUUUCACUCAAAUUCAACAGCCAAAGUCGCCCGCGGGUUGUGCUCGGCUGAUCAAAAGCAAGUAUUAUAGUUAGGGUUUAGUCUUAGAUAUAAGUUUAAGCACCUAGAAUGUAAUAAUAGAUAACGCCUUGCACACCCACGUUCUCUGUAACUUUCUCAUUCACUUUUUCAAAAGUAAUCCAGUUUGACGAUAGAACUCAAAUUUACAAUGAAUUAUUAUUAAAUCGAUUAAAAUAACAACAACAAUUCAGAUUAGCAAAGAAGUGUUAUAGAAUAAAUAAUGCUCGUGAAGAAUUCAAUUUCAAAUAAAAGAAUUUCACAUAUUGUAUUUUAUCUUAUCUCUUUUUGUUUUUGUUUUAAUUUAAAAUAACCCUUCUAACCGUUUGUCAAUCGGUUAUAUAAUUUUAAAAAUAAAUAAAUAAAUUUAUUAAUAAAAAUAAUGUGAUUAAAUCUAAUAGUUUAUAUUUCUGACAUUAUUGAUACUGUAAAAAAAUUACAGCACAGAACUAUUGUUUUCUGCUUAAAAAUUUAGCAAAAAAAUUAGCGAACCCACAAUAGAGAGAUUUAUGUAUCUUACAUAUUUCUUUAGUUAUCAUAUAUCAAAUUCAUGAUUAUGUUUUUUUCUUGAAAAUUAUCGUUCAAAAUUAUUAUGUUCCAUAGCAGAUGUCCCGGAUAGACUUAUAAAGUAAUUCAAUUUGAAUGCUACAAAAAGAUCACAAGCCAAAUAUUUAUAUGUAAUCAAGAUUAUCUUAAGUGUGAUUAUGUAUAUAAUUACUCCUUUUGAGAAUCUAUAAUUGGUCCAAUUGGUCUUGCAUGCACUUAAUUUAGAGGGAAUUAAUAUUUUAUAUGCAAUCAUAAUCUAGAUAAACUCACUAUGGGUUCAAUUGAAUAAUGAUCUGCCAAUCCACAUCUACUUUGUGACUGGAUCAACCGACCCAAUCGAUCAAGCCACGCUAGGACCAAUAUUUGACUCUAGGUUAAUGGAUCAACUAUGAACUGAGAUUAUCAAUCAAGACACCGAAUUCCUACUAGCCCAAACAAAUAAGAGUAAUAAUAUAAUUACAAAUUCUUGUACAUAUUUUCUUUGUACAAACUGAUGCGGUAUGAUUAAAUUAGUUGAAUUAAAUAUUUCUUAAUCCAUAUAAUUUUUUCUUAUUAUUUUGUAUUUUUAAUUCAACCAAAUGAUUUAAUACCAAAUCACUUUGUACAACGUAAGUUUAUAUAAGAGUUUGUGAUUGUAUUGUCACUCAACCAUAAUGCCUCCUAUGUCGAUACGAUAGUAAGCACCUUUCUGGUAUGUUUUAUCUAAUGAGUUAUAAGUGUUUAUUCAAUCUCAUAAGCUCCCUCAAAUUUUUUUUAAUGUUGUUCAUUGUUUUCUAAGUAGAGUUUUUGAAGAUUAAAUAAGUUAUUUUAUUUUUACUAGUAAAAGCUCAAAUUUUGGUCUUUUAGGAGUAGAAGUUGAAAAGUUUUUAAAAAAUAUUAAAAUGUCUAAAAUAUCCUUUACUUAUUUCAUAAUCUUAUUUGAUUCCUUUCAUAACAAGACGUUAAAUAAUUUACAUAUUAAAUUAAUUUUACAAUUAUUAAUAAAAACUCUCAUUGACAACUAAACAACUAAUUUUUUUUUUUGUGGUAAAAUAUUCACUUAUAAAAGUUCUACUAAUAAAAGCUCUACUUAAAAAAACUAUAUUUUAAAAGUUAUACUAAACAGAGCCUCAAACUCCGUUUAAGGCAUAUAGCAAAAUCCACAGUGACAAUUCAAGACAUAGUGGCAUUAAGAUAUGUUAUGUGAAAUAAUUGGUUAUUUAUGGAGUAAUCACAAUUCUUUGUGUGAUGAUAUAAAAAAAUUUAGCAAACUCCUUUAGUAACUAAAUGCAUUGCAAGGGUUGGGACUUCCAGCGCCAGUGCCAUCUUAAUUAUCACCAAUGAUCGAGCCUAACCCAAUACUUUAAACAUUAAGAUCUUAGAUUCAAUGAGUAGAAGACAGACAUAUAAUUUUUCAAGAUACAUUCUAUGGUAUACAUGUGCUUCAUAGAAAAUAUAAAAAAUAGUUACGUUAUAAAAUAUAUCAUCAAAUUUAUAAGAGUUUAGAUCAUUAGAAGAUUUAUUUUCUUAUUCAAUUAAUCAUAUAGAUUCAUUUGAUUUUGAAAAAAGUUACAUGGACACUUUAAAAAAAUGCUUACAUACUUACAUAGACGACACUAUUCAAUGAACCAAAAGGGAUUGUAUAACAAAAUAGACACGCAAGGAACAUCUUAUAUUGUAUAACCAAAUUUUUAUUACAUAUGAUUGAUAUACAUAGAAAAAAUUAGUUUCACAACUUUAAUUGCCUUAAACUGCUUACAUAGACGACACUAUUCAAUGAACCAAAAGCGAUUGUAUAACAAAAUAGACACGCAAGGAACAUCUUAUACUGUAUAACCUAAUUUUUAUUACAUAUGAUUGAUAUACAUAGAAAAAAUUAGUUUCACAACUUUAAUUGCCUUAAACUGGAUCUAUACAUUUCUUCUGAAUUAGUCCCACAAAAAAUCAACCCGUCGAGGUUAUCUUAUCUAAACCUCUUUAAUUUUUCAUUUUCUGGUCAAAUGCCAUCAUAAAUAUUAGAGCUCUCACCAAUUUAGUGUCCCUUAAAUUACUAGGAAAUUUAGAUCUUCAACUCUCAAGAAGCCAAGUCUCGGAAAUCUAGUUGAAAAUUGCUAACCAUCCUAAACGCACUUGAUCUUGGUGGUGACUGUGACAACUGAUUCUUUAAUACAUCAUAACUUAACAAAUCUAUCUUCUAUGACAUUUUUAUCUCUCUCAAACAGCGAGCCAAGUUGCAGAUCAUCAAUUGCAGCUAUGGCCAAGCCAGUUGCUAGUACUUUUAACAAGAGCUUUGAGAUGAGGCACAUGUGGUGUUGUUAGAACAAAGCCAAGGCAUCUUUUUGUUGUUGAUCCUACCAGGCAAUGAGGCAAUUCUUUCACCGAAAACACAGAUGAUUCCUAACUUCCAGGUGAAUAUUUUCUAUGCACGACUACUCACAGUACAAAAUCUGUAGAAAUGACAAUGGGACCGGCUGGGGUGGGAAGGCCUAUCCCAUUACCUACUUUAUUAAAAUUUUAUCAUUAUUUCUCAUUCUAUUCCAUAAUAAAUUUAAUAAGGGUGGGGAUGGAGAAUCCCCCACAUGCAGAAUGAUUUCUCCAUCGCCACUCUAUUCUUCAUUUAUUUUUACUUUAUAAUAAAUAUAAAUAUAUAAUUUUAAUAAAUUAAAAAUUAAAAAUCGGACUCAUCGGUCCUACUGAAGUGGUGGGACUAACUUAUAGAAAUUUUCCUGGAACAUGGCACGCUCAUGUAGCAAAACAUGACACGAAUCAAUUGGCAAACACCACCAAAUCAGCGGGUGAUGUGGUGGUAUUGGCACCACAGUCAUUAUAUUUAUCUCUACCAACGUGUCGCCACCAGAAUGGAAAGAAUGCCAGGAAUACCAACAAAUAUUCCAUCAUUUAUGUACAAGCAAACACUUUAUUUACUCAACACUCCUGUUUUGACUCGGUCACUCCCAACUGAACAUGUCGCUAUGUACGGACACUUUCAUCGGACCUGGUCAAUAGCCGAUUGCAAUGAGAAGAAAGCUACCACUCCUCUCAAUCUUAUCAUAACAGCUGAAUAACAAAACAAAUUGAAAUGUUUUUCAAUUCGGAAGAUUUCGAUGUGCAGCCAUGGAGAUCUGUACAUCCCUCGGAGGAAGCCUUGAAAAGAUGGAGAUCUGCCUGCGCUAUCGUCAAGAACCGCCGUAGAAGGUUCUGUAUGGUCACCAAUCUCGCUAACCAUGCCGAGGCCAGGGAUCACAAGCUCAAGAUACAGGUCCUAUUUUACUCACUACUUUCAUUCCUCUUAUUUUUCAUUGUUGAAACAGUUUUGUUUUGAUCUGAGGGUUAGUUCAACUCUUAUAUAUUCUUUAACUGUAUAAUGAGGCUUACAAAUUUCAGAUAAAGUUUUUUUUUUUUUUAAUCCCGGAUGGUGUGACUUUAUCUUAUAUGAUCAUGUGAUGAUUAGUUAGUAACGUUGUCCACUUCUCAUCCGAAUGAUGAUUUUGUAUUGGUUGUGUAACAGUAUCACUACCCUUUUGUGAAAUUGGUGUAAUGUAAAGAGUUUCAGUACCUUAAGAAUUUUGAAUCCAUCGUGAACUGGAUGUGGACUGAUAAAUGGUGCAAAAUGAUUUUGAUAUUAAAUUUAGUAUACCCAUCUCAAGGCUGUCUGUAGCGUUACUGGAAAAAAUAAGGAUUGAUGCGGCACCAAGUGAAUACGUUGCGACCCACGUUCCACAUUAUUUUCAAAAAGCUGCACUUGAUUUUACUAGAUCACUUAACGAUGUGCCAUCAAGUGAAUACCACGCCAAAGCUAGAAGAUUUCGAGAAUUUGUUGAUGACAUAGGAUCCGCUAUCAAAGGCCAUGAUUUAAAGAUACUGAAACAUACAAAUGUGGUGUUUUCCCUCCAUGUAGGGAAUAUAUUAACUUAUCCUGUAUUGAGGGCAACAUCCUUUGGGGUAUAUCUACUCAGUCUUCUUGUGUUGGGAGCAUUUUCAUCUGUGUGGAGUAUUUUCAGUAAAUUUCAAUAUUAUAUGUCAUUACGUAAAUACAUUGUGACCGAGGCUGCCAAAGUUAGAAGAAUUCAAAAUUGUGUUGAUGGGGUAGAAUACGUUCCACAUAAUGAUGAUUAUGAUGAUGAUUCUUAAGAUCAUCCAAUUAGCAUAAUUAUGGAACCAGUUUAUAAUGUCUCUCCGAAUGGGAAAUUUAGAAGAAGAAUAAUAAUGUCAUGGCAAAAGGGUGAGCCUUUGGGAAGUGGGCCAUUUGGGUCUGUAUAUGAAGGUCUCACUGAGUAAGUGAAAUCUGUUCCUGUGUUAAUGUACUUGGAACUAGUGAAAAGGAGUUUUAUUGUUCUGGUUGUAUUUCAAUAUCCAUUUGGUUACAUAGCCUUAUUGAUAUGCACCUGCUGAAGGUUUUUAAUAAGUUAAAAGGAUGUACAAUGUCGGACUAGAAGGAAGUUUCUAGGAACUUAUUGAAUACUUUUUCUGCUUUCUGAACGAUACUCCAGGAAAGGUGAUAGACUUUAUGAUGAGAACUCAAUGGGGUUUUGGGUAUGCUACUUGUAAAUCUACUCAUCUUAUUUCUCAUGAUAAUCAUGCAAGACGAAUUCAAUUUCGUUUUUGAGGCAGGGAAAUUUGAUGACGAGCUAGACUGGAUGUUCUUUUGCACAUUCUUACUUGAAACAAGGAUGAUCAAGAAAUUGGGUCGGAGAAAACCUUGAGAAGAUGGAGAUCUGCCUGCAAUGGCCGUAGAAGCUUCCAUAAGCUCGCUGGUCUCGACGAGCAUAUCAAAUUACAGGUGAAUUAUUCAUUUUAUUUCUUUAUUUUUUUAAUUAUUAGUCAACUUAUGAUUCAAGUUAAUUUGGGUUAGCUUUAUUGAUUUAUUUUAAUUAUAUAAGUAAUUUUUGUAUUUGGUUAUUUAGUUCUUUGCCUAAUUUCAUUGAGGUUAAUGCCUAAUGGGAAAAUUUUAAAAUCAACACUCAAGAAUUUAAAUGCAGAGUCAAGAGUAAAGGUGAAUAGUACUGAAUGAUUGAAUUUGCAAUACCAAACUAAAGGCUUUCUGUGUGUUAUAGGAACAAGUUAAGAGUUUUCUAUAUAUGCUGUUCAAAAGCUGUGCUUCACUUUACUGAAAAUGUGAGUCUGCAGUCAAAUGAAGAUGUGCCAUCAAGUGAAUACAUUGUGAAUGAGGCUGACACCAAAGCUAGAAGAUUUCAAGAACCCAUUGAUGAUGUUGGAUCCACAAUCAGUGGCCUUGAUGUAAUGAUAAUUGAUACUGAAACUUUUGUAACCUCACUUAAAAUUGAAUUUAGGAUACCGAACUAAAUGCCAUCUGUGUGUUACAGGAACAAGUUACAGUUUCACCUGUCGUUCUAAAAGCGGUACUUCACUGUACAGAAAAUCUGAGUCUGCGUUCAAAUGAAGAUGUGCCAUCAAGUGAAUAUGUUGUGACCGAGGCUGCCAACGAAGGCAGAAUAUUUCAAGAACCCGUUGAUGAUGUUGGAUCCACCGUCAAUGGCCUUGAGGUAAUGAUAAUUUAUACUGAAACUUCUAUUCCUCGCUUCAAUUUUCAAAUAUCAAAACAUGCUCUUUUGAUAUUUGAAAACGCAUAUUUUGAUAUUUGAAAAUCUGAAAAUCGCUCAAGUAUCCAUUUUCCUGUUUGGAUUUGGAUACAUCGAGAUAAGAACAUUAAAGUUUUGCAUACAAUUGGCCUCCAAUUUCUGAGCUUAAAAUUUUUAACCUAAUGAAUGACGGUACAAUUUCAUUGAUUGAGAUGUAUAAAUGCAUUCCUUGUAUUUUACAGAUUUGUGAGCUACUUGGUAAAUAUAAGAAACGUGCACUUGCUGUGUUUUAUCUUGUGUUGGAAGCGGCAUCGUUUUUACUGGAUAUUUUUGGGAAAAGUAAGAGGAGCAUCCUUCUUGCCGCAUUUCUAUUGUCAGCAUCUGGUUUUGCUAUUACUCUGAGUAUGCAUUUUUGGACCGUGACAAGAACCAUAGCUGCAACCAGAAUGUAUUUACAGAAGCAACUACUUAUGGUGUUGGAAAUAUCUUUCUCUUUGGUCCAGGUGAUUGUUACACUCAUUUAUUGUACUCUAGCGGAAUUGGGUGUCAAGAACAAUUUCAAUACAUCUGUUUUCCCACUGGUCUUUGCUAUAAUUGCUGCUGUGUUUACUUUCAAAUAUGAUGGGGAAGUUUCUGAUUCAUCAGGCCUCGAUAGUGCUCUUGUGGCCCUGGCUGCUGGUAAUCAGGUAUGAUUGUGAGCACAAUUGUAAUCAUCAAGCUGCACUUGGUGAAUUCGCAUAACUUAUCACCUCUAUGACUAUGAAUUCCUACAAAUACAAAGAAAACUGCAUUAGACUGUAAGCUUUUGCGAUAUUGUGGAAAGAAGGAAAUAUAAUUAUUGUGAGAUUGCAUUGUGUAAGUCAAUAAUUUAGUCAUAUGAGGUCCAUAAAAGAUUGCUUUAAUAAUUUGUUUGUAGAAUGCUGGGGUGCCUCUGUAGAUUUAGAAAUCCUCUAUGUAAUAAGUGAUUGUUACAGCAGUGUGGCCAAAUCAGUACAGAUAUCAAUUCUUUGAUAGUUUGCACCUUUUUAGGUUCAUAUCCCAAAUAUUACUGGCGAUGAGGAUCCAGAAGCAAAUGGCAGCAUGCCUAUGUUGGCAGACUUCCGAUGAUUAAUGAAGAUGAUUCUGAGAAACAAGGUCCAUAUGCUUGUUCUUCACCCUGCCUUCAGGCUUGCUCUUUCUCUCAUACUAAUUACACAAACUCUGUUUUCAGUACCAAAAGCUUUAUAUAUGUUAAUAGAUGAGUUUGUGAGUAAUGUUUCAGUGGUUUAUUUUAGGAGACUCACAAUUGAUUUUUGUUUCAUGUUUAGGGCAUAGAGGAGGCAUUUGACCCCAUUUGCUCAUUUGAUUCAGAUUCAAGUUUUGGUCUUAGGUGUUACAAUUUCAAUUACUUUGUAUUCAAGUUGGAUAAAUAUCUGUAAUUUGGAUUAUAACUACUCAAGAUGUAUGUGUAUUAUCUUAUCUGAGUUGACUUUUUAUUUAUACAGCUCUUUGAGGGGGUUAAAUGAUGGUGUUAAGUCUUCUGGUGUUAAGUUAUUUGAGAUUCUUGAAAUUCAUGAAACUUGUAUUACGCCAAUUAGAAUAAAUGAAGCACCCAACAAACUUUUGAUGUGCAUUAAUUAUUAAUCGGCAUGGUCAAUUGUCUUGGGUAAAGGUACACUAUAUGAUAUGAAUCUUUUCAAAAAGUCAUUUUAGUAUUAUCAUAAUCAUUAUUAUUAUUUAACGUAAAGAUUUUAUUAUUAUUAUUAUUAUUAAUUUAAAAGCAUUGAUAGUGGGGCAAUUAUAGACCCAUUAGAUUUGUAUGUUUUAAUAAAAAUCAUCUAACUUCCUGUUGAUCAAAUUCACUGCAAAAUUAGCUUUUUCCUGCUGCAUAGCGGUUUGUUUUUUUUAGGAGUGGCAAAAAAGCUCGGGUUAGUUCAGGCUUGUGGGCCUAAAGUCCGGCCCUCAAGGGGUGGACUUGGAUAUGAGCCCAAAAAUUACAAAGCCCACAUAUAUUGGGCUUGGAUAAAGACUUAGUAAAAAAGCUCGAACUUGGUCAGGCUUUUUAAAUUUAUGAAUAAAAAAUAAAUUUAAUUUAAAUAAAAAAGAAAAAAUUCAAAAUAUUAAUUUAGUUUAAUUUUUUAUAUUAGUAUUUGUUAUUUUAUUAGGUUGUAUUACUAAUAUUUUAUUUAUUGGACUAUUAUUCUAUUAUAUAUUAGAUGAUUUUCUUUAAUUUAAUUUUUUUCUUAUUUUAAAAAAUAUUUUGUAAUUAAUUUAAAAAGCCCAAAUCCCGCCCGAGUCCGGCCCGUCUAAAUUUAGACGGACUUUAUAAGGGUCUGAACUUUGUUUGAAUGAUGUGGGCUUGGGACUGAGUUUCGAAAAGCCCGGCCCAAAACCCUCAAAUUGCCAUCCCUAGUUUUUUAACCAUAACUUUUGCAUAUAAUUACUCAUAUUGAGAAUCUAUAAGUCUUGCGUGCACUUAAUUUGGAGGGCAUUAAUAUUUUAUAUGCAAUCAUAAUCCUGAUAAACUCACCAUGGGUUAAAUUGAAAAGUGAUAUGUUAAUCCAUAUCUACUUUGUGACUGGAUGAACCGACCCAAUCCAUCGAGCCCCUCCAGGACCAUUAUUUGACUCUAGGUUAAUGGAUCAACCAUGAACUAAGAAUAUCAAUCAAGACACCCAAUUGCUACUAGCCCAAACCAAUAAUGGCCCCUAUAUUGAUAUAAUAGUAAGUGUUUGUUGAGUAUAUUUUAUCUAAUAAUUAUAAGUAUUUAUUUAAUUUUAAAAGUUCUUUUCAAAUUUUUUUAUUGAUAUUUUUUUUAGUAGAGUUUUUGAAGACUAAAUAAGAUAUUUUGCUUUUAUUAGCAAAAACUCAAAUUUCAGUCUUUUGGAUGUAGAGAAUUUUUUUUAAAUGUUAAAAUAUUUAAAAUAUAAUUUACUUAUUUCAUAAUCUUAUUUGAUUUCUUUCAUAGCAUGAUGUUAAAUAAUUUACUUAUUAAAUUAAUUUUACAAUUAUUAAUAAAAGCUCUCAUUAAUAAUUAAACAACUAAUUUUUUUAAAAAAAACUCCACUUAUAAAAACUCUACUAACAAAAGUCCUAGUUAAAAAAGUACUAUUUGAAAAGUUAUACUAAACGAAACCUUAGACUUCAUUUAAGACAUAUAAGCCAAAUCCGUAAUGACAACUCAAGAUAUACUGGCAUUAAGACAGAGUUAUGUGAAAUAAUUGGUUAUUUAUGGAGUAAUCACAAUUCUUUGUAUGGUGAUAUCAAAAAAUUUAGCAGAUUCUUUUAGUAUCUAAAGGCCUCGUAAGGGUUGGGACUUCCAACAUCAUCUUCUUUAUCACAAGUGAUCGAGCCUAACCUAAUACUUGAAACAUUAAGAUCUUAGAUUCAAUGAGUAGAAGACAAGCAUUAUAAUUUUUCAAGAUACAUUCUAUGGUAUACAUGUGCUUCAUACAAAAAUAUCAAAAAUAGUUAAGUUAUAAAAAUAUUAUCACUUGAAGGUAUGUGAUACAAAUUUCUUAAAAAUUCAUAAGAGUCUAGAUUAUAAGAAGAUUUAUUUUCUUAUUAAACUAAUUACAUAGAUUCACUUGAUUUUGAAAGUGUUACAUGGAUACUUAAAAAAGAAAAAAAAAAUUCAUACUUACAUAAACAUUAGACACCAUUCAAUGAACUAAAAGGGAUUGUAUAGCAAAAUAGAUACACAAGGAACAUCUUAUACUGUGGAACAAAAUUUUUAUUAUAUAUGAUUCAUAGACAUAGAAAAAUUAUUUUCACAACUUUAUUUGCCUUAAAAUGAGUCUAUAGAUUUCUUCUGGAUUAGUCCCACAAAAAAUCAUAAACACGUCGAGGUUAUCUUAUCUGGACCUUCUUAAUUCUUUAUUUUCUGGUCAAAUACCAUCAUAAAUAUUAGAGCUCUCAUCAAUUUGGUGUCCCUUGAAUUAUCAGCAAAUUUAGAUCUUUAACUUUCGAGAAGUCAAGUCUUGGAAAUCUAGUUGAAAAUUGUUAACCAUCCUAAAAGCACUCGAUCUUGGUGGUGACUAUGACAUUUGAUUCUUUAAUACACCAUAACUUGGCAAAUCUAUUUUCUUAAACAUUUUUAUCUCUCUCAAACAGUAAGUCAAGUUGCAGAUCAUCAAUUGCAGCUGUGGCCAAGCCAGUUGCUUUUACUUUUAACAAGAGCUUUGAGAUGAGGCACAUGUGGUGUUGUUAGUACAAAGCCAAGACAUCUUUUUGUUGUUGAAUCUACCAAGCAAUCAGGCAAUUCUUUGACCGAAAACAGAGAUGAUUCCUAACUUCCAGGUGAAUAUUUUCAACUCGGAAGAUUUUGAUGUGCUGCACCCAUGGAGAUCUGUACAACCAUCGGAUGAAGCCUUGAAACGAUGGAGAUCUGCCUGCGCUAU
rnacentral:lncRNA from 1 species